rnacentral:lncRNA from 1 species
AGCAGCAUGAGGUGAAGCAUCGCAGUGCAAUAAUUCGCAGGCAAAAGCGUUCUUGUGGGAUGUAGUCGUAGUUGCUGCUCUCGACCAUCAUUACAGUAAUCAAGACAGAUGGGAAGGCGGGGGUGGAGGGAGAUGCAAAGCAAUGCACGUCUGUCUGCAUGCAUUACUUGUUGCUGUACUCAAAUAAUAUAUAAUAAUAUAUUGUGUGCAACUUUUCCGCCUCAAGUAUUAGAUAGACCAUGUGUCUGAUGAUGCUAUUAUUUUGGUGCAGUCAUGUAAAGAGCUUUCUUUUCCUUGGUUUCCGAUUGACCCACCUGCUUCUUUGGGUUGAAGAAGAAGGAUUAUGAAAUGGCUUAAAAUAUAUGUUCCCAAGUGGAUCCGUCACUUGCAGUGUAGAGUAGUAGAGAGCUAGCCAGAACUGUGGCGAAGUGACAAGUUGGGACAGUUGUCCUCCCUGUCGGUAUGCGACUCUGAAGAAAAGCACUUGUUUUGGCCAUCGGAUCACCACAAACCCUCGAUGACAAGCGCCAGCCUCCCCCCAUAAAUUCUAUGGGUUUUUCGACAGCUUUUCCUUUGGGUAAUAGAACUCCCAUUUUGGGUGCAGCUCUGCUUGGGGUUUUAAGCCUUGUUAGGAGAGGGUUUAGUAGGGUUCAGUGGGCUGAAGAAAAAGUGAUGGUCCGUCUCAGAACACAGAUCCCAAUGGAACGCACGCAGGAGGAGAGUGGAAUUUUAUCCGGCAUUUGCUUGUUGGACCUCAUUCUUUUUGCUUAGUUUAAAGGGGCCUGUGGUGCUCUCUCAUGCUCCUUCCUUUGCUUUGCUUUGCUUUGUGUGUGCGUAGAGAACACACAGGGACGCGCUUUAGGUAUAUCCCACCAUGAGAGCGAGCUCACUUGGAGUGAGGUUUGAACACAUAAACCCAAGUUCAAAUGGUGGGCAGCUACAAGGGGGGUAGAAUGAUUACACUGUGUACUAUCCAAUGAUUGAGCUGCCUCGCCUUGGGUCUUGUUAAAAAUGCCCUAGUGCAAGGAAGGAAGGAAGGAAGGAAGAUGAAGUCCAUGGACAACCAUAAUAGCUGGCUGGGCUUCUCGCUCUCCCCUCACAUGAGCAUGGAGCUUUCUGUCGACUCACACCACCAACCGCAUAACCACAGCCAUCAUCACCAAUCUCAGCCCACUCCUGAUGCUGUCUCUGCACUCGCUGGCAGUUUCUUCCUCUCUGCUACUCAUCAGCUAAGCAGCUCCGGUUUCAGCUUCGGGGUCAGCGAGAAUGGAGGAGGCCAUGGAUACUACUCACAGUUGUCUUCCAUGCCACUGAAGUCUGAUGGGUCUCUCUACCUCGUGGAAGCCCUCAGCAGAUCACAACAACAAGAAGGUCUGUCUCGCAACACUCACUUUGUUUAGCUUCCACACUCGCGAACUAGCAGGUGUAUCUCAAACACUCGCCGCAUCUUUUCCUCAUGUUUUGUUUCAUGUGAAGCGAUGGUGCCAUCUCCAUCCCCCAAACUGGAAGACUUCUUAGGCUGUGGUCCAAAUAUGGGGACCCAUCAUCAGUAUGGGAACAAUGAUAGGGGAGCGAUGGCUUUAAGCUUGGACAGCAUGUACUACCAGCAGAACCCAGAGCCUGAGGGUAGCAGAAGCCAUCCUUCGGACAUCCUCCAUGAACAACUCCCAUACUUGCAGCCACUGCAGCAAGGGAUCUGCUCCCUGCUCACCAGCCAUGAGAUGUACCAGGCUCCAUUACAAGGUCAUGCCGUGAGGAAUGAAGCCGUGCCGAGGCUCAAAACCUGGGUGCCCAUGGAUUAUAAUGGUGGCAACGCCGGUCCGGUGGGUGCCAUGGGAUACGGGGAGUUGCAGUCCUUGAGCUUGUCCAUGAGCUCUGUUUCACAGUCCAGUUGUGUCACAGCACCACAGCACGCCUCUUCUGCUACAGCGAAUGACUACGUCACCUUGGAUCCAACAAAGAAGAGAGGAACCGGGAAAGGAGGCCAGAAGCAGCCAGUUCACCGCAAGUCGAUCGAUACAUUUGGCCAGAGAACAUCCCAGUACAGGGGUGUCACCAGGUGAGCGUCGAGGUUCUCUUGGAACCUACCUUACGUUUGGCUCUUCUCUUAGAUCUUUCAUAGCUUUCCUCUUAAACAAUUUCCCAAGAGUCAUGUUUCUUCAUCAGGCAUAGAUGGACCGGCAGAUAUGAAGCUCAUCUUUGGGAUAACAGUUGCAAGAAGGAAGGACAAACAAGGAAAGGAAGACAAGGUUGGUAGAACAAACUUAAUACAUCAUCAACAUCUUAUUCCUAACAGCAGACUUCGUUACUGUUGUUUCUUCAUCUUGGAAGCAUCCAUAGCUGACUAUUUUAUCAUAUCUGAUUCGUUAUCUUCCUGUCUGGGAUAAUCCUGAAUGGCAAAAAAAAACACUUGUUCGGACACAGUUUAUUUGGGUAUGCUUCUAUCUCUUCAUCUUAUCAUCACUCGAUUCAUUCAUAGAACAAUCUUAUGUAGCAGUUUUAAUUACUAUGGGUUCCAGGGGGUUAUGAUAUGGAAGAGAAAGCUGCGAGAGCCUAUGACUUGGCGGCACUCAAAUACUGGGGAACAAGCACACACAUCAACUUCCCGGUACAUGUUUGAAACCAUCAGUUCUUGAAGAACUUGGUGUCUGUCUAUCCACUAACGGUUGGUAGGUUGGAAGCAGUUGGAAGAUUACCAGGAAGAGCUCGAAGAAAUGAAGAACAUGAGUCGGCAGGAAUAUGUUGCCCAUCUGAGAAGGUGGCUCGGCUUGCUUUCUCACGAGGCCUGCCAUUCAUGUCGUUGUUCAUAACAUCCGAUCCAUUUUGUUCUCUCGUGUGCAGGAAGAGCAGUGGGUUCUCGCGAGGAGCCUCGAUGUACCGAGGAGUGACGAGGUUUUGACUGACUCUCUCUGAAAUCACAGCAGCGAGCACAUCCAUCAACCUGUUAAUUUGUUCUUGGUACAUGUGCAUUUUCCAGGCAUCACCAGCACGGAAGGUGGCAAGCUCGCAUCGGGAGGGUUUCCGGAAACAAAGAUCUUUAUCUUGGAACCUUCAGUGAGUUUGUAGAUGAUCUUGAUGUGGCUCGUUGUGCUCGGUGUCAUCUGCAUGCAUGGUUCUAUCAUCGACGCGUGACCAUCCAUAUCCUCGACUCCUCGAGUCAGAAACCCAAUCAUGAUGCUACCACCAAAUCCUACACACUUUGAGCUCCUUUCUUCUUUCCGGCGACGCAUGCUUUCCACAGCACGACUUACUUUGUUGGCUAACAGUAAUGCAUUACUCCGCAAGGCUGAUCACCGCUCAGUGCCUCCCAAGUCUUUGUUUGACCGAUUCAUUCUCUUUCUUUAAUGAUGAAAGUGAAAACAAAAAAAGCAUUUACCUCCCCAAAAGCUGAUGGUUUGGCAUUUGACAUCAAAUCUCAGGCACCCAGGAGGAAGCAGCCGAGGCGUAUGACAUCGCUGCCAUCAAGUUCCGUGGAUCCAACGCCGUCACCAACUUCGACAUGUCGAGAUACGAUGUGGAGAAGAUAAUGGCGAGCAGCACUCUGCUGUCGGGUGAACAUGCAAGAAGAAACAAGAACAUGGACGCCCCGGGUGUCGUCCCUGUAGCAGAGCAGCCAGCGCCGAUCUCGGAAGAGCAAACCCAGAGACUGGAAUUCGAGCCCGAGAUCUUCACGACGAAUCUUGAUGGUCUGGUCGGCGGUGAUCCGGGGAGUGGUCAGGGCAUGGAUUCUGAGAGGACCGAGGUUUCCAUGCUCUUCGGAAAGGCCCCAUCAAGGUUCAUCAGCACUCCAGCAUCAAACACAUGGAUGGCACCAGCCCAGAUGAGGUCGGCACUGCCUCUGGCUCACAUGCCAGUUUUUGCUGCUUGGACAGAUGCGUAAGCAUCAUCAUCUCUGAGGUCUCAGCAAGCACAGCUGCAGAUAGCAGCAACCAGGUUGUGACAGGGAAAGCUGGGGAGGGAAAUGGUGUGCUCAUGUUAAGCUGGUUCUAGUGGAGAUUGGUGAUCCAUCCAUGAGAUCAGGCCUCAGGCCUUCCUCAGUGGACUGCAAAUGUUUUGUAUCUACUCAUUUGGUCCAUUUGGGGGAGAAUUUUGAAGUGUUGAGGCUUGGGAGCUUGUGGAGAUUAGUUAUCUUUGAUGAUGAUUUGGUUUGGUUCAUUCUAAUCUUUUGGUAUUUGAGCAGCAUCUAAGUUUCUUUCUUUCUUUCUUUCUUUUUUGAGUUAUUUUCCAAAAAAAAGAUGCCUCUAAUCCUUAUCUUAGAGGUAUAACACCAUCUUUAAUCACAAUUAACACUUGGUGUGAUGUUGACCUUAUCAUUUUUCUUCAUUAUUAUUAGAUGCUAUAUAUACAUAUCCACAGCGGUCAAUCUAUUCCCUAGAUCUUGUCUCACUUGCCACGUAAGCAGGUGCGGCCGCGCGCCGCUCCGGGAGCGUUGAUCGCCGGAGUUUGACCUGUGUCGGCGGCGAGAAUCUGCGGCAUCUGAUCUCACGCGGUCCUGUGAGGUAAAGAAUUACUAUAAUGCCGCUGGCUUUAAAUGCCUCGCAGUAGUUUCAACUGCUACCAAGCAAAAAGAUGAACCAAUGUAACAAUGGAGAUGCAUCCACCCCAGUAAGUAGUAAGCGGGAACACAUGCUUUAAAGUCUCGCAAUGCAUCAGCGUGUAGAAAUAAGAUGAAUCUACCCAUGAUGAUAUCUCCUUCUUGUACAAAGAGUAUUAACAAGCAUAUCUAUCACUCGGUUGCUGGUUUUCUUUUUGGUGACCAUUAUGGCUUGAACAGAAUCUACCAAUCACAAAAACAUAUCUCUCGGUUGAAUAAUGAUCCAUUAUUAAUGUCAUAAGGAAUUUGGAGUGUGCCAGUUAUGCACUGUGAUAAGUAGUAGACUGUGAAACCUUAGAAUACUUGCACGAGGUAUCCUAUCUUGCAGCAUUUCCUCGAGCAUUAGAAUUAGCUCCGUCUUCUUCAUGCCUCAGAAUGGGCAGGAGUUGGUAAUGCACUCAGCCUAGCAGUCCGAGAAGGUUGUGAGGCUGGACUCCAUAUCAGAUCACAAAAUAGUACGCUCGUCGAGAGCUCCAAACAAUGUAGCGAAUGAUGCUGAACAUUGAUUCUCAAUUAUUGAUGGAUAAGAAGAAGAUGAUGAAGAAGAAGAAGAAUGUCAUUCUUCUUCUUGUCUCAUAAUGUAAGCCAAUUUGUUGGUCCUUUUCUUCUUUGGGAAAAAAUGUCAUUAGCUUCCUUGCUUAAUAUAGUGAUUCCUCUUCUUGUCAUAAUGUAAGCCAAUUUGUUGGUCAUUUUCUUCUUUUGAGAAAAAAAAAUCAUUAGCUUCCUUACUUAAUAUAGUGAUAUCACUGUAGGAACAGAGAAUUAAUGAUAAAACACUAAAUCAGAAAAUAAUGAAUAUAAAAUUUAUCUGACCGACAUUGUCUCAUGUGAUACAUUCAGUAAAGAACUACCAUCAUUCUAACAAUUGUCCCCUCUAUUCUGCUAUUGUUGGCACAAGUUAAGCUUACUGCUCAUUUUUCACCAAAGGUAUUAUGCAGAACACUACUCUGCAACUUCAAGCUGCAAAAAUUACAGCAUCAUACUUUUGGACUGCAGAAUUGUCCAUGUAAACAUCCAGGUAAGCCACUGUGAGGAGGCAAACUGGACUAUUUGUUGACAGUAAUGCAUUGGCUAUAACAGAGGCUGCAAUUUGAUGGUGUAUAGCUUCCCUUCAAUGCUUGAAGGAUUUAGGAAAGCAGUGUCAAAAGUAUGGAACAUGGCUUACCACCCCAAAAAGACUUUGAGAAAAGAUAAAAUUUUCUGCAGAAUGCUCUGAGGUUCCACUAUGUGAAUUCAGAAUAUGAUGCAUAUUUGGUAAAACAGUGACCCUUGCAAAAUCCAGUUUAGGUCAUGCUAGUUCGAGUCCAGACUGCACAACAUUUUUGCAUUGCUGCACUAAUUUUACACAGUUCAGUAACACACUCUUCGAUAAUGUUUAAGAACAAGUUCAAAAAGUUCAAACACACUUUAGAUACAAGUAUAGUUUGACCAUAAUAUUGAGAAGACAGGACAAAAAUCAUAUAGUUUUAUAAUUGGAUGAACAAGUCUGUAAAGGUAGAUUCAUAGCUGUUACAUGUCCUCGCUGGAGGUCAUCGAGCUCCUUUUGAAACACACGAUGCAGCUAUUCACCAAAGUUUAUUUUGCUAUAAGUUUAUGUAGCUGUUGAAAGAUGAAAUUGGUCUUGCUGUAACUGAAUUCCCCUCUUAUCAUCAUCCUUUUCUUGCAAAUUAAAUGGCUCCUGAAAGAUUGGAGAAUUCGACGGGCUGAGACUGACUAUCUACUUCUCCACGGAGAGGAAGUGUUGUUACUUGGAUCUCUCAUUGGGAGGGCAAUUUAGUUGCACACCCUUCUCCAAACUAAUAUAUUCUUCAAUAUCAUGUGGUCCCUGUGAUCGUUGCCAAUACUAAUAAGCCUUUUCUUACCUACUCUUUCAAUCAAUCUGCUCACCUAUCAGAUCGAGACCCACCAACAAAAAUGAGAUCCCCUGGAAAAGGAGAAAGUAGAAAUGGAUACCCUGGGCCGACAGCAAGCUUCGAGCUGAUGCAGUUAGAAGAAGGAAAGCAAGUGCUAGCUCCUUACGGUAAAUCCUGUUGUGCUUUUUCUUCGACACCUUUUGUGGUCGGGGUUCCUCCUUUGCAAUUGCUUCAAAAUUCGGUACAGAAGCACCUCGUUGCUGCAUGGGUUCCUUCUUCAUGAGAGAAAUAAGAUCACCCUCGGAGGAACGGCCAGACUUCUUAGUUACUACCCACUCGUAGGCACUCCCGAGCUGGAAGAGACCUGAGAUCAUUGCAUUGAACUUGGUCACCGACAUGGUGUUCUCGAAAAGAAGAUACGGGACGAUAAAGGGGAAGGAUCUCGGGGCUGGGAGGAUAUUGAGGAACGACAUGGUUGCGGGAACGUAACAAACCACCCAUGCAGGGAGCUCAGCUUCUGGAACAAACAUCGUCAACGGGAGGAUAAUGCAGAAUAGGGUAAAAGAGUAGAAAGGUAAUAUGAGUUUCCGAAGGAGGAAGAAGAGAAAUAUCAAGUUGGACUUCUUCCAGAACCCAAUCUGAAAUAGGAACAGCACAGGUUAGUGCGAAGAAUAUCAUUAACCUACAUUUCAACAAGAAACAUCAAGUAAUAACAUAAUCGAGACUUCAGCGAACCGCUCAAGUUUAAGUAGCUUUAGCUCUUUUAAGUAUCACUAAUAAUUGCUAUGGCAGUCACAGUGAAGCAUGUUCAAAGGCAGCCAAAAAAGGGAAACAAAGGGCCCCGGUUGUUCUAUUCUUGUUAAUUGCCGACCACAUGUAUGCAUUUUGGACAUUAUUAUAAUUAAAUUGCAAAAUUCUGUCCAUUCAUCCAUGCAUGACAUAAUUUCCACCAAAGAUAUGGCAUCAAACAGAUAAGAAAUGACCAGAAUAUUUACACUAGAUAAAGCAGGGAAACCAAAACUUAAUUUGCAUUUAGUCAUAUUGGCUUCAGUUUCCUUUAGUUGCAGUGCUAAAAUAUUUUCCAUCUUCUGCUAUGCCCUGACAAUCAUACAAUGGCUUACCAUGAGGUCCAUAAAUAUAGCAUGAAUUUGAAUAAGAUAGUGAAUGCACAUGUAAACUUGCACCACCUUUUCAUCAUUUCAACCCCUAUUUAACACAUCUAAUUGUUCAAUCGAUCCUUUGAUGCAAAGAGUACAUCGUCAUUAGGUUGAUACACUGAGAAAAAGGCUUAUAUGCUGAGAUCGUAUCUUCUUUCUGAUAUGCCAUGAUGAUCCAAUACAACUGAAAAUAUAGAGAAUGUGUAUAUCAAGCUUCUCCCAUAUGUUUUAAGCUUCACGGGCCACUUUGUUAACUAUCCAAUUUUUAGCUAGUUUAUGUUAUGAUGCCGAUGUAUGUCAUAUCACAGAAAUGUAGGACAAUCCAUUUCCAUUAUGAGAUAGUGGUAUUAAGCCGGAUAUUUCCUCUUACCAAACAGUUUAUUAGCUUGUUAUUUCUCAGACAAGAUAACUGACAAAACUGGAAGAGAUAAGAGAAGCUUUAAUGUGCUGAAGUAAAGUUUCUCAUGUUCCAUUAAGAAGAAUUUAAUUAAGCCAGUUAUUUCCUCUAUCCCGACAGUUAACCAGCUGGUUAUUUCUAUGACAAGGUAUUUUAUAGACAAGCUUCAAUGCAUUGGAUAAAACUUCUUAUGUUUAGGUUUAUGAAUGGUACCUCAGAUCGGAUGAUGUCUGGCAAACAGAGCCUGAACAGCUGCAUAGGGCCAGAGUGCCAACGAUGCUGCUGCUUCCUGUAAGCCUCGUAGCAUUCCGGCAGCUCGCAUUGACACUGAACAUAGUAUUCAUACAUGAAAGAGAAACACUUCAAUAUCUACAUGCAGUACUGUAAAUUCAAGAAAUUUCAGGCAAUUGAAAGACCUUGUCAUACCUCCACAUCAUUAAGGUAUACGAACUUCCAUCCUUUUAGGUGAGCUCGCACUGCAAUGUCCAUGUCCUCGACUGUGGUCCUCUCCAGCCACCCUCCGGCAUCCUCCAGUGCCUUGAUCCUCCAAACUCCUGCGGUGCCAUUGAACCCGAAGAAGUUGAUGAACGCCCCAUUCACCUGCUGCUCCACCUCAAAGUGGAAGCAGAGAUUAAUGUUCUGAAGCCGGGUCAGCAAAUUCUCAUCUUUGUUCACAAACGACCACCUUGCCUGCACCAAUCCCAGCUCCUCGUUGUCCUGUAAAUAUACCAGCAAAUCAAAAUUGCCAUCAAAUGUCAAGUUUUAGCACUAAAAUGGAGAAAAAAAAGCUCAAGGCAAACACAUACCUUGAAAUGAGGCACAGUCCGUUUCAAGAAAUCCGGAGCAGGCUGGAAGUCGGCAUCAAAAAUGGCGACAAACUCGUAAUCGUUGACAUAGCUACAAUUCAUUGCCGACUUGAGGUUGCCGGCCUUGUAACCAUCUCGAAUAACCCGGUGACGAUACAUGAUCCGAGCGCCAUUCUGCUGCCACUUCUCCACCUCCGCCUUGAUCAGAGUUUGCGUCGUGGGGUCAUCCGAGUCAUCCAACACCUGAAUCAGAAUGUUGGACCUCGGCCAAUCCAAAUUACACACUGCGGCAAUCGAUUGCUGAUAGACCUGCCAAAUGCCAGCGAAAGUGCGCAAAGAUGGUCAUUUUGGCUCACAAGCCUCGUAUCCAACUUGCAGAUAUCCAAGCUUACCUCUUUCUCAUUGCACAUGGGCAUCUGGACUAGAACCAUAGGGCAGUCCUCACCGCCGGAUUCGAGGUCCUCGGAAGCUCCAAUGGCGCCUUUCGGCGUGGGUUUGAUCCCCUUGAAGCGGAUCCAGAAGCAGCCGAGGCAGAGGAUGAGACGGUCGGCGCUUUGGACGAGGAAGAGGAUGACGCAGGCGUUGGCGAGGAACUGGAGCGGCGGAGCGACGUAUUCCACCCGGAAGCGCACCCACCCGGUGUAGAGCGACUCGAGGAAACCCCGGACGCCGAAGGACGAAGGAAGAACCAAGGGCUGAAUCUCCCAGGCGGUCAAAUGCCAGCCUUUGAGGUAAGCGGCGAUCUCCAAAGAAAGCAAAACGACGGAGAUCCAGAGGAAGGCCUUGAUGCAGGAAUAGAACCGCGACCGCAGAACGGGGCUCUCCUCGUCCGACGAGGAGGUCGUGUCGGAGUCCGUCCGCCCGGACGCUACGCGCCGGCGCACGGCGGACGCGAGGCCAACGGCGGCGGAGGCGAGAAACGUGAGGCACCCUGCGGCGCGGUGAGCCUUAAGGAGAAGCACCCAAGUAAUCUGCUUCGCGUUCUUCACCCGGGCACCCUUCCGCGGCCCUCUCCCGGCGGCGGCAAACUCCUCGCCGGCGCCGGCGCCGAUGCCGUACUCAUCCUCGUCGUCAGGCGACGAUAUCUCCGAGAUGGACCAGUUGGGGUUCUCCAUUUUGACGAUCACCGGCGUCCCUCGGUGGGCCUUUUUGUCCCACCACCCGAACGGCGGCGACAUUACUUCCACCACCUUCCGAACACGAUCAAGAUCCAACCUUUCCGAUUAAUCCGGCGUCGGGGGCCGAUUUCCACCUCCGAUCCAAGCUUCUGGCGGUCGAAAGGGAGGGUUACGACGGCAAUGCGGCUUCCUCGGGCGAGAGAGAGCGAAAAGGUGGGAUUUUUACCUCAGAAGGAGAGGGAGGAGAGUGAGUCGAAUGCGAGCAGGCGUCUUCUUCUUUAAAGCGUGCAGCUUUGAGGCAGGCGAGCUUGCCGCUCUCCUUCCCCGCGGUAUGAAGGGCACGACAAAGGCCACCGGAAGAGGAGAAGGGAAGAGCAGCUCAGCACGUCUACCGCCGACCUCCACAGAAGAGAAGAGAAAAUUUAAAGAAAAAGGAAAGAGAGAGAGAGAAAGCAUAAAAAAAGGCAGGUUUUUUAAUGCGUUUCCCACAUUGCUACGGCGAAUUACGAGAGAUAAAGAUGGAGUUAAUAAAAGUAAUUAAUCUCAGAAGAAGAAUUCGGGAACCAUAAUAGAAUGAAUUCCAGCUGAAGAAAUUUAAGCAAACAAACUUGAUUUCCUUGUAUUCCUACCACAGAAGAUGAAAAAACUCGAGAAUGGUACCUUCUCGCUCGCCUACGAUCAAUGCUAAUGCCACGAUGAUUCCUUCUCUCCCAGUUGGGAUGUCUAUUAUAGUAAUACUGUGGAUAAGGACUUGUUUUCCAGUUUGAUGAUGGAAGCAAAAAAUAGUAAAUGGAGUCGACAACCUCAAACAGAUCAAUCCGAAUUAUAUAUCCACCGAAUUCGAUCAAUCAUAUGUCCGCUAAAAAUAAACAAAUGGGAAUCAUCACAGUUGGUUACAGAAACGGAGAAAACGUUGCCGUGGCAAAGCACCGACACAUUUCAGUAAAACAUGGUUUGCCUCACCCGAAUCAUAGAUCCACUGCACUAAUUGCGGAAUUCAAGCCGUCACUUCCAAUGAUUUCCUAAUCUUGCACUCGUCUUCUCACGCCGCCACCUCAUCCAACAAUACAUUUAAAGAUGUCAUGUAAGCAUGUUUCGAUUGGCCAUCAGGAAUACAACAUUGUCCGUGGGGGCCCACUCUUUGGUAAGCUCGGGGGCACGCAUGGGGGUAAUAAAAGAGAAGAAGGUAAGCUUCCUCGUUUCGUGCCGUGUGCCGAUCGGGCUUCUCUCACCCAUCGGGUAAGCUAGUGGGUUGGUGAGCGGCAGCGGGUGUUGCAAAACCAGUUCUGCCGAGACGAGCGGGGUUGGGGGGGGGCGACGAGGACGCGUGGCGGUGUUGUGUCCGAGAUCACGGCAUUCGGCGCGGCCGCCGGUUCGAGCCGGCCGCACGUCGUGGCUCCGAGUUAAACGCGGAAUCCACGGAACCGCCGCGGUCAUCUCGUUCUCUACGUUGACCUUUUUGUUGUGCUCGUUUGAAGGCACUCGUGAGACGAUGAAUCAAUCCAUCGCUGAGACCUAUUGCAUCGUUAUCGUAAGGAUGGAUGAAUGGAUGAAGUCUUCCUCGUUUGUACCUUCCUUUGACUUCGAUGUGUUCUUCUUUCUGUUGACUAGCAUCGUGAAUGUGCAUGCCACGCAUUCGGAUCCCCUUGUAUUGUUGGUGACGAAUGCAUGAUGCAUCCAUCCCUUGUAGACUCAUUGCGGUAGACUUCUCUUUCACAUGGUAAUGUGACAUUAGUUUUGCAUGUUGAUCUACGUUAAGCUCUCGUAUAUUUGAUUGUUACGGACCAUGCUAGCUUCCAAAAGGUUACCAAGUGUUGGAGAUGCUUGUUCAUAAUAUGAUGUUCGACUCGAUGAUGAAGAUGCCAAAUCUAAUGCAGCAAAACUAGCAUUGUUAUAAGGUGCUGCUCUCUCUCUCUCUCUCUCUCUCUCUCUCUCUCUCUCUCUUCCAUAUUUAUCUACAUAUCCAUCUCUUUAUAUAUGUGUACAUGUAUUAUUAACCUAUUUGACCUAAUAGUAUAGAGUUGAAAGUCAACUUAAGAGAACCUCUAUGACGACGUGCUAUGCUAAAACAAUUUAGUUGAAUAAAAAUUGUUCUUUAUCAAAAUGUAUUGGAGUGGUCAAAUCUUGCCAAGUGGAAAUAUCGACCAAGAUGGCGAAUUUGAGCUCAAGUUUCAUAAUUUACAUUUUGGUGAAACAAGUGAAGAAAAUCCAUGUUUGUCACUAUGAUAUGAUGCUUGAUCGUUUGCAUUAUUUGCCCCCUACAAUUAUGUCCCAUGUGUAUAACAUCACUCCUUAAGAAAAAUCACUUAAUUAUUAUCAAUCAUAGAAUGUAGAACACACAUUUUCGGAAAUAAAGCACGCCAAAAUCAAACUCAUAUUUUAUGUGUUGACUUUGAUUGUAAUGUAAUCAUUAUAUAAUGUUCGUAAUGUAACGAGUUGUACUUGGUUCAAAGUCCAUCUAUUUAAGAACAAUUUGGAUCACGUUUUGAAAUAGACAAUGAUGAGUUAUACUUACUUUAGACAUACUUGGAUCAUACUCACUUUUGAAGAAAUUAAAUACAUCUAUUAUAAUUCCCAAUAAUUAGAUAUUUUAAGAAUUAAUCACCGACAAGUUCUUAUUAAAAAAAAUCAAUUAGAAAGAAUGUCAAAUGGAAGGUCUUAAAAAAUUUAUUUUGGUUGGUGGUGGUGGGGGAGGGGGGGGACAGGAAUUGGGUCGGUCAAACAAUGUUGGGGCACCACCUCCAUAAUGAUUUAAGAUUUAGAAACCCUUCAACUCAAAAUGAAGAAAGAAAAUAAAAGAAGAAAGCCAUGAUGCAAUUGGUUAGUAUGGUGACGAGCAUAAAGUAGAAUCCAUGGUCUUACACUUGUUAUUAUCCUUAUGUAUUUACUAAGUGUUACAAUCGAAAUGAUACAAACAAAAGAACUUUUGUAAAACACCUUAAUUUUCCAACGAUUCAUUUAUAUAUUUAAUAAUAUUAUAAUUUACUUAAAAUGGCUAGUCAUAUGUCUUAUAAGCCAAUCACGUGAGUAAUGACACGUGUGACUUGAUACGUAGUCUUUUUGUUUAUUAUUAUAUUUUAAUAUUUUAUUAUUUUAUAUUGUCUAUUGCUUAAAUAUAUUGUGAUGUCCAUGGAUCUGUGCAAUGAGAAUUAGAUCGUGAUGAGAUCAUGAUAAUGAGACUGAUUCGUCUUUAAACACAUAUCCUAAAUAAUCCCGGUCAAAAGUUACUUAAGAGGAACAUCGAGAUAACCGAAUAAACUGAUGUGCUGUAUACCCUUCCAUAUGAUGAAUGUGCUGUAUCUCCAAGUUCACCUUGGUUCAUAAAAAGUAGCAUUAAACAUCUUCCCACGAAGAUUUUUAACCCCUCAGAGAGACCAUGACUACUAUGCCUCCUUCGAUUCAGCUACCUAACCUUCUUAUUAAGCUAAUGUUUUGCAGAAUUCUUUAACAAAAUCAUUGUCAGCAUUGAAAAUAUGUUGAAGGUGCUUUGUCGCUAGAGCUUCAGGUGCUAGGGGAAGAUAUGCUUGCAUCUGUAUAAUAUUUUAUUACUCCCUUUCCCUACCUUACGAAAUGUAAGUUAAAACAGAAGAUACUAAUUUUUUCUAAGCCAUAACUCAUGAAAUUAUACUCAACUUAUAUUUUGCAUAUGAUAUUGUGGGACACAAUAUCAGUGUAGUCGGAGUAAGCUGUUAUUGUGGGGCACAACAAAGAUGAGAAGUCGGGCGUGCUUCAAAUCAAAGUCCAAACAAUGACCUAUUACAAUAAUCACACCACACACAAUGGCUAUACUCCUUCAACCCAUCCUAAUAAGGCCUCCACUCUUGCUUCUGAUAUAGAUUUUAUGAAUGAAGCUUUAACAAUGCCCCAGGAGUCUCAAAUUUAAUCCCACUCAAUGGCAUCGAAGCCUUAGCGCACUCAAACUCGAUCAGACUAGCUCAUCUCCCCCAUUAAUGUAGUUGUACUCAUAGCUAUUGACCUUUGAGGUGGAAGGUUGGAUGGGCAGCGGGUAUCUCCUCACAAAGGUACUCGCAAAGGUCGAGGCACAACUUGGUUCACUCCCGAUUAUGUAAGGUCACCCGCGGGAUUACUUUAAAGGAAGGAGAACGAGCGGAGAGUGAUAAUCGUCUUCUCUUAUGGUGUUCUCUCAGUAAAUCCGUGAGGGGCUUCUGGUCUCGAGUCCCUAUACAACAGGUCAAGAGAGGGGAGUUCUGGCUUGACCCUUUCGAAGAUUAAGUCAGAUUUUUGUGGAUAGUAAAUCUUGCCCCCUAGCAUUUACCUGGGGGUGAUUUUUAUAUAUUAUUGGCAUCCAUCGAUGUUUUCGGUGGAUGGUUUGUCUGUUAUGGGGCCAUCCUCUCGAGCCUAUGCUUUGCGGGGUCGUAUUCUUUUUGGCUGGCCUUACUUAAUUCCUAUCGGCAUGGAUUUAUAGUACACCGCUUCGGACUUGAGAUAUGGUGUCGUUUCUAAGUUAAGCUACGUUGCUCCAGGACACAAUCGUUUCUACGUUGUUUCACCUUGAUUUAAAAUGUGUGUGUUAUUUUAGUUUGAAUAGCGUCACGUGUGAUCUAAGGUGGUUGCCAGCUAGAUGGAAUAACACCACGUGUGAUUUAAGGUGGUUGCUAGUUGGGCGAUGCCAAAACGUCCUCUAUCACCUCUGCAUGAAUUUUUGUUAAUCUAAUACAUUUUUUUAUUUAAAAAUUUUCAUGUUGGGGGUGGAGCAUACGUUAGAAAACAAUUGGGCUUAAUUGGGCCGUGGUCCAAUUGGCUAUACUAUAAAAUGACUUUUUGAAUUAGUAACAACUAAAAAAAAGAGAAUAGUACAAUAAACAUAAUGAGGAUCCUUCUAAACCAUGUAGGCUUAGAGAGUUCAUAUGUGAGCAUCAUGUAUGUACGUCAUUUGAUGUAUUAAAAAUAUCUUUCAAAUCUUGUUUUAAAAAAUUACUCUGCACAUAAGUAACUCAAUCAUAUCUCUUCCAAAAUGUAAUGAGUGUAAUUUUUAGAUGGAUGUCGCCCUACUCAUCCACUUAUUAAGGUAGUGGCGAGAUAAAUGCAUUCAUAUGCAUGUUCAUCUCAACUUUAAUGCACACCAGAAUCCAACCAAAAAAGGACGCUAAUUUGCGUCUGGUUGCAGUGCUUGCAGUCAGGUUCUCCUCGUUUGUCCUAAGAAGCUGAAGAGGGAGAGAGAGAGAGAGAGAGAGAGGGACCAAAUCUGUACCAAGAACACACCUGAUCAUCGUCUUCUUUGCAGCGUUUGUUUCAGGUCCUUUAUUCUAUCUUCUAUCAGGCAUGUGGUUUUCUUCCUCCUCUUUUGUACCGCGACAACCUUUCCUCGCCGUUCACUUUACUCUCUGGGUGGGUGCCGCUGCUUUUCUUGCCGUUGGGCGAAGGUGUUUCAACCACGUACCUAUUUCUUUCAUUACUGCUCCACAGAUGGGACAUGGUAGAUGGAGAUCGCACUGCCCAUUUCCAACAAGAAUUGAAAGCACAGCUUGCCAACCUAAUCUUUUUCUGAGGAAGGAUUUAGUGCACGUUCCUUGUCUCGGAUCAGUCCAAUUGCCAGGUUGAACUAUCAUCUCUCUCUCUCUCUCUCUCUCUCUCACUCAUACACACACCCCACCCCCCCCCCUAUAAAAGCAGAAGCAAGGCAAAGUACUGCCUCUCUCUCCCUCUCCUUGUAAAUUCCUCUCCCUGCAUAAGUCCUCGUAUACUCGGUUCAACUACAUCAAGUAAUGGGACUUCUCCACCCUAUCGACAGUCAGAGACCAUUCCAUCUUCUCCUCUUGGUGCUCAUCCUCUUGAGUUCAUCUCAUGUCAAGCUUUUGGUCGAAGGUAAGCUUGUUCCGACUUGGUUCUCAGCUUCUACAUUCAAGGUUUGAAAGUUUUCGGUGCCUCGGUUGCAGGUAGAUCGGUGUUCAGGCUUCUCGAGUAUGCAGAUGUAAGUCUUCACGGCGAGAACUCAUUUCAUCUCUACACCUGGUAACAUGGCAGUACUGUAUAUAUGGUGAUGCAGGGGAGAGGAGAGGAGAAGCUGAUGGUGAGAGCUUUGAUUGGAUCGAGACCACCAAUCUGUGAGAGGAGGUGCAUGACCUGCGGCCACUGUGAAGCAGUCCAAGUGCCAGUAAUCCCACAAGAGAGGAAUCCAACUCGGCGAUUCUGGGGUAUAGCCACUUUGAGGGGCGAUUACAGCUCCAACUACAAGCCCCUCAGCUGGAAAUGCAAAUGUGGGAACAGGAUAUUUAAUCCAUGACCCAUUGAACCCAGUCAACACCAGAUUGAAUUGUGGAUAAUACUCUUCUCUUCUGUUUCUUCUUUAUGGAUCUCCUUCUUGCCAUUUGUUUAUCCUCCAGGCUUUGCUCGAUCAACCUUUCUAAGUUUUGGCUAUCGGACAUCAUCAUGUACUUACUACAUUUGACAUAAAAAGACUGCCCUGCUUGGCCUCUGGUUGCGCUGGUGUUGAAGACGGGACACAAAGGAAGCUGCUCCCUUGGCACAUCAUGCAGAGAUUUUGCGCUGCCGCUGGACGCCAUUCCACCUCCAUGAAACAUCACGUCCACUAAUCAGUAUCCAGCUGAAGUAUCUGAUCUGAUCUGACCUGAUCUCAAGGUAUAUAUAUAUUGCAAGCAAAUGAUUGAUGAGGGCAAGAUUCUGCCAUCUAGUUUCUCUGCUCUUCCGAGUUCAUCCUAGAUUUUAUGCUCUCUCUUGUUUCGAUCUGUUGGGUUGGCUGCUGUGUCCUACGCCGAAUUGUAUCUGCUACAGCAAGCACAUGAUGUAUACCGUCACAAUAUUCUCUGUUCAUGAUCUACUGCAUGUUGGCCUCAUCCAACUCUUACUUGAAUCAGCUAAAAAACAGGGGUCUGCAAAUAGAGAGACUUCGAUGAUAAAGCAAGUCAGAAAGUUUAAUCCUUAAGAGAUGAAAUAAAAUAAAGUUGGUAUCAGCUCACGCAUUCCGUUUUCUGCUUGAGAUCAUGUGCUGAUUCAUAUGUGGAGUACAUCACUAGCAUAAAUUUAGAUGAGCCUGUUGCAAAUGCACGCAUGUUGUGUACCCACGGAGGAACUGCUCCCACGAAGGAACUCCGUAGAAAGUUUCAUACCAAUCGUACCACUGGAUUGCAUCUCCAUCAAGCUGGAUUGAGGUCACUUCUACCUUAGAUUCUUUUGGGGUUCUGUGAAAACGAAAAAAAAAUUUCGCCUUAGAGAUCCAACUAGUCGGAUCCCCAUCUUCCCAUCGUGGAAAUUCUACCCUAAUGCGUGGGUAGUGUGUGUCACCAUCCUAGGGCCCUUUUCCUGUACCUCCCAAUCUAUUCAACGUAGAACUUGAGCUCUCAUCUUGUUGAAAUUUGCUGAGGCUCUCCAAUAGGCUUUUUUUAAAAUCAUUAAGUGUUUCUUGCAGUCGAUUCUCAAUUCUGGUUUCCAACGCUUCUAUUUGUGCUUUCACUGAAUUAUCGACAGCCAUUGCGUAUGAUUGCAAGUUGGUAAUCUCCAGUUCUUGAUUCUGAUGUCUAGUAAAGGGCAUCCACACUAUAGCUGCGAGGCUGCCGAGGAGGAAGAGGUGCUGCCCUGUGUUUCAGUCGCUGCGUGAGAUGAGAGCGUCACACAUACCCAAUAUAGUGAACGAAUUAAAAUCAUUGCAAUUUAUUUCUCCGAGUACAGCAAACAACUGUCAAUAUUCAAUUUAUUUUUCUAAAACUCUCACUUAUAUCGCUAAACUAGCAUUGUUGAUCAGAUCACUGGUCCAAAAACCUAAAAAGAUAUUGUUUGGCAAACAAUAAUACUCUCCUUGAUCAUUGACAAUAUUAGUAGCCCAUCUGAUGAAUAGUUACAGAACUCAAUAACAGCCAAUACUCUAAUUAAUGAUGACUAUUAUACAGAAAAUACAGCUUACUGCUACAUACAAACAUAAUGGGUUUCUUUAGAGACUGAUGUAAACAGAAAUUAUCUCAAACAAUGAUCCACAUACAAAGAGUAAAUAAAAUGUAGUCCGAGAAAGUAGAUCGAAGUUUCAUUAAACUGUAAACAUCAAAAUUACGUCUUCACAGGCUUCAUUUUUCCGAUGACCAUCAGUUGAAGCCAUCAAUCAUUUGCCAGCCUCAUAUUGUGACAUAUUUUCUUUUUGCAGGUCCACAAUUUUUUUGACCAAAGAAAAGGAAGAAAAUGGAUGUGCUAGUCUUAGUUCAAUGCAGAAAAACAGGAUCCAGUUACUACUUUCCAGAGAGGUCCAUGAGACUACUACAGCUGGUGUUCAGACCUUCUUUGCAUCAUAGAGAUUACCUGCUAUAAUUUUCAUUAAUAUAUACACAUGUUAGAUAAAAUCAUAACAUAGACCUUUUAUGAGAACUCAAUUGUAAAGAUAAGAAAAUAGCAGAAUCUUAAAAGGAACUAAACUCCAAAUGAAUGUUCAGAUAAAAUGGUGGGCUAUGUCAUGUGUACCUUCAUCAAUUAUAGCACAGCUACCAUGAACUUCAUAACCAGUACUAGUAGAAAGAUGUGCAAGAUUUUUAGCACAUUAUAGAAAAACACUUGUAAAACUGUAAUGCGACAACAGUCAUAGGCCCAAAACCAACAUUUUUGGUUUCAAGGAUGCAAUACUGAUUUAAAAUCAAUCUGACGGAAACAAUAUAAGAAAAGCUGCUAACACAGUAAUUUGCAAUACGAUGCCAAAAUAAUUGCUUUCAUGUCAUUCCACUUACACUUCAUCUUUGACUACAAAUGUGGCAGAUAGCUGGUCAGCUAGAUAUGAUAACGAACCAGCAAUAAAGCUUCCCAUCAUAGCUUUCAGGUUGUGUGUCUCAAUCCAACCCCACAAUAUUCAUGUAAUCUGUACUAUUGCAGAGACACGCUAAAAGUUCAACAAGGGCUCCACAGACUCAAAAGAAAGCAUGUGUCCACAAGCCUAAUUAGAAUGAUUCAGUGCUCCUGCCAAAUUCCAUAAAACAAGGUACAAACUGAACACAAAAGUGAUUAUGGAUCUGAAUUAUUGUUGGGAUAAUAAGCCAAUGUGACUUGCAUCUGUAGGAAAGGUAUUGCUUAUAAAUAAAGCAUCAUUAGCUAUUUCAAUCCAUGACUCCUAAAAAUUUGACUUUAUGUUCAGUUUCUGCACUCUGUUCUUAUCAAGACUAAGAAUCACCAAGAUCUAGAAUCAACAUUGGCAUUUAUUCAAUUCUUUUUUCUUAAGGAGCAACAUUUAGUUUCACAUUGUUCAUCAUAUGCAGUGGAAAACUAAACAUUUCAAAUGACAUAUUUUAACCAACAGAGUGCAUCAGACAGCAAUGAAUUUUAUCUUUAUGCAGGCACAAGGAUCCUUCAAGUUGUAAAAUGACUUCUCAUCCAAAAUUAUGAAAAGAUGUAUCUAAAUUUGAAUCAACAAUCUGCUUCCCAGAUACUGAUGCAAGGUAUAUCACUUCAUAUCAUCCCAACUGACAAACAACCCCCUUCUUCCUUUUCUCUCCAAAUACAAAAACCAAAAGGAGGUGCAAUAUGGUUUAGAAAGAAAAAUUAGAAGCUUGUUAUCACAAAGCUCACAUGUAUUAGAUGAACGCUGGCACCAAAUAUGUAAACCCCACCUGAAAUACCACACUUUAUUAAAUGCAGAAACAGCCAAUGAUUGGCAAGUUAGCUAAAUCAAUCUGAGAUGUGAAAAUCUUAGUAGAUGAGAACUUAUGUUUCAUCUCGAUUCUUGAUUUGUACUAUAAAUAUAUUGUCUUAGCUUACUGUCCUUCCAGCAGUUUCAGCACCGAAUAGGACAUCAAAUAUGUCCUAGAAUUUUCGGUGGAUAAACGGUUAGGCCAUAUCUUGCUAACCUAUAUGGCCCCCAUCUAUCUUAAUUUAACAAUUCAGAGCAGCUUAAGAAGUGGAAUAUGUUUUUUUUAAUUUUUUAUUCACGAUUAGAAGCCUGAACUUGCGGUUUCAAACAGAAUUCCAAUGACCCUUAUAAACUUUGAAGUAAAAUAAUAGUUGAAUUGUAAUUAUAGAGAAAAAAACAGAAUGUAUAUGUAUGUGCAAGAAUUAAGUAUGAGAUGUACAUAUUGAAAUAAUAUUUCAUCACAAACUUAUCUAAAGCAGAAACAAGUAGAGCUGAAAGCAUAAACAAGUUCAAUUAUCAGAGUUUUCCUCAACAGAAGACUGAUUGGAAAAAAAAAAUCACUAAAAAAUGUGCCUGGAGUACAACAAUUGAGCUUUAAAUUCUAAAACAUCAUACCUUUCAAGGUUCAAAGACCUCUGACCAUGCCUUAGAAGCCAUAAGGAUUUCACUUUCAUGUCCUGGCUACCCACAAAGAUGCAAUGUGACUUCUUUAGUGGGUAGGACCAGUGAUUUAAAAAGCGCUAGGCGCCAAAAGGUGCCAAGGUCCACAAACGCCCGAGGCGCUAGGCGCUCGCACGAGCGAAGCGAGACGCUAAAAUAUAAAAAUAUAUAAUAUAAUUAAUAAUUUCAAAUAAAUAAAAAUUAAUAACAUUAAAAUCAAAAUAAUAUAUUAUUAAUCUAUUAACAGAAAAUUAAUCAUUUCAAAAUUCUAAUAAACUUAAUAUUAAGAGUAUACUGUAUACUGAGCCUGAUGGAGAAACGAGGAAGCAGCGGCGAGCGACGGUAGCAACAGCGGCGAGCGGCGACAGCAGCAGCGGCGAGCGGCGGCAGCAGCAACGGCGAGCGACGGCAACAGCAGCGACGAGCGGCGGCAGCGGGAAAGGGAAAGGGAGCGGAAGGCACGAGCAGCGGGAGGGCUCGCGGGAGGCGUGAGCAGCGGGAGGGCUCGAGGGAGGCGCGAGCAACGGGAAGGCUCGAGGGAGGCGCGAGCAACGAUAGCGGCGAGCAGCGGCAGCGGGAGCAGGAGCGACGAGCAGCGAGAUCGCGAUCGGGAUCGGGAUCGGCAGUAGGUUAGGGUUGGGUAAGGGUUAGGGUUGGGGUUAUAUCGGUUUAGUUGGUUCGAUUGAACCAACUAACAACCGAACCAGGACCGAACCAGACCUAAAAUUCUGGUUCGGUCGCCUUGGUUUACCCAGGCGCUCGCCCGAAGCGCCCAACGCCUGGGCUCGAGCGAGCGCCCAGGCGGUGCCUGUUUGAAGCGCGCCGCCUGGGACAUUAGCGAGGCGCUCGGGCCUCGCCUCGCCUCGCUCGAGCGCCUAGGCGAGCGCUUUUUUCAAUCACCGGGUAGGACACUACUAGAAAUUCAACAAAAUAUGAAGUAAAAGCAUUUUGAUAGCAGAAACAUAUAAUAAACACAAAAGUUUCUGUGAAAUAAUUAACAUCAGUUUACAAAUCAAUCAGCAACAUUAGCAUACAAAUCAAUCAGGAAAAACCAGGGGCAAGAGCCUUCAAUAGAACAUUUGUGUGAUGGUCAAGAUGAUCAUUAUAUAGCUUCAACCCAAAAUAUUUACACCAUAAAUGCACCAAAACAAGUUGGUAACGGAUCCAUCCAACAGGGAUGUUACUAGGAACCCUAUAAUUUUUACAAAAAGACAGAGAAGCAGAACUAUGAAGCUUCAGCAUACUUACUGGAACCCUUACCAUAUGAAGCCGACAAUAUAACUGAAAUAGUCAUCAAACAAUGUGAGUAAAUGAUAUGUUCUCUGUGUUGAUGCUCAAUUUCAUGGGCAUUGGUGGGCUGGUAGCUAAAAUGUUUUUGCUAAAAAAGUAAGAUGUUGGUCAUUUUGAAGCAAAAAACAAGCUGCAGAUAUGUUGCUAUUAUUUUGUCCAAGAAAUAUGCACAUCCACUUGAAAUGAUGACCAAAAGGAAACCAGUUUUGCUGUCUUCAUCCAUAAAUCCGCAAGUCUAUUUGCAGGUCCAUUCAAAAAAACAGAAACAUAUACUUACUAAUAAGAAGCACAAGUGUGUUUUUAAAAAUACUCUUCCAUUAACAUUUGGAUCUCAUCUGGACAACACGGUGUUGGGAAUGUAUGGCAUUAAACAAAAAUUGCAUCAAAGCAGAUGUAGAGCAAUUUAAGGAAGCAAAACUAGUAAGAAACACCAGUCUACUAAGGUAUAUCUUUUACAUUCCAACAAAAAAAAAAACCCUUUUGCCUUCACACACAAACAUUAUUCUGCAGCUUCAUCUUCUAUGUUCUUUACAUCAAUUUGGACAUCAGGUAAGGUCGAUAAAUCGAUACGUGCAUCCCUUUCUUCAUCAAUGACCAUUCUAUGCGAAGAACCAGCUGAGUCUCCCUCAACUGCAUCUCCAUUUUCAUUGACAGCAAGAGAAACAGUUGAGAGUUCCUCCAAGUUAUCUUGCCCAAUGUUUGUGUUGGACUUCUUAGGUUGUUCCUCCACCACACUUUUCAAGUUGGAGUUAUCCUCUUCUGGACUUCCCAAUCCAGUUGUUAUAUUUUGAUCAUCAUUUGAGCUUCUUAUAAGAGUUCCAUUCUCGAGUAACAGAGUGUAAGUUUUUCCUUCAGCUGCAUUGUCAGCAACGUCUAUUGGUGAAUCAGUUUGAAGCUUCACUUGAUGGUAAGAUGCACUUUCUAUCAUAGAGUUGGCCUGCAGCCUUGUUUGAUUGUCAGCAGAAGAAAGCUCUUGCACAAUUCUUUCAGCAGCAGCAGCAGCACUAUUUAUGGUGAGGCUAUUAUUCUGAAUGGUAUCAUUGCUUAUGGCAACUACAAGAGCAACACUCAUAUUAUUAUGGUCGUUGAGACCAUCAUCCUUUCUGCUAGUAGUAUGUAUUGUCUCUACUUCUAUUUCAUCAUUCUUCAGUUGCUCCUCGUCCACACUGUCAUUUUUAUCUUCUGUUCCAGUCACUAGGUUUUCUCGAUGCACAGCACUGGAAGCAUCAUCUCUUUUAUAACUUUCUUCAUGAGCCUCCUGGGAAGAACCUUCCUCAUGCUCUCGGCCAUCCAGGAACUCUGCUUCAUCAACUUGGUCUUCCUUGUUUUCUUCAUUCAUGGAAUCUUCCCCAUCCUCAGUUUCCUCAUCUCCUCUCUCUUGAUCAUCCUGCUCAUCAACUUGCUCAUUAUCUUCCUCAUCGAUCCCAUCAUCUCCAACCCCUUUUGCUUCUUCAUCCUCCAUCACUCGUUGAGCAUCCCGAUCUUCAUCCUCUUCAAUUUCAUCAUUUUCUUCUUCCUUGUUAUGGAUCUUAUCCCCAGAGAUCAUCAUCUUGUCGCGAGGGAGGUCCUUCCUACCAAGGUCUAUAAAACCCGGCUGGCUGUCCUCUACAUUGUUCAAAAUCCUCGGAUUCUGUUCAUCCAGUGCCUUUUUCUUGUCAUAAGAAUGCUUAAGCUGAUAAAGCAACCAGAAGCAGACAGCAGCCAAGAGGCAAAUCUGAAGAACAUUUGUCAAUCUUAACCCUUUGUUCCUCUGGUUCCUACUAGAUGCCUGCCUCAUCAUGAUGACUAUCUCCAAAGACAGCUCCUUGAAAUCGUACAGGUUGUCCAAUUUCAGGAUUGCCCAAACCACAAAGAGAUAUAUAUACUAUAGUACCUGAGGACACCCCACUGUAUCUGCACCUAGAUAACCCAAAGAAAAAUCAAGAAAAUAAAAAUCAACUAGGUCAAUAUUUCUGCAGCUUCUCGAGCUGAUUAAUAUAGAUGAGCAUAAAAAAUCGACGUCUCCGUGAACAUGAUGCGGGUAAUUUUGGAAAACCCCUAACAAGAGCAAGAAAAAUGACUCCUUUAUUUCGCUUACAAAAGGAAUACCCUAAUCACUCAGAGAAUGACCUGUGGUUCACUUCAAAAGGCAAAAUAAAAGGGAAAAUAAACCAAGAUUCCAGGAGACAAAAGAACAACAGAAGGGAAAAUAAGUAGAAGCCCAUCCCUCUUUCACGAGCAUCCACCACCUCAAAAUCCAAUCCCAAACACAGUUUCAUACAUUAAGAAGAGGAGGGGGGAAAGGCUUCUUUUCCGUCUGCAAAAACAAAUUUGCUCUCCCAAAAUUCCAAGAAGAAGCUCACAAGAAUGAUGUGCGAACAAAGAGGAAGAAAUCAACAGAGGAAGCUUCUCGAUCAAGGCUGCAGUAAAAUCUGAGAAGCAGAUGAGAUUGGAAGCUACCUUACCUGGAGGGGGAUGCUCCUUUUCCCUUACUGUGGGUGCUUCGCGGAUGCAGGGAGAGAGAGAGGCAUGGUGAAGGGCGGAGGAGGGAGGAAGGAGGGCGGUCUUCUAUCAGCACACAUGGACACAGAGAGAGGGAGAGAAGACGUCGUCGGACUAAAACUAUUCCGCGUUCAAACACAUUGCCAUCGAAUCAGACCCGAUCGCUACUUAUAAAGAAGAGUGGGGUCCACAUGGGACCCUGUUUCAGCUUCCGGUUAUAAUAUAGGAAGUUUCUAGAUUUUGUAUAUGGAAAAGAAAAUCUGAUGCAUAUUAUUUUAAUACAAAAUACAAAUUAAUAAAUCUGAUAUGAGAGUAAAAAAAAAAUCAUGUAUUAAGAUCAAAAUUUUAAAAUAAUAAAUUUUAUUUUAAGAAUAUAUAAAAAUAAAAAUAAAUUAAAUUAUGUCUCAUUAUCAAUUAAUAUUGAUUAAAAAUUAUAAGAAUUUUGCGUCUGGACUCGCUGUUGGCUUUAGACCAGAUCAUGUGUAGGUGACAUUGCCACUCACAACAUGAGUUGGGUGAAUUGGCACUUGAAGAAAAUAUAAAUGGAUGAUGAGGUGAUCAAAGUGGAUUGGGUUAAAGUGGAGACCAUCAGCCAAACAUUUUGUCAAGCUCUGUUACCAAAGCAGAGAGAGACUAUAUUAUAUGGAUUGCGUACCCCUAAUUCCACAGUAUAAAGAAGCAUUGCACCACCGCAGCACAGGCAAGAGAAGAAGAAAAAGAAAACACACAAGAGUCGUCUCAGGCGCCCACCACUUCACUACUCUGUCAUCACCAUCACACAAGUUUGCUUUUGUUUCUGCAAGAAAAGGAUCAACCCACCCAAUGUAUACAACUAGUGUAUGAAAUCAUAGUUACCCACAUCGCAUCAUAAACCAGAGAAAACAUUAGAGGUAAGACUUCAUCAUCAAGAGACAGCAAGCAAACAAAGGAGCUCGAAUGCAGGAGCACUUCAGUUUUAUACUAGUUUGAUCUUGCUUUUCCACAGCAUUCACGCAAAGGGACAUCACAACAGGUAACACAAGAUCAUAGCGCAGGCUGCAGGUUACUCUCUCUCUCACUCUCACUCUCUCUCUCUCUGAUGUACUACUAGACUUCUAGCAUUAAAAAAACACAUCUAGAAGACUCAAUAAAUGUAAGCAGAGCCGCACCAGCAGAUGAGAAACAAAACAGAAGUGCUUGGGAAACACUUCCCGCUUGUACAAAGAGAGGAAGAAAUAAGGAGAUGAUGGCUUUGUUGGGGACCUGUCAACGCGACGAGUCUGGCGCGCUCAGCUCCUUCCGGAGAUUGUGGGAGAAGAGGCGGCAGGCGUCCAUGCUCAGGUCGACGGCGGCACCGAGCGCCACGAAGGCGGCGGCGUCCUCGCUGCAUCCCACGUGCUGCACGCCUACCUCCACCGUCGGGCGUCCGCUCCGCCUCUCGCCGGAAACCGUCGAGGACAUCACGAACCCGCGGUAGCUCGAGCAGGGCCACAGCGCGUAGCCCAAGUCGCCGCCAACCCUGGGGCUGCACCCCGGCGAGACCGACCGGCUGACGGGGGUGCCGGAUACUUCGAUUAGGUCGAUGGUAAACUGGCCGCCCUUGGCUGCGCUGAGGGUGGACUCGGCGAGGGUGACGCCGGCACCCAUGGCGGCCUCGGGGAGGAGUUCGAAACGGUAACCGAGGCCAUCACCGGAGCCGGCGCCGCCGCGCUCGCGCCAGGCCUCGAGGCGCCCCCACGGCUUCCAUGUGCCUUCCCCGGGCCGGAGCACCAGCCAUGCGCCGGGAUUGGAGCGGCUCACCCGGUCGGUACCAGAGGAGGGGACGAAGGGGGUCACCAUGGAGGCAAGGGCCACCGGCGAUCCGGAGAGAUCAUGGACCGUCACCGACCACCCCUUCCGCUCUUUCACCGGCCGCUCCCGCUCCGAUCCGAACGAUGUAAGCCAACUCCUCGAGUUCCCUGGCUCCGAAAGCACCGAUCUGCAACAGACAAAAAAAAAAGCUCAAUUUUUUGUUCUCCGAUCAUAUGGAAUACGUUCCAUCAAUCGAACGAAUACCCAUCUUUCUCCUAAAAUUACAAAGAUUUGGUUCAAAAUCAUCAAGGAUAGGAAGAAUAUAACAGAUCAAAUGCUAAUUAUCCUCCAAAUGGUAAUGCACCAAGAAUAGAACUAAAUUCCAGCGCUGACGAAGAAACACUGGGAAAAAGUCAAGGGGAUAAGAAUAGAAGGGGGCUGAGGACAAACCUAGUGCUCGAUUUGCCGUCGCCGGCAAUGCGGCAGCUGAACUUGCAAGUGAAUACUGGCUGUCUCAUAUUGCCCUGCACCUGGAACACCUGAGGGCUGCACUCCGGUUCACCGUCGAACUCGAACACGAACCGAGGAUCCUGCUCUGCCUUCACCGUCAGAUACAAGUGCGCCUCCGAGGACGAUGGCGAGGAAGAGGUGCCUUUCGCAAGCCUGAAUUUAUUCUUGCCAAGGGAGACCCAUCCGCUAUGGAACGCCACAGGCUUGCCCGCUCCGCUCUCCGCCAAGGCCCCCUUCAGGUCCAGCGGCAUCGUGACCUUACCCAGGAGCCGCCCAGAGCUCACCCCACAUGUUCUGCCCCUCCUGCCGGUGUAAACGGAGACCUUAAGCCUGGAGCAGCCGCCAUGGGAGGCGAAGAAGGACGGCUUGCCCGCGAUCCGGGCGAGGUCGUCCUUGGAAAGGUGGAACCGGGCGGCGACGGAGGCAUCCGAGGUGGGGGUGGCGGGGGGUUCGUCGUGGGGGACGAGGGGGACGGCGAGGGUCUGGCGGGGAAACUUGUCGAGGCGGAUCUUGGCGAAGCAAGGGGCGGCGGAAGGGUGGACGCCGGCCCCGGCGGGCGGCGCUGCCACAGCUACCUUCAACGCCAGGUUACCGACGACGACCCGAACGAACGGGCACGGAUCCAUCUGACACUAAUCCAACCCGAUCUUGAUCCUCCUCUCGGUAAUGUCGUCGUGUAUGGGAGUGGAAAGACGAGGAUAAAGAGGAGAGGGAGAGGAGGGGUGGCGGUGAUGAGGGGGGAUGGACUCGGAAGCAGGAAAGCUUAAAAGGCAAGGUGUGAGAGAAAGAACAGACGACAGGCUGGCGAAAUGGUUUCCAUGGCAGAUAGUACGGUACUGGGCAACAAAAAGAACUGAUUUUUAUCAUAAAAAUAGGAUAAUCGAAAAGAAAAAAAAUUAUUAUUAUUAUUAAUGUUAAUACCUUUUUCAGAAAAAGAAAAAAAAUUACCUUCUCACUUGUUAAAAGAGUUAUUAUUAUUAUUAUUAUUUUUGGCGAUACAUUGGUGCGAUGGACACUUGGGUGGAGAAUAACUAGAUUUUUUUUUUGAAUUAAAAAAAAAAAAAGAAAUUGGAGGACAGCUGUGGACAGGUUGUCCUCGGAACUGAGACAAUUUGGAAUCCGAAGUCGACGCCGUCGUGGCCUUCCCCCUCACGCCGCUUGUGUACUAAUUGGAGCUUCUCAUCCCCGCCGGCCUUGAUUUAGACCUUAACAACAGCUUUAACAACGACACGUCUCUCACCCUCAGCGACCCGCGCCCGGGCUCCGAUCUGCUGUCCCAGCUCCGUCAGGGUUCGCCAGGAGCCAGCACAAGUGUCGUGGGCCCCACAUACAUUCGAAUCCUGCUGAGAGUGGACCCGCCUUGCAGAUUGGAUCUGCGAGCGAGUCGGAUCGGGUCAUCGGCGCGGGUCGAGGAGGCUCCGAUUGGGUUAGUCGUGCGGUGUAGAACGUAGCGGAUUCGGGUGGCGGGGCCAAAUGGAGCCUACCCGAUUCGAUCCGCGUGGGAACAAGGCACGACGGGACCCACGGGUGGCCGGGCACAUGCGCAUUCGAUGCGGAUGCGCUUUUUCGCGUACGGCCCCGUACACCGACAACAAAUGACGACUUUGUCGCCCACAGAGACGAUGAGCACGAAUCACAAAGCGUCGCAAGUCCAUGAUUGAACGCCGUUGAUCGGUAGAGUCGAUAACUCCUCCUCGUUUUUAACUACCGAUUACUGUCUUCUUUAAUGUAAAUAGUAACAGUGCCAUAGCUAUACAAACAGUCGAGCUUAUUACUACUAUUUAUGGUAUUUCAGUAUAAUAAUCUAAACUGUUUCCAUUUAAUAAUAUGUCGGUAUACGUACACAUAUUCUCAGUUACAAACCAAGUGGGUUUAUUAUUAUUAUUAUCUUUUUGCUUUCUUUUUUCGGUGGUGGUCAGUCCAUAAUGAGUCGGUCAAUAUUUUUGGACAAAAAACUUUCAUUAAAUCUCAAAUUUAAUCUUUUAUUCUAUUUUUUUUAAAUUAAAUCAAUUCGUAUCGAUGAACAUAUUCGCGUCAACACAAAGACGAGUAGAAGAAGGGUAGAUGAACAAUGAUGAAAGAAUAAUAUAUGAGAAUAUGUAGUAAUAAUAAUAAUAAUAAAAGAUAAAGGAUGACGAUAAAAGAAGAAAGAAUACGAGAAGAUCAAAUCCAGUUUACUGUUUCAAUUUGAUAAAAAAAAAAUCUAAAAGAUUGAUGUAUUUGAAAAUCAAUUAGUGGAGAUUUUUCUAGAUACAUUGCCCGAAUAUUUUCUUAAUACUUUUAUGCUAAAAAAUAAUUUUUAUUUUUUUGGAUAAAAAAUUUAUGAAAAGAUUUUAUUAAUAAUUUAUAAGGGUAGGUAUUAGGGUGCGCUAAUCUUCUCAAACCAUUAUCUUUAAGCAACAAGCGUAAUGAAACAAAACAGAUCAACUCAUGCAUUUCAUUUUGUUGUUAUAAUUUAGCCUGAUUGGUAGGUGCUGUCAAUCGGGCAGGAAAUGGAUCGAUUUGGGCCUCUUUUGAUUCAAUAUAAAUGAUCCAUAAGGGAUUAGGACCUUAUAAAAUUUUGAUUUCUUUUUGUGGGGGUUGAUUCGAUGAUCAUUUUUUAGGUUUCAGUAUUAAUUCAUACUCUGGAUGUUGAAUCGGAGCUAAUCGAUGUCCAUCAACUAGUGAAAAUGAGUUCGAGUUAGAUAUUCUAUAAGAUUGCGUUAGAGGCUUACUCAACAAAACCUGCUUAAGUUAAUUUAGAUACAGAGAAUUCAUCCGACUGUCUAAUAUGUAUAAACACAAUUAUGUUCAUAGAGAAUGUACUUGGAGUAUUUUAUAUUAUAGUUUUGGAUCAAGGUCAUGAUUAAUUGUCCGAAAUAACUACGUACUUCGUCUAACUAUAAAUGAGAUCAUGGGAUUAUGCGUUAAAUAUGAGAAUCAUAAAGUAAUUAAGUUAUCAAUUAUUUAUCUACGAGGGGUUGGCAAUCCUUCGAGUGGCUUCAACCACAUAUCAAUUGGCUUUCCGACACCAAAUUAACUCUAAUUUCUUAAUCAAUUAAAUACAUCUAAUUAAUAAAUUAAGUUAAGCAAUUGCACAUAGUUCAAGGUUAUUACCAUUUUACCAACCAACUUAGUCUAAAUUAACCAAAGUUAACUGUUGAUGAACUGAUACGUCGUGAUCGAUGAGCCGUUUGGUCCACGAAUCGAUGUUGGGAGUUCAUGAUCAAGGACAAAGUGCCGAAGCCGACUUUAUUAGGAUGUUGGGAUGCUGACGUCGUCUAGGAGAAGGUGUCUCUCCGUCGGACCGAGCUAACACCAUCUUCCGGAGGUGGUCGAGCUCCUGCACAAAGGCUCUCGUCGGGGGGUUCCCGACUUUGGCCCCUAGAAGAUUAAGUUAGUAGUUACCUUUUCUUGCUCCCCUAGCUAGAUGCUGGUCAGGGGCUUUUAUACUACUGCGCGAAGAUCGGUUGUACGCAGAUUUAAUGCGACGAUCGAUCCCCGAGUGGCGAGACGGUACCUCCGUGCGAUCGCCACUUGGAACGGCGCCAUACGAUGUCGUCCCGAGCUUUUCGGGAUGAGACUUGCAUAGGGUCACCUUUGGUACGGAUCUCGAUUCGACGCGAGGAAAUACUCCCUCAUGCUAAUUUGGUAUGAGUGUGAUGCGACGCGAGUUAUGAUAUGGAUCUCAUCUAUAAUCGUUUGAGACAGAUAUGAGAUCAAACAACUAACCUUGCAUUAUAUAUAUAUAUAUAUAUACUAUUGAAUGUGAUGAUUCCUUAUAACAUAGUAAUGAAUUAAUAUGUACAUUAAAAUUAUUUUCGACGUCAAAGAGAUUAGUAUGCAGAUGAAUGGACAUUUGGAGGUACCAUUUAACUUGUUUUGUCCAUGUGUUCAACGAGAUUAUUAUGCAAUUUGCUCAAUGGAUAAAUGGAUAAUUUAUCAAUCAGUAUAUUUCAUUUUAUGUUAUCGAGUGAAGUCCAAUUGUUUUCUUUGAAAAAAAAAAGAAGAAAGUUGAGACGUCUCUCUACUACAGGCAUUUAUUAAUUUGGCAGGAAGAAAGUCAAUGGGAACAGUGUGAGUCACCAAAGUAGUCUGACAGUGAGACAAGGAAGAGGACACUUCACAUGGCCUGUGUCCUGUUGCCAUUGACAGCACCUCUGUCGUGGCAUGUGCAUGGGGUUGGAUCAAACCGGGGAUCUCGAGGGGUCGCAGUAGCAGCUCAUCAUCAUCAUCAUUGCGGUGCCUGGCAAAAGCUGUAGACUUGGAGUAAAAGUUUGUUUCUCGUUUCCAUUCAACUAUAAAUCGAGUAUCAGAGCCAAUCCAUAUGGACGGUGAAGUCAAGACAGUAUAAACCUCAUACCGGCAUCAAUGGAAUCCAUUGCCGCGGAGUUGAAACACUGGUUCAUCAGUGUGUGAUCAUUAACCUGCAUUGUUUUGACGACAGGUGUGGGUGACACUUGCAUGCGUGGAGGUCGUUGGUCAACCCUGGGGCAGAAACGAUGGCCUCUCCUGCCGGUGCACGGCUCCACAGAUCGUGUCUCACUUGUGGACACGAGAGAAGAGAUGAUGAUGAAGUGGUGGUGGGCUUUCUUUUCUGAUGAUGAACACAGGCUGACAGGAACUUGCUACCGCUCCAUGAGUCAGUAACGCAAAGCUGGCCGUCUGCUGUUACUAUGGAGAAAUCUACCCACUGUUUAUUUACUGUCUGGUAGAUGCAGGAAGAAUCCAAUGUCCACAAGUAUCUUAUCUGAGUUGUGAUUGCUGCCGAGGCUCAACAGAGGUCAAUUCACUUUUGCAGGCAACUCUCCUGUCCGAAACCUUCUGAAUGCAAACUUUAAUUUGGGUCGGCAUGUAAUGGAUCUUCCCUGCCAAAUUUGUAGGACACAGAAAUGAAGUUACAAUUAUGAGAGAUUGUUUGGUUUCUAUGUCUCAGUGAAUCUCCAUCAUCCAUUUCAGGUGAGAGCUCUCCAAGUACUUGUAAUGGAUGGGGGAUUCAUUCACCAUUAGAUAGAUAGAUAGAUGGAUAGAUCCCCAGGGUCUUCAGCUAUAAGAGGGCAGCACCUAAUCCUUGAGAUUGAGCUCAGAACAGAGGAGGAGGAUCCCAAUCCAAACCUGGAAAACAUGAACAAGCAUUUUGGCAUCAACCAGACACCCAGUACAAGGGUUUCGCUGUCCUUGUUUCAGCCUGUCAAAUCAGAUAGCAACAGGCGAGCCGAUGAUGGUAUCUUUGGUUCUACUGGAUCGCUUUUAUGUCCCUGCAGAGAAGAGGACUCGAGCACAUUUAAUUCAAAAUUUCAUGUCUGGGGAAUCUCUUCUCUCUCCAGUAAUUGAACUUUUAAAUCAAGAAACUGCACUCUCUCCUUUGCCGACUACCUCAUUCAAGUUUCACUGGUGGAGUUCAGACAGUGAGCGGCAAGCAGGAAAGUAACACCACAAGAUUGGAUCAUAUAGAAGGCAAAAUAACUCACCAAUUCAGCUGUACAUGCAUUGCAACAACCUAAAUAACCUUUCUUAUAGCUACAGAUCAAGCAAUUGAAAGCCAAGGAAACGAGACUCGUGAAGCAAACCUCAAACUUCUGGUGCAUUACAUGCUAAGGAGAUCUGAUGGGAGUGAAUCUGAAGCUGGUUGCUGUUGCUGCUCUCUAGUUUCGGGGAUGAUAUAUCGCGGCGCCGAUACAUCACCUCUGGGAGUGGGAGUGUCUCCUCCCUGCUUUGGUGGUGGUUUUGGGAGCUCCGUUAGGAUUUGAACAACUUCCCUCAUCGUAGGCCGCUCGACGCUCUGCUCCUCCACGCAGAGCAUUGCGACACAAAACACAUGCAUCACCUCGUGGAGGGGAACCGUCGGAAGCCUCGGGUCCAAGAUCUUGGUCACCUCUCCCUUCUUCAAGCCUGUCACCUCUCUAACCCAUUGAACAAUGUCAACCCCAUCGCCAAAUUCACCAACGGGCUUCCUCCCGGUUACCAGUUCCAGAAGCACCACUCCGAAGCUGUAAACAUCGCUCUUCUCAUCCACCUUAAGGGUGUAAGCAUACUCUGUGUGCCAAAGUGUGACAUAAAGAAUAAUUACCAUUUCUUCAAUCAAAUAGAGGACGAGAAACCAAUAACGUAGAUGUAGGAGACUGCAAAUUGAGCUGAAAUAUCUCAUUGUCAGCAACUCAUUUCUCGGAUGCCAACUCCGUUCUACUAAGACAACGGAGGCCAAGUAGCACAAAAGAAGGAACUACGACAGGAAAAGGUGGUAGAAAAGAGAAUUCAUAGCAAGUUAUUCCUUAUGUUUAAUAUCUAAGCGGUUCAUUGAACUCUGUAGAAGUAGUCUUAUGAGGCAGAGAGUUUGAAGCAUGACAAAGCUUUAACCAGAAAACUACUGUAGGAAAGAUUGGAAAGCCACAAACAAGUUUAUCUGUUAUCAAUUAUAUAUCACAAUAAAUUUUACCAGGAAAAGAAAUCUUAGCUGGAUAAAAAAAAUAUAAAAGCAAUCUAUUGAUCAUUAGAUCAGAGAAAGGAAGAUCACCUGGAGCUAUGUAACCAUAAGAACCGGCAAUAGCAGACAUGCAUUCGGAGGUGCCCGAGUCCUGCAAGAACCUGGCCAGUCCAAAAUCAGCCACAUGAGCUUCAAAGUUGGAAUCCAAGAGAAUAUUGUUGGACUUGACAUCCCGGUGGAGGAUCAAUGGCGAGCAAUCAUGAUGGAGGUAGCAGAGACCCUUGGCAGCCUCCACCGCAAUCUUAUACCUUGUGUCCCAAUGCAAAUGCCCACCCUUCUUCCCAUGGAGAACCUCCCCAAGGCUCCCAUUAGGCAUGUACUCAUAGACCAGGAAAUUGGUCUCGUGGUUCGAGCAAAAGCCCAGCAGCCUUACAAUGUUCCGGUGGCGGAUCCUCCCCAGAGUCUGUAUCUCCGCAUUGAACCCAUGGUCGUGCGACAAUCCUCCCCUACUCAUCGCAGGGAGCCUCUUCACCGCAACCUGUUCACCAUUGGGCAUGACACCCUUGUAAACUAUCCCAGCCCCUCCUUUGCCUAUGAUGUUUUCCUCCUUCAAACAGUUCAACACAUCAUCGCAAGUGAAUUCAAGCCGCUGGAACGCGGUGAGCUUCCACGCACGAGCCUCGCUCGCUUUCUUCAAAGAUCGGGCCUUGAAGAGGGCAGCGAUGGCAAAAGCAGCAGAACAGAGAAGAAGGCCAAUGACAAGCAGAAGCUUGGAGGAGGCUGAGAGGGAGCCUUUGGCGCCAGCCGAAUGUCCUGCAUUGGAGAUGCCAGGUCGGCAUAGCCCGAGAUAAGCGCCACAGAGGUCCGGGUUGCCGACGAAGGAAGUGGCGUUGAAGUAGCUAAACUGGCCGGUGCCUGGGACGACGCCGGAGAGGUUGUUGUAAGAGAAGUCCACCUGCGUCAGGCUCUGCAUUGUGGAGAUGGCCGCCGGGAUUUGGCCCUCGAGAUGAUUCCUCGACAGAUUGAGGUAAUUCAAGAUGCGCAUCGCCGCAAUCUCUUCGGGAAUGUCGCCAGACAGUUCGUUCCUGCUAAGAUCGACAAAAGUCAGCAGCUUGCACUUGCUGAUCUCGGGAGUGAUUGGGCCGGCAAACCGGUUGCCACUGAAGUCCAGCUUCGAGAGCUGCUGCAACCUCCCGACCUCCGGUGGGAUACCGCCGGUGAACGAGUUCUGGUUCAGCAGCAGCUUCUGAAGGCCGAAAAAGUUGGCGAUGGACGGCGGCAGAGGGCCGGUGAGCCGGUUGUUGGACAGACAAAUCUGCCCAAGAUUUGGAGAUAUUGGGGAACGCCCAGUAUCCGGGAAGCCGCCGGUGAGGAGAUUGUCCUGGAGCUCAACCUGAGACAGAUUGGGCAAGCUAAAGAGGCCUCUCGGAAUGCUUCCGUUGAGGUAGUUCUCCGCCAUUCUGAUGCGGCUCAAGGAUUUGCAGCGGCCAAGGGACUCCGGUAUCGGGCCGAAGAGGAAGUUCCCCAGCGCGAUCAAAGUUUGGAGCUUGUUGCCGUAGCAGAGAUCCGGGGGGAGCGAUCCGGUGAGCUUGUUCGACGAAAGGUCUAGGGACUGAAGGCGGCCGUUCUUGCCGAGCCGGCGAGGGACACUCCCGGUGAAGUUGUUCUCCCAUAGCUGGAGCACCUCGAGCUCGGGGAGAUCGCCGACGAACUCCGGGAUGGCGCCGAAGAGCUUGUUGCGGAAGAGGUUGAGAAGGGUGAGGUUUCCGAGGUCAGCAAAGCUCGGCGGGAUCUCUCCGGUGAGGGCAUUGUUAGAGAGGUCCAUCGACUUGAGGCUCCUGAGGCGGCCGAGCUCCAGCGGGAUCUCGCCGACGAGGCCGUUCACCUGGAGGAAGAGGGAGUCGAGGAUCCGGAGGUUUCCGAUCUCGGGCGGGAUGCGGCCGGAGAGGCCGCAGUUGGCGACGUCCAGGCGCAGCAGGGUGGACAGGUUGCCGAUCUCCGGCGGAAGACCGCCCUCGUAGCUGUUGUAGUAGCCGAUGUACAACUCACGGAGCGAGGAGAGGUUGCCGAUCUCCGGCGGGAUCGGUCCGCCGAGCUCGUUGCCGGAGACGGCGAGGUACUCGAGGAACUGCCAGCGGCCGUACUCCGAGGGGAUGGAGCCGGAGAAGAAGUUGCCACCGAGGUGAAGGUGGCGGAGCUGGUGAAGCGCCGCCACCUCGCGGGGGAGGGGCCCGGUGAGAUUGUUGUUGUAGAGGUCGAGGACACGGAGAUCAGCGAGGCCGGCGAGGGCGGGGGGGAAGGAGCCAUCGAAGAGGUUGUUGGAGAGGUUGAGGUGGCGGAGGACGGUGAGGAGGGCCAGAGCCGGGGGGAUGGGGCCGGAGAGGGAGUUUUCGGCGGCCGAGAGGCGGAGGAGGGAGCGGAGGCUGCCGAAGGCGGGGGAGAGGGGACCGGAGAGGUUGCGCCCGGAGAGGUCGAGCUCCACGACGGCGGCGCGGUCGCAGGUGACGCCGGGCCAGGCGCAGUGGUCGGUGGCGGGGUCCCAGGCGGUGAGGGCGGCGCCGGGGUCGGAGAGUUGGGACUUGAUGGAGAGUAGGGCAUGGUGCUCCUCGGCGUAGACGGCACCGGCGGCCGCCGCCGCCGCGGAUGGGCGGAAGAGGAAGACGAAGAGGAGGUGGGAGAGCAGUAAUAGCAUCUCUGUGUGGUCGUGAAACUACUACAGCUCACUCUCUGAGUGGCGCGUGAACUAAUUUGGCUCUUCUUCCGCCUCUCACACUCGAACACUCACUCUGUCUUCGAGAGAGAGAGCGAGAGAGAGAGAAGAGAAGAUGUGGUCGUACACCACCAACCUUCACAUUUACACACACACACAUGCGUUGAGUUUGAAAUAUCAAAAUCGGCACAUAGUACUGUCGAUGCCAGCCGUUUUCAUUUAUGAAACGUCUAUUUUUCUUAAAAGAAAAGUCCAAAAUUUUUAUUAUUUAUAUUAAAAAAAUCAGCCAGAUAAGAAUUUUAAAUACUCGAUCUUUAAUAAAUAAAUUUAUUAUAUCAAUAAUAUUUUCAGAUAAAAAAAAUUAUGAAAUAAAAAUUCAAAUCCUAAGCUUUAACAAGUAAAUUUAUCAAAUUAGAUCUUGAAUCAUCGAUCUUCCUCAAAUGACUAUAUAUAUAUAUAUAUAUAUAUAUAUAUAUAUAUAUAUAUAGUAUAUUAUAUUUUUAUAAAUUUUUUUUUAAUUUUUCUCAAAAGGUAUUCUCAUUUUUAUUUUUAUCAAAUAAUGCCUUUCAAUUUAAUAAAUACCCGAACAUUCCCUAAAAAAAUUAUUCCAUGUCACAUUGUUCUCAUCAUCUCAUUACUUUCGCUAUUCAUUGUUCCUUGCCCAUCAUCUAGAUUGACGAGGGAGGAGAAAAAAAAAAAUGAAAGAGCAUACGAUAAGGACAAAGAGGGAAGGAGGAAGGUGGAUUUAUAGGAAUACUAUAAUACGAGAAAUGCGAGACGAUAAAUAGUAUGGUCAUAGAGAUAGCAGUGCCAUGAUAUUAUAGAUGUGAAACUUUCAUGGAGUCAUUGAUCCCUUGCUCUCAUAGAUGGGGGGCACAUAGUCAUGAAAGGAGUUGAAGAGGUGGAGAACAUAGAGACAAAUUCUAAGCAUCGAGAUAAAGUUGAAUGGUAGAGACCAAGGAACUUUGUAAAACUGAUGUUGAUGAGCUUCUCAUUAAGAUAGUGAAAAAUGAGGAACUUCGGGUCGAUGCAGGAGUGCUUAACCAAGGAACAUUGUAAGAAAUAUGUGGUGCUAUUCCUUUUCUACUUAUAGGAGUUGUGACGAAAAUGAUAUAGAAGAUUGUAUAAUCCCAUAUGUGACCAAAACUAUCAAAUAGUUGCUCAAGGUCGAGGUGAAAUUUUACUUUCUUCAAGUAAAACUUUUUGCAUUCUAGAAGUUUAAUGACAAGAAGGAGCUGAAUUGUAGUAUUUAAUUUAAUGCAAUGAGUACAAACACUUCGAGUACUUCAUAAAUAUGAGCAAAGAGUAAGUAAAUACUAAUAAUCAACUUGAUAUAUGAAGUACAACCCUCGAGGAGGCGGGCGAAGUCAAGGAACAUUUGCUUUCUCAACUCUUAAGAGAAUGAAUGAAAUUGAGUAUUCCUCGGUUCUCUUAUUUAUCCAAUAGAGAAGUUUUAAAUAUGUUUAAAGACUCUUCGAAGAAACUUAGUGGAAAAUAAUAGUUGUUACAUCGUUACAAAUGGUUAUUGAUUCUACCGAGAGUAGAUUGUCUAUUUCAUUUUUCAACUUAAUAUCAAUCAAAAGUAGAAGUGAUACAAACCUACUUAGAGUCGACAAUUAAGUAGAAGAGGGAUCGAUUGGCAAAUUUUUCAUAAAAAAGAUCUCAAAACCUCAAAGUCUAUGAGAUGAUGCCUGUUAAACUCUAAUAGGUAUCCACCCAGUUCAAGCAGCGCAAGACAUUUGAGAGAUUGACAUACAACAAUGGUCUUUUUCUUCAUAAGGGAUUUGUAAAAACCAACAAAGAUCAACACAACUCGAUCAACCCCACACCAGAUUCAAAGUUAUUGGUGAGUUGAAGUAGCAUUGGUGAAUCAAAGUUUAACUAUUCAACUAUAACGGCGGAGAGUAGUUUAGAGCCAAGAAGCAUGUUGCAACUAGAGUAGAAGAUUGAAUAUUUAACAAAGGUGAGAAGAUGUAGUAUCCGCAAAGGCUUCGACUAAGAUGUCGAAAGAAUAAGUGGGGGAGAAUGUUAUAGAUAAAUUUGUACAAAGAGUAUUCGAUGUAAUGUUUAUGUAUAUUCGUGUCUUUUAGUUUUGCUCAUUCUUUGCACAACAUAUAGAAAACUUAUAGUAGGCUUAGUAAUCUGGUUUUGGUUAGAUUUUAUGACCGUCAUAGUCUUAUAAAUACAUUAUAUGCGGUCAUCGCGUAGAGAUAAAAUUGCCCGAAAAUAGGCCAUCUUGGCAACCUUUUGAGAGAUUUUUUAGUGCCACAAAGUAGUGUCGAGUGUCAACCAACAUAGCACUUAUGAGCUACCCAUGUGACAUAUGAUUGCAUUAGACUUUUGGAUAAUGUUUAAGGUUGGUUUACUAUCUUAUUAUACGACAGUGUUAUGUGAGUACUUGUGGAGAUUUUUAGUUGUGAUAGAUCACUUUGGACCCUUAUUAAUGUGACAGUUCAUAACUUAUAAAGUUUAUGUUUGUAAUUUACAUUAUCGAUCAAGUAUUUACUGAAAUAUCUACUUAUUAAAUCCCAAGUUAAACGAUUUCUCUAACUUGUCUUAUCUUUUGUAAGUUCUUAAGGGAUUAUAAGAGGUUUCGAAUAGACAGACCUCUUAUGAACGAAUAUACAUGGGUAUUGCACGAGUUAGAUAAAACUAAAAAAGUUCAUGACACCUUGGUAAAAUAUAAACAGGCGGUCAUCCAAUAAAACCCUAUUAUUAGGGAUUUUUUUGUUUUUGAGUAAACUGGGAUAAAAUUAUUAUCUCUUACUAUCAAAAAUUGCACAACUAAAACUGAUCAAAUUUAUGAUUAGAGACGAGAUGUCUGAAGAAGAAGAAGAAGAAAGCUGACAGAAAGGAAUAGAAAAUGUGAUCCGCAAACAUACAAAUUCCUACAGGUUUGGAUUCCAUCAAAUCAGGCACCAAACACUACCAUUUGCCAUACACAACCAGUAGAGACAGCAAAGUUCUCGUGGAAGAAUCUUACAAAAGUCAUCUUUUGCUAAAUGGGAGAAAGGAUGAGGAGAGUGACUCGAUUGAAGUAGGAUUUGCAGCAAAGAGCAAGCAGUAAUGGAGAUUCUUGGAGGAAUGGCCUAAAGCUCUUCAUGUUAUAUAUAUACAAAGCCACCCAUGGAUAGGGAUAGUGUAAAGGGAGAGCAUUACAAACUGCUGAGAUACAAUAUUGUCUAUAUAAUAAGCCCAUUAGUUUCUUCACGCAUGAACAAGCUAACUCAAAGCAGAUCCCAGCUUCCUCACAAGAUCCUUCACCGUCAUUGAGAAUUCCUCUUCUAUCUGUGCAAGAAGAAAAGAAAAUUGCAUUCAUUCUCUUUCACAUUGAGGUCAGCGAUAUUAGAUCGAACAUGAGUUGCUCACAAGCUCAUAUACAUGAGAAAACCAGGAAAGUAAGGUCUUGCCUGUGCUGUCACUGUUACGUUGAUAGAGGAGCCAAGAAAUGGCAUGACAUUGGUAUUGAUUAUGGUGAGAUUGAUGCUCUCGAUCUCGGAUAGGAUCUUCACGAUAACCCCUUUGCGGUUCUCGCAGUGAAUUCUCAUCAGCACCGUCUUCCCGGAAACCUUGGCUUCGAUCUCAGGAAAAGGCUUCUGUGAUGGUUGUGCAUCAAAGUUCUCAUCGGAGGAGGAACCAUCAUCAUCAGCAUCAGCAUCAGCAGCAGAGGGCUGGGACUUCUUGACGAGGACCACGGAUUCCACAGUCCUCUUCACGUUCUGGUCUUCCAGGGCCUUCACCCUUGCCUCCAGUUCUUUCACGUAUCGCACUGCAUCUCCAAGAACAGAAGCCUUGUCCGCCUAGCAAAUUGAUAUAUAUAUAUAUAUGCAUACAAAUCGAGGCAAGUUAUAUGCAAUUUCUCAUCCAUAAUUCCCAUCCAUCUCUCUCUCUCUCUAUCUAUCACCGUGUAACAUAAUCAUACGUUUGUCAUCCUAUUAUUUCAUGUAAUCUCGCAUCAGAAAACAGAACGAAAACAUAUAUUUCUCCAAGUCUUCUCAGGAUUCUGAGAGUGUUCAGAAACCAUAUAUUUGUGUCCAGUCUUUGAUUGGUCUGUUUCCUACCAAUGUUAAUACCGCUAAAACCGUGGAAAAUAUUCAUGAGAUAAAAAAGUGAUGGACAGAGAGAAUAGUCUAAUAUUACUAAAGAUUAAUGUUUGACUUAUAAUCAAGUUUUUGAAUUGAAUUGACUCCAAGUCGUCAAUAUCUGAUUUCUAACAAGCCGUAAGGAAGAGAGACAUGUCUCCCAUACCAAGCAACCGAAGCUACCUUUUUAAGGCCAGGGAUUAUCGCCGAUAGUGCAAUGAACUUCUGGUUGAGCUUCUCCCGCCGGUUUCUCUCGGCGAUGAUGUGCUCUUGAGCUUGAGCGUUGACAGUCGUCGCUCCCCGGUGAAGAACAGCUUCAUGCUUGCCACCAGCAGCCGGAACCCUCAUCUCUUCCUUUGGCUUCGUAGAUACCCCGGGAACAUGUAGAAGAGGUGCUGGGAAUGAGGCAUCGGGAUCCAUGUCUUCGUUGGCCAGGAAAUUCCAGCUGAUGAUCCCUCGAGUAGUCAGUCUUGAUCCCGCAACGAGGCCUGCCGGAACAGGAUGAGAGGUUUGGCUCUCGGAAGAGAGGGACUGCCGGAAGCCUCUCCCGGGCGCCGGUGCAACCGGUGGUGUGUCUUCAUGGGUUGAUGUUAUUUCCCACCGGUGGAGAAGGUUAGACUCAUCGAUUCCCUGCAGAUUAGGCAUAGAUAGAAAACUACCACAAAGAUGUUUCUCUCGAAGAACAAGGUCUGUAGAAGAGUCUGACAUCUUUUGUUUCCGAGAUUAAACCCUAAAAGCCCAUGUAGUUCCAAGCAGCUUUGAUGCAUGGCGUACACUUACACUUUGUGCAAACCAGUCGUUCCAGGGUGCCUCCAUGUCCUUCUAUGAUCCACUUCCCUGAACAAAGAGAUCCUGGCAUAAACCACUAAGAAAUAUUGUGGAAUCCAGUUCACGGAAUAACAUGUUGUCUCGAUCGAACAUGAAGCAGUGGAAAUCCCGACAUAAACCACCAAGAAACAUCGUGGAAUCCAGUUCAUGGAAUAACAUGUUGUCCUGAUCGAACAUGAAGCAGUGGAAUUCAAGGACCAAGGAGACUCGGAACAGAACAGCCUGUUUAUAUUAUUUAUUACACCCAAACAGGAAAGGAAAAGGAAAAGAGAUUUGGAUCAAAUAGCUCAGAAGACGAGCUUCUGAGCACACACUGGAGAGCUCUUGAUUCGUAUCAAAACUUCCAGCAUGCUUCUUAGCGAGGACGAGUUCAUACUUCGUUCCAUAUAUACAAGAAAAUUAAAGAAGAUCACAAGGCACUCAGCUUUCAUGCAUGCACUUCCUAUUUAGACAAGUACUCGCUGAAGAUAUCAAAGAACACUUACCUAGCUAAAAACAUCAAGGAAGAAGAAGAAGACUCAUGUUCGGCAUCAACUUCUUCUCUCCUAGUUGAAAGCAGAACUGCUCUAUCAUCCCUUGAGUUCCCGGAGAGUCGUCUUCUUUGUGUGAACACUCCCUGGUCUUCUUGAUUUCAUGUUUUCCCUCAUGUUAUAUUGGGACAAGUCUUCUACAAGCUUGAUCAAGGAAAAUAAUGCCCACAAUUACAAAACUAUAUGACAUAAUCUAACAGAAAAGAUUUGUUUUGAUAAGAAAGAGAGCCACAACAAAAGGCAUUCAGAAAAUGUGGUCAAACAAAAGGAAAAGCAUAUGAGAAUAUCUUCACAAUAUCAUAGUCGAGGAGAUCUUUUAGUAUCUUAUUCAUGUCUAUAAUAAUCAUGUCUGGUGGUAGUGAGAGAGACCGAAUAGAAGUGAUUGCAGCAGUGGGCCCAAGCAGCACCCUCAAUUAUAUGUGGACAUAUGAACAGAUGAAAUGGCUUCUGUGAAUUGUUUUUGAGCAGAUUGAUGUGAGAUCCAGAAAGAGUAUCUUGCGGUGUCUUAGUGAUUACCCGUUUCCCACUUUCUCGGAGUACUGAACAUUCUUAUCCACCUUCAUGAAAUUACAACAGCAUGCGAGAGAAACUGGCAGCCAAACACAGACAUGAAUCCAUUUCAAGUGAUGAAACGAGUACACAGGGUAUAUAAAGUCAGCAGAAGAAGAAGAAGACGAUGAUGGAAGCUACAAGACAUGUUGAUAUAACUCCUUUAUCUGAGAUUUCAUUAUCAGUGAUUUCAUUAAAAGAAUCAUACUUACUGAUUAAGACAGAUCACCAGUGUAAUCCGUGGCAGAUCUCUUAUUUAAUCACAUCGCCCACAAACCUUUGAAAACUAAUCCAUAGCUUUAGUAACUCAUUUUAUGCUUCUUACGUGCCUUCCACCAACAAGGACAGAUUGCAUUGAUAUUUAAAACUAAGAAUUCAUAUGGUCAUCGGAUCAUUAUAGAUUACUUGUCACGGUAUCAGAGAAGAUUGCCCGCAGGCCAUUAGCAGAGGGAUCCAUGGACCAAUGAAAGUGGGAGUAGCUAGAGAAGGAGAAAGACACUUAGCUACAAUACCAGCCAACAUAAGAUCCUGUCAAUAUCUUUCUAUGGAUGAUGAUUAACAGAGCGGCAACAGUGCCAAGAAAACUAAUGAACGAUCAUCAGCAGUAGGCUAAUCCACAUCUAACCUGUUAGGGUCAUUUAUUGUCUAUAAUUUGAAUCUGUGUUUUUUGUUUGUCUUUUUUCUCUCUAAUUUUUUGGAGCUUAAAAUUUGAAGAAAAAUUGGAGUAACUUUGUACCUCUAUUAUUGUCCUCAAGCCAUAGGUGAUUGAUAGAAUAAAAGAUAAAAACAUGUCCCUCUCUUAUUUAUACAGAUCAGGAGGAAAGAUUUUCCUCAAUAGAAUAAAAAGAUUUCCUCAUAUAGUUAGAAAAAUCUUAUUUUCUAUCAAUAGAAAUUCCUACGAUAAACACAAAAAGGAACUCUUUAAAUUUAAUUCUUUAACAUGCAUUAAUUAGUGAAAGAGGAAGAAAAUGAAUGUUGAUAAUAAUAUUUGAUCAUGACCCACAUUCAACUCCUAUUGCCUAGGUUCUGCGAGCUUGAGCAACUCGAGGAUAUUUUUCGAUCCGUCAUUAUGGUAAACAUCGUCGCACUCGAUCCAGUCAUCUUCUUAUGAUGGUUGGCAAUUAUCAUCAACUCAGAUAUUUUAUUUUUCUUUCCUAAUUCCUAAGUCAACAUGUACUCGAUUUCUUUUUUCUCCCACCUUUUUUUUUUUUCUCUCCCGAGCAUAUAAAAUAAUUAAUGAUAUAUAUUAAUAUUUAAAUAUUAUGUCGAUGUGCUAAUAUUCAACCAAAGCGCCUGUAGCUCAGUGGAUAGAGCGUCUGUUUCCUAAGCAGAAAGUCGUAGGUUCGACCCCUACCUGGCGCGGUUUUUACAGUUGUUUAUAAUGGAUCUUUUUCGAACUGCUUAAUAUAAUCCUUUACUAUUGAAUUGAAUGCUUCAGUAGCAGUCAGCUUUCAGCAAAACGACAGUAGAAGAAACGAUAGAGCAUGCAAUAGAUCAAAUCUGUUCAGCUGCUCUCCAAACUUAUUGAUUGGAUCUUUGGACCGGCAGUUCUUAGAUCAAUUGAAGAAGAAAAAUACUACUCUCUAUUAAUAUAUAUUUUUUGUUUGCAUGCAUUGCGUUGUUGUUGUGGGCAUACUCAACCACCAUCCACUUUAUGAACUCGAUCUUAUCAACACACACAUGCCUGCUCUGUUGGUGGGACAUUUAAUGUGGGUUGGGACCAUCCGAACGAUCAGUAGAUCGAUCAUCUACGAUUGCAGUAGGCGAAAAAAGAUGCAAUUGUUCUUUUCUUUCUGCCUCUGUCAAAUUUUGAAGCCUUAUGUUACAUAACGUAAUUUCAUGCAGGAUUGGUCUACAACAUUACAAGAAUAAGAAUGUGAGGAUGGUUGACCAUCAUCAUCCACUCUAUCUAUUGUGUCGUUGACUUGUCGGGGAACAAGGACAGGCAACGGACUCUCUCACCAACUGCAUGAUCUCAGUAAACCGCAUACACACACACACAUCUCAGAAUCAUGUUGCACGAGUUUUGAUCACACAAACACAACUGUGACUACAAGAUGAGUGAGAGCAGGAGAAGCAUCAGAGGCACAGAGAUUAUUCCAAGGAGAUUAAAGGAUAUCAGUAGAUGACUGAGAGACGAAGAGAAGAGUGGAUGGGUUCAACUACUCUUGCGAGGCUGUUGGCUUUUUCUCCUUGUUCUGCUCUUUGGUUUCUCUUCUUCUUGUUGUUGUUGGAUUGCUUCCACUGCCUCGACUUGUUCGUUCUCAGCAGCAGCAGCAGCGGCAGACUUUUGUUCCUCCUCUUCAUUCCUUUCCACCGCCACCUCCACCACUUUGCGUGGCCGGCCUCUCUUCCUCUUCGCCUGCUGUGCAGCCACAGCCUGUUCCGAUAACGCGCCAGUGCUGGUCGGCGAAGACGAUCUCCUCUUCAUCUUGGUUGUCGUCUUCUUCUCCAUGUGCGUAUGCUGAUCAAAGUUCAGAUGAUUCCCCAACCCGACGAGAUUAAGCACAAACAAUGUAUCUAUGUCAGCAUCUGCAAUUUCCUAUCCCCGUCGAUCAUAUAUGCCUGUCAUGAAAACACAAUAUAUGUAUGUCAACAUCUGCAAUUUCCUAUCCCUGUCGAUCAUAUAUGCCGGUCAAGAAAACACUAUCCACAAAAGAAAUCUCAUCCCAACAGUCAAAAAAAGGUUCAUAGAACAGCUCACAUCUUAAGAGUGAGUCUCUUUCCAAACAAAGUGGGUGGGAGAGAAGAUGGAUGAAGAGCGCUGCAGUAGGAGUCCGCGAUGAUAGCAUAGCAGAGCAACCUAACCCAGAGGAGGGGCACUUGCGGCUCUCUCUCUCUGUCUCUGUUACAGUGGUGGAUGGAUGGAUAUAUGAGAAACAAAUCAGCCAUGGGGAUACCUGUUAGGUGCAACCCUCAUUACUCUCAGUGCUCGGCCACUGGGGACGCUUCACGUCAGCAUCAACAUGGAUCAUGUCAUCACAGAUUCAUCCGCAAAGUUGGCUUGCCGGAGGGGUGGGGAAUAGUUAGUUCAUAAAUGCCUGCAUGGAGAGUGAAUCUUUUCAACAUAAUAAUACCUACCGCUCGUGUACAGCAUAAUCCUGCAUUAUUAAGAGAGAAACUCCGGGGGGGGGGGGGGGGGGGGGGGUUAAACCAUAGCAGAUUAGCAUAACUGAUAUGUUUCUACCACUUCACUAACAUUAGGGGCAGUUAUGCGACUCAUACAAAGAUGGGAUAGAAAAUUACAUAAUGAAAGCAACGACUAGGAGAUGAGUUCAGUUGAGAAAAUUAAAAUAAAAAAUAAAAAUAAAAAGAAAUGCUGAUCACAGAUCUCAUAAGUUAUCAGCAUCUCUCUCUCUCUGACAUAAAUUACAUGGACAUUAUUUCAGUUUUUUCACUGACAGAUAAACGAGUUCUUCUCAGAGAAAGCUGAUGUUCCAUUAUUUUAACCUUAAAAACAUCUCCAGUCAGAUAAUGCUCGAAAAACAACCCAGGCAAGAAAGCAGGCAUUAGUAAACCCGUGCUUUCGGUGGGAAUGACUCCACUUCAUCAUCCAAAGUGUUCAUAUGGACAGGCCUAUAGGUUAGCUUGACUUUCCCAUUCUCCCAAUACCUGCGGCAAAAGCAAAUAAACUUCACAUUAUGAAGAAUCGAUCAAGUACAAAUACAACUAUAAAUAUUGGUCGCCCGUGUUUUGUCGGUAAGAAGUGGAGCAUCUGAUGGAGGGAACGGAAACAAAUUCAACCGUGCAGAGAAUUAUAUUAGUUCUGUAUCAGAUAUUUGUUUCAUCCUUUUCCAUGCAUAGGAUCUCUAACAGCAACGAUAAGAGCAUAGAUUUAAUCAUGAAUGUGGAUAGCUAGUAGCUCUAUGAGAACUUCUAUCAAGGUUGUCUGUUAAAGAUAUCUAUCUCCUCGAGCUUCUAAUCCAAUUUAUGCUUGAGGUUAUGAGCAUGUCAAGUAUCACAUGCUCAGACGUUCAUAUGCUCAUGCUCCUGAAGACUUUGAAACAACCCAAUUGUCAAUGUCUUCAGUUUUAACCAAAAUCAAGUUCCAUUUGGUAGAUGUUAUCAAGGAACACUGUUCGAAAAUGUUUUCGAGGCUUGGACCCUUGUAGUUCAUAUCCACGUAUCAUCACAUACAAAAAUUCAAGAAAAUAUGUACAAUCUCAAAAAUUAUAAAAAAAAUUCUCUCUUUUCUAAUGAGUAAUUUUCUAACCAGCAAUAUUUUUUGCAAAUCCAACUGAUACAUCCGAAAGCCAAAACUAAGAAAGUUUUGGUACUAAACCUAACAGUUUAAGUAUUUUAUAAAAUUGUAUCUAAAGCUCCACCAUCAUUGGCAAUUCAUACAUAUCCAUUUUCUAACGCUAACAUACAACAGAAUGACCCUGGUUUUCUUCACAAUCUUUAAUGUCCAUAGUCCCUACCACUGAUGUCCUUUCUACCAAAGAAACUAAUAAACAGAAACUGGGAUUUUGUAUUCCAUCUACUUGAACACUUGCUAAACGCAGAAACAUGCAAUGGAACUACAUUAAUAUGAUUGAGAUUUUCUUUCCAAAUGUUGAAAUUGUUAGAUGGUAUUCUAGAUAAAAAGAGUUUUUAAUAUACUAACCCUAGUGUGUGUUUCAGCCACUUCUCAUCAUCUCUUUUCUGCAACAAAAAAGAGGUGAUGUUAUACUAAGAAAUCAGCACAAAAAGGAAAUAACAUAUUCAGCAGAAAGUGAAUCUGACCGUAAAGUCUUCGCGAGCAUGAGCUCCUCGACUUUCCUUUCUUGCCUCAGCUGAGUGCAUUGUUAUACAUGCAUUUAUUAAAAGAUUUUCUAGCUCAACAGUCUCUAUUAAGUCGGAGUUCCUGCAAGCAUAAUGAGAAAUCAGAUGACUGAAAUAGAUACAAAGUAGAUGUCAUCAUCGAGGCCAUUAAGUAAAGGGCACAACCAUAUCAGACUCCGAUCAUGGAUUUUGACAUCAUGAAAGCUCUCCCAUGCUUUGUCUAUCAACUGACAACCUAAAAUAAAUUCAUGCAACAGAACAGUAAGAGCUAUAGAAAAUCCACCAGAUCACGUUUUCUACAAAUUGACACUAAUGAGUCGUAGCCAGAAAGAACCUUCUUCUAGUGUUUCUUGUGUUCGAAACACAGCAGCAUUAUUUUGCAUCACCCGUUGCAUGUUUAGACGAAUUUUUGAAGUUGGCAGUGAACCAUUUGAGUUCCUUAACUUAUCCAGCCAAGCAAUGGUCUUUUCUCCAGCAUCUUUCUCAAGUGGUUUCUGCUUCUCCCCUGUAAAUUAAAUAAAGAUGCUUGGUUAUUUACGAUAGACCUUUCGUAAGUUUUAACUUUCACAGAGAUAAAGUAAAAGCAUACCUGGCUUGCAGAUUUCCGCGACUCUGUUUGCACAGGCUCUGCCAAAAACAACAAUAUCAAGAAGUGAGUUUGCGCCAAGCCUAUUUGCUCCAUGGACAGAUGCACAAGCUGCCUCUCCAGCAGCCAUCAAACCAGGAACCACUGCAUCUGGAUCAUCACCCUCUAUAUGAACUACCUGAGAAACCAAUCAUAGGUGCAAAAAAGCAGAAUCAGCAACAGAUAUCAAAAACAGCAAGUGAUACUCUAAAAAUCAGUUCUACGACUACUACCACUUGACGUUACCUCGCCAUGGUAGUUUGUCGGUAUUCCACCCAUAUUAUAGUGCACGGUAGGCAGAACAGGGAUGGGUUCCUUAGUGACAUCAACACCAGCAAAAAUAGCAGCAGUCUCAGAUAUCCCAGGAAGUCUUUCCUUGAGAACAUCCGGAGGUAAAUGAUUCAGAUGAAGAUAAAUGUGAUCCUUAAGUGGCCCUACGAUAUUCAAAAGAACCAGAUAUCAACGAUAAGCACUUAAUUGCACUCAUAAAAUCAGCAUGAACUAGCAAGUGAUCCUUCGGCUCAUACCUACACCACGACCUUCUCUUAUUUCCAUUGUCAUAGAUCUAGAAACCACAUCGCGUGAUGCAAGAUCCUUUGCUGUAGGAGCAUAUCGUUCCAUGAAACGUUCACCUUCACUGUUCCUAAGGAUACCACCCUCGCCCCGAGAUCCUAAAAGUUAGUUUUUGAAACAAAAGGAUAAGUGAACAAAACCAUGCAUAAAAAAUAUCAAUAUGUACAGAGGCUAAAACUUCAAAGACUUUGAUAUCGAAUAAGACUAUGUAGUAAAAGAACAUAACCAAUAUUGGAAACUAUUUUAUCAGUUAGAGCACUUGAAAACAAGCGAUAACCACAACAAACCUUCAGUGAUCAGGCAUCCAGCACCAUAUAUGCCUGUAGGGUGAAAUUGAACGAACUCAAGGUCCUGCAGGAAGGAUAACCAACUAAGCACAAAAAGAAUAGGAAAUGCCUGGAAAUUAAAACCUCUUGAUAGGGCAAAAAUCAUUAUAUAAACCUCGAGAGGUAACCCAGCUCGUGCGACCAUAGCAUUGCCAUCUCCAGUACAUGUAUGAGCUGAGGUUGCAGAGAAGUAAGCUCUACCAUAGCCCUGAGUCAAACAAAUUCAAUUGUAUACAACUGAUCGAAGAAAUGACAUUUUGAAUUCCCUAUAAACUAUCAAUACCCCAGUAGCUAAAAUUGUGUUGGCUGCAUGGAAACGAUGAAGGGUCCCAUCCUCCAUAUUCAGUGCAAUCACACCUUGGCAAGUCCCUGAGUGUUGCCAAAAGACAGAUAUUAGCACAUAGAUGGACGGCAUAAACAUACAUACGAACAUAAACCUCGAUGUAUAUGUCCAUCAAGCAGAAGGAAUAGAUAGAAAAUAUCAUGGAAGAAAGUUGCAACGACUGCAAGAAGCUGGUGAACCAAAUGCGAGAAUAAAUGCAUGAUAUAGUCAAAACAGAAUUCCACUGGUUCUCUAAUAAGGCUACCACAUGAUUAGUAUGUCACAAUUUCAUUGUUUACAGAUAAACAAGUCCACCACAAGUAUAGUUUGUAGGCUAAGACAUUAUCAAACAACCAAAUCAUUUUUACACAGAAUAAGAUAUUAUCCUGCAUAAUUAAAUACAAGGAACAACAAACAAAGAAGUGAUGCAGUAAAGGAACCAAGUAUCUGGAUCAAACCAUACAGCAAAAUAAUCAUAAUUUGAAACUUAAGGAUUACACAGUCAAUGCUCCUAUAUCCACAAAACACUUUGAACCUUAUCUUCAAGAAAGUAAUUUUAAUCAUUGACCCAUCAUCAUAAUUUUAUGGACUACAGGGCACAAGAAAGCAUCAAAUUGAGUGCUACUUAAACCAGGACUACAAGCUCUGAAAGAAGAAUCUCUUAGUACUGGUAAGAGAAAGAUAACUUCAAACACUAUGCAACUGAUAUCUUCAUUCAUGGACCGUGAUUUUACCAGAAUUAGAAACUUUUUAAGUAGAUAAUUUUUUUUAGGCAUUGAAUACUUCACUCUGUCAAUCCUUUUAAAUUUCAAAAAUAUCCAGUUUGUUAAAUUUUCAUAAAACCAGUAGAACUUUUUUAGAGGUUGUCCUCAAACUUGCACGGAAAGCUCUAGUUUUAAUGACCAUGAAAUAAUCUUAAAUAUUCAAGAAUCAAAACAUUGUGAGUCACAAAAUUUCAUGGAAUUCCAUACAUAAAUUUUGUUAAACAUAAAGAAAGAUUUGAUGGUUCAUUUUUAAAACUUAAAAAUCUCAUCCCUGCUCCCUUCUCUUUGACUAUAAAUAUGUAUUUAAACUAGACACAGCAAUAAAAUACAAAAUAAAUAUGUAGGAAGAACCUUUCACCAGAGUACACACCUAAAAUGAAACCUGAACCCACACUACUAGGCAGGGAUUGCUGUACCGCCCGAAACAGUAUGGUUUUGGUGGUACAUACCGGUCCAAGCAUGGACUGAUACACGGACCACCCCGUUUCGGGCGGUCUGCAUUAAAACAAUAAAAAAAAAUCAAAAAGUUGUGGGCCUCCGUCUAUUUCAGCGUAAAAAACAAACAUAUUAGAGCUCUUCUCGUGUAUGAAGCCACAGCACUGCCUCUUCGCUGAUGCAAUGCUGCAGCGGUGCUGCCUCUUCACAGCUUCACCGCUGCAGCGACGUAACCUCUUCGCUGAUUUGCCACUGCGAUGCUGCAGCAGCGUUGCCUUUUCGUCGCUUUGCCACUGCGAUGCGGCAGCAGCACUAACUCUUUGCCGCUUCGCCACUGCGAUGCUGGCUCAUCACUGCUUCACCGUUGCAAUGCUGUAGUGGCACCGCCUCUUCGUUGCUGUGAUGCUACUGCUUCCUUUCAACGCUGUAGCUGCUUCCCAGGUAUCGCUGCAUUUCUUCUCCUCCUCUUUUUUCUUCUUCUUCCUUCUUUCUUUCUCCUUCCUCCUCUAUUCCUCCACUAAACCUUCCUCUUCAACCUUUUUUUCUUCCUCGUCAAGACAUCGGUACACAUCGAUGUACCAUGUGUUGGUACAUCGGUAUGGAACGGCACGUGCCAUGCCGUCGACUGGGCGACACACCGGCUCGGACCAGUAAGUCAAACCUUGCUACUAGGUUUUUUCCUUCAUAUUUUUUCUUUUCCAAGAAGGAUUUGAAGAUAUGAAACCCGUUUCUAUCAAAAAGUAAGACUUCAACUAAGAUCCACAUAGCCAAUUGGAAGGGCAAUUUUAGAUCUAUCAGUGAACAAUAUGUUAAGUGCAUAUAUGAAAUUGAUAGUUCCUCAUUAAAUACAGGAAUCUACCAACUAUAAACAGCCAGUGCCAAUCUAAGUUCUUGGAUAAAGAAAAGGGAAGCGAAUGAGAUACCUAGAUAUUGACAGUAGCUAGAGUUUAAAAAAGUGAAAUUAUCAAGAUCAAUGAACACUAAGAAAAUUUCAUUAUUGAUUAAGUGAAAAACAUUAGGAUUGAUGGCAUGUGAUGCUGCUUACCUUUGCUAUCCAUGAGAAGAUCCAAAGCAAAGUAUUCAACAAAAAACUGAGUAUUAUGCUUCAUCGCUUGCCCAUAAAGUGUGUGCAGCAAGGCAUGGCCAGUUCGAUCAGCAGCACAUGCACAACGAUAUGCCUGGCCACCUAAAGAUGUGAACCAAUGUGAGAGGAAUAUUUAAACACUUCAAAGCUGGAGAAACCCCAAUGACCAGAAAAAUAAUCAAAAAGCAAAGCAUCUACCUUUUCCAAAAUCCAAACUUUGACCUCCAAAAGCCCGUUGAUAUAUUUUGCCAUCUUCAGUCCUGGAAAAAGGUAAUCCGUAGUUUUCCAGUUCAAUGACUGCUUUUGGUGCUUCUCUGCACAUAUACUGAAUGGAAUCCUGAUCACCUGAUAUAAUUCAACGAGGGUUACAUGUCAGUAACACAUAUGGAAGCAAUAAGAGUACAGAAACUCAGUCAACCGAAAGACAGCAUUUUUAGAAUCUGUCAAAACAUAGAAAAUCUUGCAUUUAUGCAGAAGAAUCCUAGAGAAUGAAGCAUUUAGCAUUAUUUGUUCUUGAGAAACACAGUCAAAAACAAGCAAUCUAUGAUUCCCCUAGCAACAAAGAGCUGAUGUUCUACGUUUAACUUUGCCACCACAAAAUCAAGUGUUCAGGAAGAUCUACUUCAAUAAGUUGUAUGAAAAUAAAAGUACAAAGUAAACAGAACAAAAAUUAUUUGCAAAUUAGUUACCUAACCAGUCACUUCCUUUAACAGUAUCAUACAUGUGCCACCUCCAGUCAUCUUCGCUCAUAUUACCAAGAGCAGCAUUUAUACCACCCUGCAUGUAGUGUCCCAUCACACUUCAGCAAAAAAAUAUUCAAACAGACAGCAAUUAAAAGCUAAUUAACGACCUUUAAAUAGUCUGAACAUCCAAUCCUAUGAGAGGCACAGAACAACCCACAGGGAUUUGAAAAAGAUAAUUGACUAUUUAAACAAAUAAUCUUGCAUUCUCAUCCAGAAUUUGUUCUGUAUAAUGAUAUAGGAAGUAAAUGAGUUUUACUAAACAACAGUCAAAAUAAUGGCUCCUAGAAGUUCCUUAAUUUGUAAAAAAUCAACAAAAUAAAUUAAAAAUGAUCUUUCACAUUAAUAAGAAAAAGGAUUGACUUCCAUCUGAGGGUGCUUAUCUUAUUAGAUUAUCUAAGAAUGUCAGGAGAAGUAGUAGGGGUUGCAUUGCAAUGCGUUAUUGUGGGAAUUCCAGGGAUAUGGAAGUUAUCACUUAUCACCACUACCAGAAAUGUCCAAAAGGCUUCACAGCCACAGAGUUGUUACUUUAAUUCAUUAAUUGUACAUUUCAAGAAACCUCAUGUGAUUAUAAGUAUUAUUCACCAAGAAGCUCAUUUCUAACUAAUCUUGCUAUUCUUAUUGUUCUAAAAGAAAAGACCUUUCCAAAAUUCUUUGCAGUUAGUCAUCUCAGUGGUGCUUAAAUGUCAUAAUUCUAGCUUUAAACUUCUCCAAGCAGAUUAGUCAUCAUACAGUUUUUAUGGUAGGUCUUACUCUGGACCUGACUUCAACAUAUUUUGUGCUUUUAUUUUUGUUUCUUUCUACGUAAUUUGUGCUCUUCUUUUUUUCUCCGUGUCCUUUUCCAUCUUUUCAGAGCAUCAUAUUUGAUCUGCCGCCAAGAACAUGAAGACCUACCAAACCAAUGAUCUUGCAGUUUGCAGAAAGCUAUUUAACAAGGAUUUUCAUAUUUAAUGCAAAUAGGUAUCAAUAUCUUUACAUAUAUUAUCAUCUGAGGUUGAACCUAGUGUCAUAAAUUCUAGUCUGAUUUUUAAAAACCAAAAAGAGCCCAAGUUGUCGUACUAGAUUUCAGCACCUGUGCAGCAACCGUGUGAGAGCGAGUAGGAAAGAGCUUGGUAAUGCAAGCAGUAUUAAAGCCAUGCUCUGAGAGACCAAUGGCUGCUCUUAGCCCUGCACCUCCAGCGCCUACAACCACUGCAUCAUAUGUGUGAUCAACGAUAGUAUAUGAAGAGCGCCCAACCUUCAUCACAAGCAACAAAAGUCAGAUACUAAGUUUGCCAUUGAAGAUGAGAUGAGCUGCUGUCAUUAUAAUCAACUGGCUACAAAUUACAAAAGAUUGCAACAAAUGCCAACUAACAGAAAUUAUUCGACAUGCAAGAAUUUAAUGAUGGACAAAAGAGGGAGAAUAAAGAAAAUCAAUGAAAACUAUGUACAUGGGCAAAAUAAACUUGAAAAUCCUCUCAGAACCAGAAUUGCAAUCAAGAACAUGCGAAUGAGGAAAUGUAAUUUCAUACAGAAUCACAUAGAACAAAUAUCAAAUUCCAUGAAACAUAGGACCUAAUUGGCAACUCAUAAGUGGCAAAUAGUGUUCCUUUGAAUCAUCAUUGCGAAGGAAAUGUUGAAACGGAAAACCAAAUGAAACUAUUUAAAAAUAUAUAGUGGAAAAGUGGUAACCCAAAAGCUAUAAUAUAAAACAACUAGAUGACAAAUGAACGAAGAGGCAAAGCAGAAGACCGGGAAAAAGACACUCGAAAGUUGAUAGCGAAAUGCAACGAUCAUCCGACUAAGAACAACUAACCAAACAAAAAUGAAGAUUUAGCUUGAACGAAACAAACCCUCGUUAAAACAAAUCUAAAGAAAUUAGAGGGUUUUGAGGUUUUGAUCCUCUGACCCGCUGUCGAUCAACGUGCAGAGGACGCACGUGAUGCGAGUGGUCUGGAAAGCAAGGCGCGUUUCCAAGCUGAGAUCGGCACUAAAGAACUAGAACGACAUCAAACGGAUCGCAGAUCAAAUCGAAUACCGAGUCAGUGGAGAAGGAUCUAGGCGCCGUCCACGGCGACUGACGGAUCGGCUCGCUCCCGAUCGGCGACGCCUUCCUCGAGAAGCGGAAGUUCCGCGGCAAGCAGCGGCGCCACAUCGCCUCCAAGCCUCUCGCCGAUCUCCUUUAUCUCACACAAAGAGGAACCUGGAGGAAGACGGCAGCGAACGGAGCCAAGGCGACACCCACCGUCUCUGGUUCGCUUAAAAAGGCGUGUGGUCUGUCCAUUCUACAAGUUUAUAUUCCCUGCAAUGCUUUUUAAUUACAAGUUUGCCAUUUUAACCCGUCACGGGUGAAAACUAGGGUAAGAUUGUUCCCAUUAGAAGGUUGCUGCUGCUGCCACUGCGUAUUGAUCCUCCCCAAAUCCGAUACAAGUCUCGGUCGGUCUCCUCUCUCUUUUAUUUAUUUAUUUAUUUAUUUCCUUUGAUAAAAUUAUUAUUUUAUUCGAUUAUAAUAUCAAUGAAUAAUCUCUUGAGAUAAUCUCAAUCAAGAAGAAAACUAGACCAACCUAAGAAUCUCUUAAUAUAAAUUAAUAUUUAAAAAAUUAUUGCCAAGUAUAAAAAAUAAAAUUGUGUGUAAUUGUAAAUGAUGGAGAAAAGAUUUGUCAAAUACAUCACCACAACCCAACAACACAAUAAUGCCGCAUAAUUAAAUUGAUAAAUUCCACUUCAUGCUAGUUGAUGCAAAUGACUCAGAUUACUUACUAUGCAUCAAAUUAAGUUAUCAAACACUAGAUGAACUUAUGACACAUAUGUAAAUUAUAGCUCAUAAUAAUAAUUAUCACUAGUGUUUUUGGCCAAGGUGCUUCAUGGCACGUCAGUGAUGUAAUGAUACAAAAGUAAGGGCAAUUUGCUAAGCUUUGACCUGAAAGGGUUAACGACGGGGAAAGAGUUAGAUUACCGGUCCAACUGUAUCACCUUUUGAAGCCACUGGCGAGACCGAUAGCCACGACGAUGGACGUCCCGCUGGCCGCACCAAGCGAGACGCGGCACCACCAACACCAGGCUCCACACCUUGCCCUCACCUGUAGAAGCUUCUUCCACACGACAUGCUGCACCAAAUGGAAAUGACCUCAACAAAAUUCACCUCUGAAGAAAGAAUACAUCGUUUAUUUUCCCAUUACAUAUCUGGAUGAUUCCCUUAACAGUUUGAAUUGCAUUGGUAUAUAACACAUCUGAUAACUUCGCACAUGAUGCAUGCUAAUGGAAUUAUGAUAUGGAACAACAACCUGUUGUCAGUACAUCCAUGAAAAGGUUACUCUUACACCAAGGUAUACUUGUAUAAAAAAAACAUGAAAUAAUGAUGGAAGACAAUAUCUGGGAAAUAAUUGCAUGAAGUAUUUUCCCACGACAAAUUCAGAGAUUUUCAUGUUGUAAGAUUAGCAAAAACUGAUAACAAGUGACAUACUGAAUGGAAGACGCAGAAAGACGACAUACCAGUGGCAACCACCGGCAACCGAACCAACCUCAGCUACUGGAUUUUAUCCAGCUUCCCCUGCCAUGCUUCUACUCACUACCAUAUCCAGCUUCUUUGUCAUGUGAAUAACCAUGGUCCCUUUCAUAGCCAGCUUGAUCAUAGCCUCUCUCGUGCACCUGGUCCCUUUCAGGUUGACUAUCAUGUUCACAGUCAUUGUCACGACCACGUUCUCUUUCCUUAUCUCUGCCAUGACCCCGAUCACGACCAUGUUCUCUCUCCCUUUCUCUGCCACACUCAUUUCUCCUCUCUGUCCCUUUCUCUGUUUCUAUCUCGGUCCCAAUGGUGGUACUGUCUGUCAUCCCUUCACUCCCAUGCCCUAUCAUGGGAACGUUCACGGGGCCUCUCCCAUUCUCGAUCUCGAUCCCGUCCCCUUUCUCGAGACUUCUCCAUGUCCACCCAUUGAAAAAUGAAUAACUGAUAGAUGCUAGAAACAUGAUGUAAACUACUGAUGUCACCAGAAUCCUAAAUUUAUACUUGUACCUUCACUAGAAAAUGGAAAGUGAAGAGGCCAUCAUACCUGUCCACCUGACGAUCAUCUUGUGCUCUUGACUCCUCUGAUCUAGAAUGUCCUGAUGCACAUUUCUGCUGCUCCCUGGGAAGAAGAAAAAUUCAUGUACAAAAAGAAAAUACUCAUAAAUAUUGAUGCUCCGAACACAUCUAGGGCAGUGUCAUCCACAAAAUGAAGAUACAAAUUAAAAUGCAAUUAUUAUGCAAGAAAAUCCCAAGUUCCCUGCAACAAGUAGUACAACUACAUUAAUAGUUACUAGUUGCAAGAACGUUUAUCUACUAGUCACCAAUUUUAAGGCUCUAAUGUAGGUACAAAACAUAAGCAUGUAUACACUGGACUGACUAUUCACUAACAUCUUUCCUCUAUCUCCCACAAAGACUACAUGUAUGCAAGUAAGUUCAAACAAUUUUAACCACAAAUUCCUCUUAGAAAAUAGAAUCACAUAGUACCAAUAUGAUACAAAAUGAAUUUUGCAUCAGAGCAAGUAUCAAAACCUGUUGAAUAUUAAAUAAAAAAAGCCUCCUGUGAGGCUCAACUGGUUCAAAACUAGGAAGAAUUUUUGACUGGAAAUUUUAGCACAGUAAGUAAUUGCAAAAUGAUAAUGUUCUGAAACUGCCUUGAAGGCUCAACCAAGUUCACAAUAAUAAUUGACAUUUUACUACAGAAGGAAAGCUCAUAUGAAAAACAACACCACUGUGUAUUUAUGCUAUAUUGACAAACAACAAAGAAGGCAGCUGUUCUUACAUAGUCACAACCCGAGCAAACUAUUUACAAACUUAGACAAAAAUAAUCAACUUUGAUUUAUCUAAAAUUUGAAACAUAAUCAUCCAGAAUAUGGUACUACUUGAACCUAGUCUAAAGAGGUACAAGCAUAUUGAAGGUCAAAUUUUGGCUCAAUUACCUGCCAGAAUGCUUCUGAUUAACUUCUUCCCCUCCGGUCCUGGUUGUUCCAAGUCCACCACCCAACCUUUGAGGUCGCCAAUUUGGCACCGAUCUUCCUUGCUCAACAUCAACAAGUACUCUUUUAUUGUCUAUCUUCCGACCAUCAGCUUGCUUAUAUGCAGCUGCAUGAUGCAAAAAAAACCCAACUAUUGUAACAAUUAUGAGUACAGGUUGUUUAUGAAUACUACAAGAUAACUUUCAGCCACACUUUUCAUGUCUCAUGUAUGCAUGUAUUCAAUGAAAGCAUAUCCUCUAGGUUUUUUUGUCUCUUUGUCUGUGAUUAACCAUACCUGAGAAUCACAGAAGAAAAAUAAAUUUAUAAAGUGAAACCGGUGAGCAUGAAUGGCAUGACAAACAGGCACUACAGCUCACUAGCGGUGCUCGCCUUGAUAGGUGUAAGGCUUCACAAUGCGAGAUGAAUCAUCAGCAUACAAAUUGAGUUGGCACAAAACUGGUGUAUGUCCCAUUACCGGAAGAAUCAAAUAGUUUUACCGCCCCUUUACCAGGGAAUUUUACGAGUAGCUAAAAACAGACAUUAUAAAUAGAUUAUACCAGAAAAAUUCUAAAUAUACCAGAAACCUUCUGGAUGAUGAAAAGAUUUUCAUUUGGCCUUUAAAACCAGAAAAACAUUUCAGUAGCAAUAAAAUCACAAUAUAAUUGAACUCAAAAUAUUGAAGAUCCUGCUUACUGCAGAGGGAAUCUGAAGGGAAAUUAGAGGUUUUCACUGCCUUCGUGAAGCAACCACCAUGAUUUACUACCCUGAUCAUCCUUAUGUAACCAAGUUGACUGAUGGUUGCACUUGCAUUGACCACAAACAAACAUUGAGAAUGAAAUUACAUGAAUUCAGAGAUGAGAGAGACAGGACCUCUUCUUACCAGCAGUGUUUCUUCUUAUAAUAGCAAACCACUUGCAAGUAGCUAAUAGCUAGGAUGUGAUCUAAAUUUCCAUAUAAUGUCCACUGACCAGAACUCAAAUGAAGGAAUUAAGAAAACCUACAUACAACUUCGGAAUUUACUUGUGCUACACCCAUUUUCUUCAUGAUGUAACAAUCAUCUGGCUUCUCAAGUAUUGCUACCAACUAAAAUGAUUAAAAAAAAAACACUUAAAUACAUAUAUAUAUAUAUAUAUAUAUAUAUAUAUAUAUAUAUAUAUAUAUAUGAAUGAUAUUCAUCUUGCUAUAUAUGGCUAAUAUACCUGUGAUUAUCCCUUAUUCCUACUUUCUAGUUUAUCAAAGAUAAUCAUGGGCUUACAGAGCAAAUAAAAGAUUUAAAGAAACAGAGAAAAUAGAACAUUUUUCAGAGGUUGAAUUACAAAAACUGAUGUAUGGGAUAAGUAUUUGAAUUACAAAAGAAAAAAUAUUUAUCAUCACCAGCAAACCACCCAACAGCAACAAGAAGAUCGCAAACAGAUAAGUAUUCAACGAUGAAAACUUCUUCCUAUAGAAUCCAAAAAAUGCAAACUUUGUGGAAACUGUGAUCAAAUGAAUGAGAAACAAGAUCUACCGACAAAAAAAGGAAAAACGGCUAACAUUCCAAAAAGACAAUAGAUUAUCGAACCCUAGAAGAGGGGGACCAGAUCAAGAGGCCGUGAACCUAAGCCGGACGGUGUCCGAGUUAGGGCAACAAUGGAUCAAAGAGGUAAAUAGAGGGAGCAAAAGAGGCUUAUCGAGAUUACAUGUUUGAGCUGGAGGACAUUGGCUCAUUCUGGGCUUUGGUGCGGGACUGGACGGCGGCGUUGUUGCGAUUGAAGGCAUCGUUGUAAUCCCCCAUCCUCCACGACUCGAAGGGCGGCUAGAACGAGAGGGGAUCGAUCGCCCCCCACCGGAGGGAGGUGGAAGAAGGCGCGCGAGCUCGGAUUCCCCUCGCCACUGCUGUCCUCCGCGUGCGGCGCGAGCGAGCGGCCCGGCCCAAACAGAUGAAUGAGAUCGCAGGGGUUCGGUUUCCCUCCGUGCGAUUUUUAAUAUCGCAUUUCCCAGUGAUAAUAUUCCCAUUGUUACUCCAAGCCAUAAAUGCCACGUCGCCGUGGAUGGUUGUGUCUCAAGUCGCGACACGAUGCACACGCGUUCUAACAGGUGUUUUCCGCGUUGACUUUCAGAUGACGUUAGCAUUCGAUGAAUCAAAUGUAUCAUCACCCAAUAAACAUAUUUUUAUAUGAUAUUUAAAAGAUGAGGUUUCGAAUAGACGAAUGAGAUACAAAAUCCAUUAGCUAAACGAGAACAAUUGGAUAAAGCACAACAUCAUCCUCGAAUCCUGUUUUCCCUCUACACAUUUUUCCCUGUAAAUGACAAAUAAAUGUGCUCGAGUAGUGUACAUCAUCAACCAUUGAAGUCACAGAAGAUCUUCUUCGCCGGACAUUGUGUCGAUCUUAAAGACCAGAUACCGGGAAGCAUGAUGCUCAAGGAGCUGGGCCUCGUGUUGACCUCCUCAAAAAUGCCUUUGUUUUCCGAUAGGAUUCAAGUCGCCGGAGAAUCCUCCGCUGCUGGAUGCAGAAUGGCAAUGCUCGAAUUCUGUGAUCGGUCCGUCGUACCCAUCACUGUAUUCAGGGCUUGCGAUCAUAACCUUUCUGAGACGGUUCAUGCUGGAGGUGUACGAGUUCGAUUCAUAGUCGGAGCCUGAGCCGAAGAGCAUGCUCUGCCCGGGCCUCAUCCCCUCGUUCAAGUCUUCCAGCGAUACGUCGCCUUCCAAUGCUCUCACAAUCUGAUGUUUUCAUAAGUUUAAACACACAGGUCAUGGAUUUGAGGCGAACACAGCAACGGUGAAGUUUGCAGUGAUCAAACCUGGCUCAUCUUCGGUCGUCUUCUCGCAGAGUGGCGAACGCUGGCAGCGGCACAAGCCACCAUGCGUGCCAUCUCCAUGGGAUCGUAGUUGCCAUCUAAGCGUGGAUCAGCUAUCUCAUCGUAGUCUCCGUCAGCCAAAGCACGCGACAACACAGGCCUUGCCUGUUGAGAUCAAGCCAAUGUGUCAGUCGGUUUUGACAGCUGAAACCAUAGCACGCAUGGCGGAAGAACACUUACCCAGUCCACCAAGCUAUCUUCCAUGAAUGUGUGUGUAUCGACCGGUCGUCGUCCUGUUAUCAGCUCCAGAAGCAUCACUCCAUAGGAAAAGACAUCAGAUUUCUCUGUCAGCUUCCCGCUCGAUGCGUACUCAGGAGCCAAAUACCUGGUCACCAAAGGAGGAGGGGGGGGGGGGGAACAACAGACGAUGAUGUCUUAGAAACAGUGACGAUAGAGACUGGAAUUUGCUGUAGUGAGAAGCUGGCAAUUCAUCAAACAUCUUGCUCACCCGAACGUUCCCAUAACACGUGUGGAAACAUGAGUGUGGUUGUCGGACGACAGUUUGGCCAACCCGAAAUCUGCCACCUACAUACAUGUUUUUACAUAAACUAAAGAUUUUAGGAUACAUUGCGCAUGUAAUAUGCAAAAGUUCAUCAACUGACAUUUGCAUUUCUCUCCAAUUUUUUGUUUUUUCUUUGCAAUCUGAAGCACUUCGUACUGCAACAACAAAACGAACUGUCUUACCAUGGCUUCGAAUUUUAAAUCCAGGAGGAUGUUGGCAGACUUGAUGUCACGGUGAAUGAUUCGAGGGUGACCUUCGAGGAGAUGAUUUCAAUCAAAUAAGCUAGAGAUCAUAACACAGAUUCCUCGAGAAGAUGUGCAAUUUACUCACAGUCCUCAUGCAGGUAAGCGAGUCCUCUGGCUGAUCCUAACGCAAUUUUGAGUCUGGUCGACCAAUCCAUCGCCGAGAGUCCUUUUCCUGCAGCAGAUGGCGGAAAAGAUUGAGAUUGGUUCGACAAGCAUCUUCGAUGCAGGCUGCGGAAACAAUGGAGUCAAGUGCUGACCAUGGAGGUGGUACUCGAGAGUCUUGUUGGGGACGAACUCGUACACCAGCAUUCUCUGUGAACCAGAGAUGCAGUAUCCGACGAGGGACACGAGGUGGCGAUGGUGAACGCGGCUAAUGAUGUCGACCUCAGCCUGGAACUCCCGCUCUCCCUGUCCGCUCCCCGACUUGAGUUGCUUUACUGCGAUCUCCUUCCCAUUGGGGAGAACUCCUUUGUGCACGUACCCAAAUCCUCCCUGCCCCAACAGGUUAGCAUGCGAGAACCCGUUGGUAGCAGUCGCGAGCUCUUCGUAGCAGAAGGUGCUCUUGUUGAAGGCGAGGGCGAUGACAGGGGAGGGGGGUGGCAGUGGAGGACCAUGAGGCGCUGAGUAGGCUGAGGUUGCGUCUUCGCUGUUCAUCAUGGGCGGAGGAUGGUGAGCAUGCCACCCUCCUCCGUGCAAGGGUCCCGGAGGUGGUGGUACCUUCACGUCAUGGCCUUCGUUGUGCCACUUUUGGGGCGGUCCACCGCCGUAAUAGUCGCUGUCUACAAUCACAGACAAGUUGUCGGUUGCACUACUUCUUGGUUAAGUAAUCUGCACUUGAGACUCGUAGUUUUGUCCGUAAGAUUUAAGCCAAGAGAUUGCUUCGUGUACCUUUGUAUCCCGAAGGAUCGGAAUAGUACUGCAUAGCGUUGUGGCCCUUGUCCUUGUCCUUCUUCUUCUUCUUCGUGGAGCAACAGACGCAUGCAAUUACCAUGAGGACAAAGAAUAGCCCUAAGCCUGCCGCCACUCCGAUGAUAAGCGGCAAGUUCAUAUCAGAAUGGUGAACUUCACUUGACUUGGAGAAUGAGUCUGCCGGUGUUGACCCCCCUGAAUCAUUCGUGGAAUCAGCAUGCACCAACGACUUGGAGUAGGGAGUGACCGGCGACGACGAUGUCCGAGAGGGCCGCCGCAGCGAGGUGGGCAGUGGAGAUGGCGAGGGAACUGAAGAAGAGCCAUCGUCUGACUCCAGCGAUGGCGAGGAGUCUUUCGAGGAUGAAGGAGGCGAGGGCGGUGAUUUAUCGGGCGGUGUUGGGCUAGCGGUCGGAGGUGGGGAAGCGUCCGGCGACUUCAAUGGAGGAGGAGAUACUGACGACGACGAAAACGAAGACGAAGACGAAGAAUUGAUUGAGGUUGAUGAGGAAACACCCGGCGGCCGAGCGGAAGUCAUAUUCCGGACUCGCCGCCCUCCCUCUCAACUGUUGUUUCGGACAAUGCCGUGGUAGUAUACUAAGAACCCCUACAAAGAGCUCCAUGAUCAGAAGACAUCAAACAAACGCCAUGAAAACAUGAAUCUUCGAUUCCUACAAAUACCUUUUCUGCUAUCUUCUCAUGAUCCAAGGGGAGGGACGAGGAUGGUACUCAGAGAAGGGCGAGGGAGGAGACGGUGCGUGAAGGCGCAGCGUCGUCCUUCUCCAAACACCAGCACUCCGAUCCUUGGAGUGAUAUAUAGAUUUACUAUUUCUAUGUGGGCAUGCCAUCAGAGGAGCCAUCAAGCAGGCUGGAAUUAAGGGGAGAAAAGGAUGGGAGUAACAAGAAACAGAAGAGAAAGAGGAAGGAAGAGAAGACGCUCCGUCGUCCUCCAUUCUUAGCCAACCUGCUGUCUAUUCUUGGGCUGGCGGUUGACUGUUUCCCGCGCCACCGCUCGAUAUUACUUGUCCUUGGCACGCGUGCGAAAGCGGCCACAACCGUGUUUCGCACGCAGGGGUUGGUCCUGACGACACAGUGUGGUGGUGUUGCACCUUUGAACUGUGCAUGCAUACGUCGAAGAGAACUGAGAAGAAGAUAGCUUUCUUUCUGUAGAUCACAGAAUCCAGGAAGUCCUUUAAACCUGCUUGUUCUUCAUGGAACUCGAAGACUAGAAGAUCAAAAGAAUGUGUUCUGUACAGGAACAUAAUGUCAAACAGAUGUCAAUUCUCAGCAAAACCAAUUCAAUACAAGCCAUGCUGCUGCGGAUGCAUGUUGAUGAACAAAUAUUGGAAUUGGAUUUCAUUGAAAGCUAGAUCAGAUACUGAACAAAUCGACAUGAUGUGAUAGAUAUCGGACCAGAAAAAUCGAAUCAUUAGGUACUCAUGUGGAACUGUUUGCCUAUCGAAUCAGGUCUUUUGCAGUUAUUAUCCAAAUCUCGAUGAUUUAGAUAAGCAGGGAUCCUGUCAGUGUCGAUGGGAAACAGACAGAACAUAUCCUGUCUUCGUAGCAUAGUUUUCCGUAUAAUGUAGCAUAUAUGUGUGUUCCUAUUCUCCACGUAUAUGUACUCUCAAUUAUACAUGUCGAAGACAUAAAACGAAUACUAGUUAUAUUCUUAAUCGUUGUAUCAUCACAACAAUCAAUUCUUAGUUCUGCCAGUCUAAUAAUAAUAAAUAGGGAAAAGAAAUGGAGGAGAUGAGAGAGGGGCGAGAUAAGGGGAGGGAUGUGAGCACAAGACACAGCGAGUGCCGCCAUUACUCUCGCGGAGUUAGUUUCCGAAACCCUAAGCAACAGCCUGGCUUCUGGUCUUCCACCACAACUUACACCACCCCCUUCUCCUUAAUCUUUGCAAUUUCGAACUUCAAACCGACCGCUCCAUCUCAUCCUCGUCAGCUCUAUCACCACCGAUCUCGGCCCUCCCCUUCCUGUAUAUAUCUCCCCCCGACAGAAGCAGAUGUCGAAGAAGAAGAAGAAGAAGAAGAAGAAGGCCAAAGGCGGAUCAAGAUGAACAGCAAGAGUACUGUGGAGAACUCCUUGUGCAGAUCCGACGAUCUCAACGUCGAACUCACCCUCGGAGUCUCUCCGUCACGUCACGUGUCGAACCCUCCCUCCUCCUCCUCUUCUUUGCUGCCGCCGCCGCCGCCUACACUGCAGCAACAGCCGCACCAGUAUUCGCAGACUAACUUGCCGCCGCCUUUCCCUCCCGUCUUGCAUGUUCCUCGUCGUUACACGGUCAUCCCUCCUCCCACCAAUCCUGCCGCUGCUGUUGCUUCUUCAUCUUCUGCUUCUGCUUCGCCUCGGUCGGGCGGGGGACGCACACGGCGCAACCCCACCCAGGGGCCGAGGAGCGGCAAGAGCGACUCCAUCAAACCAAUCUUUCCAUGGUCCACCGAUCGUCGGGCCACCGUCCACAGCCUGAGUUACUUGCUCUCCCAUGACCUCAAGGAGGUAUACGGGGAUGCGCAGUGCAAGCGGUGCGAGGCGCGGAGGAUAAUCAGGUACGACCUGGAGUCCAAGUUCCGGGAGGUGGCGUGUCGCAUCGCGGCGACGAGGCACCUCAUGCACGACCGGGCGCCGGCGGAGUGGAUGAACCCGACGUUCCCGGACUGCGACGCCUGCGGGCAGCCCAACUGCAUGCGGCCGGUGGUGGACGGGAAGAAACGCAACAUCAACUGGCUGUUCAUGCUGCUGGGGCAGACGUUGGGAUACUGCACGCUGGAACAGCUCAAGUAUUUCUGCAAGCAUACCAAGAACCACCGCACCGGCGCCAAGGACCGAGUGCUCUACCUGACUUACCUCGGCCUUUGCAAGCAGCUGGAUCCGAACGGCCCAUUCGAUCUCUGACAGCUCGCUCUUCACAGAAGCCUCAUGAGGCUGCUUCAGAGCGAGUAGGGAAAAGGUAUGAAGAAAUAAAGGAAGUUGGUGGAAUCGUGAUCGUAUUUUAUGUUAUGUGGUUUGUGCUUUUCUUGUUCCUCAUCUAUCUAUGUAAAUUUUGUUUUACUUUUUUUUUUAUUUUCUUUGACGUAGAAUGUAAUAUGUUGUAUUUUCUUGUUUGUUUAAGUUAUGGUAUGAUUUAUGAAUUAUGUCUAUUUAUUUAAGAAUAUGAUUAUUUUGGUUUUAUUCUAUGUCUUAAAUAUUAAAAAUGUUAAACAUCUAUUUUUUCUAAUCGUAUUAAUAUAUAUGAAAUAUAUGUAUAUGUAUAUAUAUAUAUAUUUAUUUAUUUAUUUAUUAAUAAUAGUGGAAGGAGCGCAAGACAUUUCGUAGUGUACUGUUUGAGGCUUGGGCACUGCAAUGCACACACAAUAAAGGGUGUGGCCUAAAAGUCUUUAGAUGGAGAGGAAGAUGCGACCCCCAUUUCUACUCCCCUAGUUUUGGGGGUAGAUGAUCGUCGAAAGACCAAGUAGAAUGGCCUACCUCACUUGAAGAGAAGAGAUUGGGUGGAUCAAUGGAAGGAACUGGUUUGCAUUUCAUGAAUCAUCAACAAUAUCUACAAACACUCCAAUAAAUUCAAUUUGGUUGAAAGAACAGACCAGAAGGACUCCAAAGUAUCUAUCAGAUGCAUAUAGUGGUGCUCUGUUGUUGUUGAAUUCAAGACAUGUUUAUGCACACACUACCACUCUUGCUGCAUUGGCAGACGGGGCAUGCGUCCACGGCCGGGCCGCACGCCGCGCAAAGGCACAAAUGCCGGCACGGCAGCAGCAACACUGACGGUUCGCCGUCGUGGCAGCUCCGGCAAGCUCUCCUCCACUCCCUCCUCACGCCGGCCUCCUCCUCCCCGUCGCCUACGCAGCAGCAGGAUUCGGCGUCGUCGGCGGUCGCUGCCUCCUCCUCUGCCCUCGCCUGCGCCGCGAGGAACUGUUCGAGGUUGGCCCUCAGCGCGUUGGCCGUUGCCUCGUUGCUCUGCGCCAUGUCGCGCCACAUCUGGUUCUCCACGCACAGGCUCUUGAUGCGCUCCUCCAAUGCCCAGUUCAUCUUCCCUAACCUUGCGACCUCUUCUUGGCUCGCCCUAAGCCGCUUCGACAUGCCUUCCUCCAGCGCAGCGAGGAUCUGCGUCGUAAACCGCUUCCGCCGCUCCGUCAGCUCCGCCCGCGCCCUCUCCGCCUGCCAUUUCCAAUGCCAAGGCUCAGAAACCGCUAAUUCCUUCGAUCCAGAGAAGCCAUCAACUACGGAACCCGGAGAAUUACGUGUUGCAGGAUGAGGCGAUCGAUGUCGAGCACCUGCUGCUGCAGGUGGGAGGACAUGUCAUCGCCAAGAAGCGAGACCUGGCGCAACCGCUUCCUUGGCGCUAGCACUGCGGCGGAGGCGACGUUGUUGAAGCCGAGCACACUGCCGGGGGCGGCAGCAGCACCGGAUACCGGCGAGAGGAAUCCCAUUUGCAUGGUGUGCAAGCUUGGUUGAUUCCCUGUACAGCACAGUAAGAAACAGCAAUACAGUUCGAGAGCCACGACUGCCACUACAAUAAGAGAAGACAUGAGCAUGCAUGCAUGGAGAAGAAACAAAUGGUGAUGAGAAGUUGGAACCUGCUUCUUAGGAGGUGUUGAGAGGAGAAGAGGUGAAGGUUGUGGGCUUCUACUGCCAUGAGAAAGGGGUGUUUCAUGAUGCUGUAUAUAUACGGGGAGAGAGAGAGAGAGAGAGAGAGAGAGAGAGAGAGAGAGAGAGAGAGAGAGCGAGGGUGCAUUGGAGGGGAUUUAGUUAAGUCUUGGUUCACAAAGAGAGGAGAAAGAAGAAAGUUAAAAGAAAGCAAGCUAACAAGUAAAGGAUCAAGAAAGAAAGAGAGAUUUGGUCCUUUGUUUUGUCCCUUAAAUUUAGAUCAAACUCUCAAUUCCACAGCCAAAGAAAGGACUCUAAACUUCAAACUUUGGCUGAAAUGCUCCAUAUGAUAUCAUCCUUAUACUGAUUGGCAACCUGAAUAGUGAUAAUUUCUAAUCUACACUAAACUAAAGCAAAGAUAGUAUAAUCCAAAAUUAUCUCAUAUAUUUACCUUCCAAACAUUAUUGCUUACCUUUUAUCUGAUUAAUCCCAGAAGAACUUUGGAUAUAUAGCAACAACAUAAAAGGAGAAUCAUAAUGCAUUGAACAAUUCUUUUAUGUUCUAGAUAAAGAGGUUGCUCAUGUAUUUGAUUUGUGGUCCUCAAAUAAAGUGUUUUGAGUAUUAUAAUUUAGCUCAGACUAGAUAGCCACAGUUACUGGUGGAUAUGUUCAGCUACUAAAAAGCAGUGCUCAUAGUUAUUGAUGCACUUUUGUCCAUAAACAGUGAGAUCCUCUCUCUCUCUCUUUCUUGCCUCAUGACUGCUGCCAGGGAUGAUGAAGAAUGGGGAAAGAGAAUGCCCAUCAAAUGGCAUGUGAUCUCUCUCCAUCAACUCUCCCAAGACUCCAUUAUUGUUUCCAUCACCCCAAUCAAAUCAAUCCCCACAUUGCUUCAAGUAUUAGAGACCUUAAAAAGGUGAAGACCAGAAAAAGUGGGACACAUAAAUCCUACAUAUCACUCCUAAAAUUGCAAGGACUUGCCUCAACUCUCACUUUUUCUACCCAACUUAAAAGGUGAAUCCUCAAGAAAACACAGCUGCCCUACCCUUUGUUCUAUCUACCCCUAUUCCGUGAGAAUCUCUCUGGCCACUCUUCUUCUUCUUCGUUCCCUACCUUCCUUUCCUCUUUGUUUUCUGAUCUUUCUUUGCUUCUUUGAAUGUGGUGGUUGCUCCCCACGUUAGCUUUGAUAUAUUCAAAGCAAAGGUUGUCCCCAUAUCCUGAACAAGAGGCACAAGAAAGCUCAGUUCCAAGGCAACUUCCCUGCCGCCACCAGUAUACUGUCAUUUGGAUGUUUGGUCUCCCACUUUUGCUUGGAAUGCAUGACCUACAGUGACCUUUGGCCACCAAACAAAUGGAUGCUACAGUCCCAUCGAAGGUGCUGUAGGUGUCACAUGUGGAUCACAGACCAGGUCUGAAGUCUCCACCAUGGUGGUACCAAUGACUUGGGAACAACAUUCAUGGAGGGCAAGCAAAUCUGGGGUGGAUAGGAAAGAAAAUUCCAAAGAACCUAUCUAUGAUGUUAGACAUCAAAAGUUAGGCAAACCAAUAAAAACUAGUUUUUGUAUGGUUGCCCAAUGAAAAGAGCUACAGAAUCUUUGCAUAAUCCAUUCUCCAUGGAUUCACCUUGUGGCCAUUAUCAUUCAACUUAAUAUUCAGUAGCACCAUGAUCCAAUGAAGGGUGAAAGUGAAGGAUUUGGGAACAUGUAGUCUCAGAUGUAAUAAACUACACAGUAUUUUAAUAGCAUGGGUGGAGUCAAUGGAUCCAUGCAUGCAUCAGAUUUGUGUCAGGGUGUACAACACUAGCCCUGAAAGGCACAUCUUUAAUUUGAUCUCCUCCUCCACUUGUGAAAAAGGAAACAACCAAUCUCACAAAGAACAGUUUUGCUUCCUCAGCUUAACAAGACAGAUUCUGGGUAGCUUUGGUAGAUGCAAGAGAAGGAAUUUAAGGUCUCUUUACAUUUGAUUCAAUGUUAAUCAUUUUAAUUAUUCUGGCUUCUGUCUUGAUAUGUCACAUUUUUUAUACUUCUAUUUAUAUUUAUAUAUAUAUAUAUAUAUAUAUAGCCUUAACUAAAACUACUACNNNNNNNNNNNNNNNNNNNNNNNNNNNNNNNNNNNNNNNNNNNNNNNNNNNNNNNNNNNNNNNNNNNNNNNNNNNNNNNNNNNNNNNNNNNNNNNNNNNNNNNNNNNNNNNNNNNNNNNNNNNNNNNNNNNNNNNNNNNNNNNNNNNNNNNNNNNNNNNNNNNNNNNNNNNNNNNNNNNNNNNNNNNNNNNNNNNNNNNNNNNNNNNNNNNNNNNNNNNNNNNNNNNNNNNNNNNNNNNNNNNNNNNNNNNNNNNNNNNNNNNNNNNNNNNNNNNNNNNNNNNNNNNNNNNNNNNNNNNNNNNNNNNNNNNNNNNNNNNNNNNNNNNNNNNNNNNNNNNNNNNNNNNNNNNNNNNNNNNNNNNNNNNNNNNNNNNNNNNNNNNNNNNNNNNNNNNNNNNNNNNNNNNNNNNNNNNNNNNNNNNNNNNNNNNNNNNNNNNNNNNNNNNNNNNNNNNNNNNNNNNNNNNNNNNNNNNNNNNNNNNNNNNNNNNNNNNNNNNNNNNNNNNNNNNNNNNNNNNNNNNNNNNNNNNNNNNNNNNNNNNNNNNNNNNNNNNNNNNNNNNNNNNNNNNNNNNNNNNNNNNNNNNNNNNNNNNNNNNNNNNNNNNNNNNNNNNNNNNNNNNNNNNNNNNNNNNNNNNNNNNNNNNNNNNNNNNNNNNNNNNNNNNNNNNNNNNNNNNNNNNNNNNNNNNNNNNNNNNNNNNNNNNNNNNNNNNNNNNNNNGAGAGAGAGAGAGAGAGAGAGAGAGAGAGAUACAAUAUUCGAACUCAUCACCUAAUAUGACAUAAUGAAUUUGAUUGGAUUAUCAAAGGGACCCACUUGCAUUAAUGCUGCUGAUGAAGUGGCAUAAAACAAUGACACAAACAGUCAAACCAGUUGACUUUUUUAGUUGUUGUUGUGUCUACUGUCUCGUUUGACGGAGUUAUUCUUUCGAUGCCGACAAAUUUAGUGAACUUACCCGAAUCCUAAUUAAUUUUGAUCCAUCGGAGAGCUGAGUUCGGAAAUUAAUAUUCUGCCGCCGUCGAAACAGCAGGAAUUCAAUUAUCUCAUACCGUUCCUUCUUGUUCUAAUUUCCAAGGCAUGUGGAACGCGACUUGGGCUAAAUACAAUUAAAAUACUAGUAGAGCACAUGCUCGAUCGAUCUCAUCCCACCAAACGAAACGAUGGGCUCUCUUCGUUCUUGCUUAUGAGACACAAUGGAAAAUAUAAGGUUUGACUGAGUUGGUGUGGAAUCUCCUGCAUCUAAAACUUUGUUUGCGUUCGAAACGUAGAAUCUUUUGCGAUGUUAGCGCAAGGGAUGACGAUAACAUUUUUUAAAUAAGGAAAAUCCAAUGAUAGGUUGAUGAAUCGUCUUAUUCUCAUUCAUGCAUCAAAAAAUUAAUCAUGUAUUUAUUCAUUUUAAUCUAAAUCUUUAUUUUUUUUAAUUACAUCUAAUCAUAAUUAUUUGAAUUAAUUUUAUCCCAUCAUUUUAAUUUAAAAUAAUUGUAACUUGAAAUUAUCUUAAAAAUAUAUAUUUUUUCAUCAAAGAUUUUAUUAAAAUGUUGACAAAUAAUAGUCUGGUUGAUGAUGCAUUUGUUUAACGAUGUAAGAAUAGAUUUAAUGUAAUAUUCGAAGUGAAAUUAAGCAUAUUUAUUAGCUCGGUUGAGAUAUUUGAUUCAUAUGUAUAUUAAAAUAGAGGAGAUAGAAAAGCGAGAUAGAUCAUACAGAGGGGUUGGUGGUGGUGUUAACGGUGAGGAGGGAGAUCUCGUCUUAGGGUGGAAGACGACGAGUUGAGCAUUGCGAGAGGAGAGGGAGAGACGACUAUCGGAAGGGGACAAUUGCAAUUUCUAGUUGAGGACGAACGAGUCCCAGCCAGAGAAGGUGAUCCCGAAGGUGAGGCUGUCCCACUACUAGACCUUGGCAUCGGCGUAUGGCUGGAACAUUGAGUUCUUGUCGGACCGAUUCUGAAGCGGAGACGCACAUGUAGCAACCUUCUCUGACGACAAUGAAACCGUCGUCGGCCAGGGUGGGGAUGACAGAACAGCGGGCGAGUUGGAUCCGGUGCGACGAUGGCGAGCGGUGCAAGUGCGGUAGUCGAGUGGGUAUGGUGUAGGGUGUAGGAGCGACGAUGGUCGAGCGGGUUCGGUGCGAUGGGGUUAAGCGGUCCAGGAGAGGCAAUGGUCAAGUGGUGUAGGAGCGACGACGACGAGUAGUAUAGGUGCAGUAGUGGCGAGCAUUGCAAGUGCGACAAUGGUCGAGCAGUGUAGGAGCGAUCGAGCAAAUGUGGUGUGUGAGAAGUACAUAUAAAUUUAAUAAUUUAAAAAAUAAUAAAAUUAUGUUUUUAUUCUUUUCAUUUACACUCAACGAAGUUAAUGAUGUAAGAAAAAUUAUGGUUAAAUAUUUUACCUUCGUAAGUUUACGAACUCUCGGGAUGUUAACCGUAGUUAACUACAGAAGGUAAUAUAUAAUUAUUUCAAAUUUUUAGGAGAUGGAGCAUUUGACCAUUUGACCAAGUCCCAAGCAAAGGAUGUCUGUGGUGAAGCCUGAGCUCUCAGCUUCCCAAGUCCAAUAUAUUAUGCUUUUAUUACAAUAUUGUCUGCAUUAUAUCAGCUGAUAGUUGUGCAUCAAGAAACUGUACAUCUCCCAGCAAGCCGUCACCAAAUUAGUGUUAGUGUCAUGUGUCUGCUUGUUAGGAAGAAGUCAUUUGAGGUGGAGGAUACAUAAGGAGGGAGAAGGUGGGAGGAAGCUUCAGCUGUUGUGACUUGACCGAGCCCACGGCCACGGCGACCACCUUUUAUAGCUAGCUCUCACUCACGAGGGAGAGUAGCAGGGGUAAAGAGAGAGAGAGAGAUCAUGGAGGAGAGGAUGGGCAAGAGGGGAGAGCUGGGAGCCGUGGAGGACGAAGACGAUGUUCUUCUUCCGGGAUUCCGGUUCCGUCCCACCGACGAAGAGCUCGUGGGGUUUUAUCUCCGGCGGAAGGUGGCCAAGAAGCGUCUCAGCAUGGAGAUCAUCAAAGAGAUAGAUAUCUACAAAUAUGAUCCGUGGGAUCUACCAAGUAAGUAGGAUCUACGUGAUGGAAACAUCGUGUUGGACUCAGCUCGAUCGUGCUCAUUUGUUGCUGGAUAUAUUUGCAGAAGCGAGCACUGGUGGCGACGAGGAGUACUUCUUCUGCCUCAGAGGGAGGAAGUACCGAAACAGCAUCAGGCCAAAUAGGGUGACCGGGUCAGGUUUCUGGAAGGCGACCGGCAUCGACAGGCCCAUAUACUCCGCAGGCAACUCCGGCGACUGCAUCGGCCUCAAGAAAUCCCUGGUUUACUACCGAGGGAGUGCAGGAAAGGGUACCAAAACGGAAUGGAUGAUGCAUGAGUUCCGCCUUCCCAACAUCACCGACAGCAACUCUCCGUGCAAGCGUGAAGCUGUGAGAUUACGUGCUGUACGAAUCCUUCGUUUGCAGUAUCCUCAAAUGCUGAUCAAACUCUGCUGCAUCGCUUUGUGUAGGAAAUCUGGACGAUCUGCCGAAUCUUCAAGAAGAGUGCCUCCCACAGGAAGACACCAAAUGCGCCAACCGAGUCAAGCACUGCAGGGAACGACUGCUGGUGCAUCGCCUCCUCGGGCUAUUCCAAUGGAGAGAACGGCCAAGGAUGCGCAGGCCACUGGGAGUUGAUGAAGCAAGCUCCCUUGGCCUUGUGUCCCGACAUGGUUCAGAGUCCAGGCAUGGAUGAUUUCUUCAGCGGAGAUGGUAAAUGGGAUGAACUCGGAAGGAUUAUGGACUUCAUAACAGAUUGAAGCAGUUGCCUCCGAGGGAAAAAAGAAGAGUCCUGCUACCAAACUUCCCUCCCGAGAAUCUAUCAUGUUUGGGUUGAAGAGAUGGUGAUCGGGAACUUUUUGGGACACAGGGCAGCAGUUCACUUCCCGGAAAGAUAAUUUAUGCUGCAAGAGCUUCACGGUGCAGUCUCCUGACAUAGUCAUCACGCUGACAUUAGCUACAAUAAUGCAGCAAACUGAGAUGCUGUCUGUGGAGUUUUUACAUGCAUAGAAUAGAGAAAAUAGAGGCGUUGCUCAUUACUUACAGCUCAAUCCUGUAUGUAAACCUACGCUAUUAAGAUUAUAAUAAAUAGUAGAAGAUGUCACAAUUACAAAUACAUACAGAAAGACCUUCUCAAAAGGAGUUCUGUUUCUCGUUUGAUGAGACUCUCAGGAAAGAUAAGAGGUCGUCGUCAUAGAGAUAAGAUACUCGAUUCAAACAUGACACGUGCCUGGUUUGAAUAUAAUGAUCGGUGUCUCGUCUCUGUCGUUUCGAUCUGAUGCGGUGGACUUUGAUCUACCGUAGUAAGUGCUUGUUUCGUGAACCGGAAAUCCACCGGGGCCCAUCGAAAUGGGAUGACCUCAGGACCUUCUAUUUCUUCUGCGUUUCCCCAAAUCUGGGCCCCUCCUGUGUCGUCAGUACAAACCCUGAAUCCUGCCUCUGACCUGACAGUUGAGCCCUACAUGGACACUGUUCCGAUGACCGCAAGCCCCUCCACCUUCUUCACAGGGAAAUCCCCGAUGAUGAAGAGAGGCGCGGCGGGCCGUGGGCGGCUCCUAAGGUCCGAGCGUCCACUCCUCCGGCGCCGGCCUCGGUUGGUGCUUCCCGGGGCUCGGACAUCAACCCGCCGGGCCGCGCCCGGUGCUGCAGUCCUUCGCCUUCGGGCUCAUGGUCCGCCUCGGCUGCCUUCAGUUUUCUCCUCGCCAUAUUCGACCGCACCUGGGUCUCUUGGGACCCUAAUCGCUCUCAAUUGAUCGUGAGCUCCCUUGUACCCCCAAAAAGAUCGUUCUUUUCCUUUUGUCUUCGGCCUUUCUCUUGUCAAACAAUAUUUGCGUUAGCAUCGUUGAUCGGUAGACGGCGGAAAUUCUAAUCUAUGAACUGGUCUACGAUCGAAGAACAUCUGAGAAGAAAGAUUCCAGUGCCAUCAGAAAACAAGACGCUAGUGUUGAAAGAUAUGCAUAUUUUUUCUUGGAUGGAUAGUCUUUUCUGGAUCAUUGACUGCUUACUGUAGACGCAGGAUAUCUUGACCUUGCUUGUUAUUUUUUUCUAUGCAAGUAUAUUAAUGGAUUAGUCAAUGAUACAAAGGACCCUGAAAUCAAUUAUGAUCAAUGUGAUGUGUAGUGAUGUCAACUUCUUUUUAGGGGAUCAUUGUGAUUUCAACUUGGACAACAGAUGAAUCAGAUGAACAGAAAUCAGGAAAUAUGUCUUGUGUCUUUUAUGUCAAUGAUAAUUUAUCAUAGCACAUCAUGUGAAAGUGUGAUUGGCUUUAUGAUUUCCUCUUUCUACCCUGCCUGCGAAAUUUGUCAAAAAUCUAACAUUAAAUCCUAUUCACAUUUGUACCCAUUUUGAUAUUUGCUUUGUAGGUUUAUGCUCUUUGGAUGAUUGCUUUACUAAAGAUCCAUUUUUCUGAUAUCAUCUUCGUGAGAUUUCGAAGUACUUCACCAAAAGUUCUGAAUUUUUACAAUUUUUUUGCUGGCUUUGUUCCAGAUAUCCAGAGGAUAUAUAUUUCCAUUUCCUUUUAAGUUAAAUUGAAGACAAAAAAGUUUAUCAUAUUAUGAUCUGAAAAUUCUUUUGUCUAUUUCAAACCUAUAAAUCGUAAGGCGAAUGAUAUUAUUGUACUCAUGCUUAAUUUUGUGUAGGCUGAAUGGAGUACAGGAGAAAUAAACAUUGCCUAUAACCGAGGAUCAUUCAUUCGGUCCAUGAAAUCUUACCUUUUGACAUCCCAAGUAUCAGCUUAUGGAUGGAAUUGCUCUAUAUGUUACACCAGAUACUAUCAUGAAGGUACUUCUUUCAUGUCUUCAUUAACAUGGUUCUUUUUAAAUGUUAAAUAUCAUAGAUUUUGAGUCAAAAAUCCAACCAUCUAAAAUUUGACCUGAUGAUUGUCCUUUUUUCCUAAAACAAGAGUCAAGUUCAAUAUGGUAACAUUUCACCUGGUAAUUCAUUCUGUUCUCCUAAAGAAGGUCCACUCUGUACAGCAUUGUGCUAGCCUCUGUCGAUCAGAUAAGAACAAGAAAAAGAAAAAGAUUUCCAUGGAUAUUGGUUUUAGGACUUUCUCAAUUCUACACCUGCUGCAGCUCUGUUUGCCCUUUUUCCACAUCUUAUAAUUAAAACAAAGGAAAGUGCACCAGUAUUCCACUGACAACUCCUAACACAUAUUUAUUAAUACAUAUAACUCGAGUGCCCUUGCAUGAGGCCAUAAAGUAUGCUGCAUGUGACAAAAAAAAAUUCCUCCUUGACUUUUCAAUGGCUAUAAAGAAUAUACAAUACUUCACUCAGUUUCAUCCUUCUGAGGCUUUAAACUUGUAUAUGGCUUGUCUUAUUAAAAAUAUUGUCAUCUUUAGCUUCUCUAUUAAUGCUUGUACAUGAUCCUGGACUCUAGUGCUGAGUCACCAUAUUUGCUAGUGUUUCAUGGUAGAUGGCCCAUGAAUGCUAGGGCAAUAUAUCUCAUAUAUUUUACCCAUAUGGGUUUGUUACCCUGCUCAUUUAGCCUUGUCAACUUAUAAAAGUUGAGUUUUAGGAUCCCUGGUGGCAAAAUGGAAGGGGAAAAUAGAAGAAAAGAGGCUUUUGGUCCAAACCACUGGUAGAGUAAUUAGGUUGAAAUCUGUUGUACUGAUGGAAGAAUUUGAAGUCCUAAAGGUAAACAGAUAUUUCUUGAAACAAUUUGAAUUUGCUUUCUUGAGAAACUUCAAUGUGAUAACAUCUGAAACAGUCAUAAGGAUCAUAUUGGCUUUGCUUUCUUCAGAUACUUAAUAGCGUUAACAUCUGAAAGUUACUGUCCUGCAAGCCUAAGGUAACUUUCUGGCAAAUGGUAGUGGAACCACUGAAACAUCAAACUUAGUUUCACCACCAAACAGCUAUGUUAUUUGGCCUUAAAUUUCAAGAACUAAGACAUGGCUUACAUGACGUUUGACAAUCUUGUCAAUGGUCACAAAAGAUCAAUCAUUAGACAGGUAGGCUUGGAUUCGUGGAUGCGUAAGAUGAACAUACGCUCAUGCCAAAUGUUCAUCUUACUAGUUAGAUUAAUAAUAGUUGAAAAGAUUGACUUUGACUUGCAUCCUAUACUGGAGAGCCAAGUUUGGCAUUUUCCAAGAAUUGAUACGCUGGCUAUAUGAGAAUUUCAAAGUAUACAGCAAAUACAACGACUUCAAGAAGUUUAGCUACCGUUCAUUUGUCAAAGGAUUCUUUAUUGUGGAUGGUAAGUCUUAGUAGAUGUGAGGUUGGACAGAAUGGUAUUCUGUUGUAUCUUCAAUCACAUAUUCAAAACCAGAAGUUUUCAUGGGACAUCUGCUGUCUUGUUGUUGGUAAAAAGAUCACUACGACCUGUCUUACUGAUCUUAAGCAAUCCACAGUUUUUGUGUCAAGAAAUUUGAAGCGUAAAAGAUCACCAGAGCAUGUUUCGGAGGUAAGUAACUGCUGCUAUCAUCAUCAGGGAAGUGUUGCAUGGCUCUUUGAUGUUUACUAUGGGUCUUAAGCUGCUGAAGACGGUAGCAGAAGAGUGGGAGAUCAUAUCGAUAUUGAUGCUUUAAAUGCAAUCCAAAGCAGAGCCGCAAAGAGUUGGGUAUCUGAUAAACCUUAUAACAAAGAUAAUUGCUUAUCUGAGAUCAGUAAGCUUUUAGUUGAUUCCAGAAGCAUGAGAUUAAUCAACAUGAUGCCAUUUUCAUGGUGGAUUAGUUGAACAUCUUGGAACCGGAAGGGAUUUUCAUCGCUGCAUACUUUACUAUUUUUUGUUUACCCGUAUGAUACAUUGUCGCGAGUAUAUCUGCAAAAUUAAUUUCAAUUUAAUUUUUUAGCUGCGAUAUAUAUUUGCAGGAUAAAUCAGAUUGAUCCAGCAAUUGUAUUGGCGAACCAUGAGAGGCCUCCAUUGUACUGUUUUCUCGAAGCUCCAUGGUUCAACUUCACCAGAGACAGGGAUUAGAUUACCAGUUACAACAUAUGUAUCCCUCAAAAUUACAGGCAUGUAAACUCAUUGAGCUAUCGGCAAUUCUCCAGGCUUCUUCAACACAUUAUAUCCAGUUCUAUUUCCAGAAAAUUUCAUCCUACAAAUGAGAUGGCAGACUGUGGCUGACAGACCUCAGAUUAUUUUAAGUUCAUGCAACUUGAUGAUGGAGCCCGGAAACAGUUUGUAAAGGUUAGUACUAAUCCUUAAUCAUUAUCUAGUCAUUUGCCACUAAAUCUUAAUCUAUCAUCAAAUUAUGAGAUUUGUGGGAAUACAAUUGUCUUGUAAUAAAGGAAGUUUCUCGGUGGUUUGAGACUUAGCAAGUCUAAUCAUUUUGUUCGUUUGACAUGCAUGCAGGCCAUCAUUUUCCACUAUUUCAGAGAUACUUGUUAUGAUUCAACUCCCCACGCAUCUCUUCCUUCUUGCAAUCGGCAUCAACCAUGGCGAACUCUUAACAGAGAUUUGGAGGAAGAAGAUGGCGAGAACUUCAGACAUAAGCUUGGAUUAGGAGGCAGCCCCGAGGGAACAAACAAAGGAAUCUCUAAUUAUAUGUGUUCAUGCUGGAAGAGCUGCUUCCGAGUCUCGAUUACUUCUACUUCAGCCCCAUCACUGCGCAUGCUUCACCCCCCUCACGCAAGCUCUGCUUUUCCAUGGCAAAAGUAGCAGCACCUUUUGCUGCACAGCUUGUUGUCCAUUGAGGUACUUUUUCUCAUCCCAUCAAUCUCUUUUCUACUGCCAUUUUUAUUGCCUCCAUCAGCAAGUUUUUUUGUUUUCCUUAUCAUCCUAAAAAUGAACUUGUACAGAGCUUUUACCUGACAAGAAGACCUGAUAAGACUGGUUUUAUUCACUCCAUGCUUGAGUUCUCCCCAUCUCUGAGACAGCCUGCAACAGGAAAAUCAUUGUCAUCCAUGGAUGACACACACACGCAUAGCCUACUGAGAGUAAAGAAACAACUUAGAUCGAGUUGAACCAGCAGUUACAAGUUCUGAAAUCUCAUGGGGAAAACCCUUCUUUCCUGCUAGCCAUUGUCCUUGCACACUGCAACUUACUCCAUUGGCAUAUCAGAGUUCAGGCAACUUGUAGUCGUUCAGUCAUAUGGGGAAUGCAUCCAAUGACAGAGGAAGAAGAAGAGACUGUUAUUGUUCAGUCCUAGGGAGUACUCUGAUGUGAUCCUUUUCUGCUUGCCUAUUUACACAAGACACAUGAGAGCCUGACAAUUUUACCCAAAGCCGCCUACCUCUGCUUGGCUUCAGUCCACUGAAAGCUUUUUUGCACCUUAUGACAGCCAUUCUGCUGUUGUUUGAUCACGUGUCAGUCGUAGGGUAAUGCCAGGCAGGGACAGUGGAGAGGGCCCCAUGUGGAUGAGAAUCUAAUUAAGCUUCUCAUGUUAAUUAAGACCAUCGAUGCAUGAUGGCCUUCCAAACAAAUUAACUCACCUUUGAAAAAGAAGAUUCUUCAAAACCCAGAUAGCUCAAGCAAGUCAAAGGAGGAUUGUUGCAGUGGAGGUCUCACUCGAUGGAUCUCUCUUCCGGUGUGCUCCUCCAAAAUCUACAUCAUCAUUCCUGUCUUAUACUGAAAGAACUGGGAGGGAAAGAGUGACAGUAAAUAGCAUGGGUAUACAUGAACAGGAAGUAGAUGUAUGAGAGAGACUCUGCGGAGAUUGCCUGGCUUGGCUCUUCUCUCGUGCCCCAUCAUCUCAAGAUGUCACUAAAUAGUUUGAUGUGCCUCUGUCGCUGUUCAAAGUGUGACCUUUUCUUCACAGUGUUGGCAUGAGAAGUCACUGUUUUCUACGGCAGGAAUGAGGUUAAAGUAUGCAUGGUUUUGGUAGUGUUAGGGCAUGCAGAACUAAGCAUGAUGGUGAUGAUGAGGCCAUCGCUCGCUUUGCUACAUUUGAAUCCCGAGGAAGCCACACGGGGUACAAGGCUCCAUGGCGGCCACUCUCUCUCUCUCUCUACGCGUACUAAUCUGCAACUGUGACCUCGAAAGCCCAGACAAGGGCACGAGAAGCGACAAGGAAAACAUGGUCGAAGAUAAGAUCCAAGAGUUAAAAUCUCUUCUUCACCAUGGACGCACACACACACAUUGACUGUUGGAUACCGUAAACAAACAUCUUGUCAACCGAGAUGUUCUUGCCUUGCCAAAUCUGCACGACUUCGCCCCCCAGUGGGGCCUCUCUGAGAAUAUCCUCACGCUUCAAAUACCCACACCGUCUCCGCCUCCGUCACACUCACCAUUCCCCUCUACCUUUACUGUCUCCUUGUUCGUCCUCCUCCUCAUCGCUCGCCUUUUCUCUUCCCCCAAAGGAUUGCGACAUGGGCGCUAAAAGUUAGGCUGCUGGGCUUGUGGAGAGGAGGCCGAAGGUCGCCCAACUCAGCUCGGAAAGCGGUGUGCGCAAGGAUGAAGGAGGUGGCUAGGAAGCACAACACGGUUUCGCCAUGCGCAGCAUGCAAGCUCCUCAGGCGGCGGUGCACGCAGGAUUGCAUCUUUGCUCCUCACUUCCCUGCCGACGAGCCCCACAAGUUCGCCAACGUGCACAAGGUGUUCGGCGCCAGCAACGUCAGCAAGCUCUUGCAGGUCUCUCUCUCUCUCUCUCUCUCUCUCUCUCUCGUGUGUGGUGGUGGUGGUGGUGUGUGUGUGUGUAGUAGUAGUNNNNNNNNNNNNNNNNNNNNNNNNNNNNNNNNNNNNNNNNNNNNNNNNNNNNNNNNNNNNNNNNNNNNNNNNNNNNNNNNNNNNNNNNNNNNNNNNNNNNCAACGUCAGCAAGCUCUUGUCAGGUCUCUCUCUCUCUCUCUCUCUCUCUCUCUCUGUGGGUGUGGGUGUGGGUGUCGGUCUGUGUGUGUGUGUAAAAUGUGCUUGUAAGAUUGCGAUCACCAAAAGACAUUACAUUACAUUACAUGAAAAGAAUGGCUUCAUAACUCACCAUGCGACUCAAAUUGUCUGUGUGAUCAAAGGAGAUAGCAGUGCAGCACCGAGGAGACGCAGUGAGCAGCCUGGUGUACGAGGCCAACGCCCGGGUGCGCGACCCAGUGUACGGGUGCGUCGCAGCCAUCUCCACCCUCCAUCGCCAAAUCCAGGCACUCCAGGCGCAGCUGGCCAUGGCACAAGCACAAAUGGUGCACUUGCGGAUGAGCCACGCCGCCUCCCUCGCCCACGCUGGCCUUGGCCACAGCCCCAUGGGCGCAGGGAGCACCAGCACGGGCUCUUCCUCCAUGUCCCCCACUCACAACCAGCUGAUGGAGCCUGACACCGUCAAUGCCAAGCCUGUCUUCGCCCUGGACAUGGUGGUGCUGGACCAGACUAACCUGGGAUCAGAACCACCAAUUUGGUCAUUUUAGCACCAUCAGCCAGUGCUGUUCUCGUGUCUUAUAAAGAUAGCUUUUGAUAUCUAGAUGGCAAUAUUGCAGCUCUUUUUCUUUUGGAUACAGAGGCUGCAUGUGAUGCAGACAUCGUCUUAUAACAAGAAUUGAAGUGCUUGUGUGUAGAACUGUACUGUUGGUGUCAUUUACUCCCUAACAUAAUGUCUAUAAUUAUUCUGCUAUCACUACACUGUUCAUUCUGUAGUUAGCAUCACUGAUAAGCAAGCAGAGGCUCAGCACCACAGCAAUAAAAGAUAAGAUGCGAGUGAGCUAUGCAUUAAGCCGACCAGAAGAACAACAUUUGAUGUAUAUUAAAUUGUAUCACGACAGAAGAAAAUACCGAUAUGUGAGAUUUGCUACAAGUUCCACAAAUCUGCAAACAAGCAGCAGAAUCCAUCACUCACGGCUCUUAGUUCCCCCAUUAUAUAACUGUAAAGUGGGUAACAGGAACGUGUCAGCGCCACCAGACCGCUGGCGGUGGAGGAGGAGAAGGUGGUCUGUAACCAGAAGCUCGUGUUCUGUGAGUACCGGGGCUCAAGAGGUGAGUUCUUGUGAUUGGAACUGCGAUCAUCUUCUGUAAAUGAGAUCUUGGACUAGAAAGGAAGAAACUUUUACCGAGAUCAGAGUCUCUUGUGGUGUUUGGAUCAGAAAUCAUCACAAAUCUUUUCAAUUUUAUGGAUCAAAAGUUACACCGAAUCAAAACACAAACAUGAAUCCACACGCAGAGAAGGCUGCCGAGAACAAUAUGGGCCUUCCUAACUCUGCUGCAAGCCGACGCGGGCGCGCGCGUCCUGCCGCCCCUUCAGCCUCCCCAGGUAGUAGCAGCUGAAGCCCAGCAGCAUCGAAAAGAGAAGCAGAGGGAGGGAGAUGGCCAUGACAAAAUCCAUCACAGCUGCUGAUUGCAUCGUCAAAUUCUGAUGGAUGAGACGUUGUUAUAGAGAGUAUAGAUGGAACAAAAAGAUCAAAUGUUCCCGUCAGACCCAACUGGAGUGAAAGAUACUCCAGAACUAAAAGCCCAAGCGUAAGAUUCAAUCAGACAUGGGAGCUUCUGCUUUUGUGCAGCGCAGAAGAUGUCCGGUGGUGCUCUAAGUCGCACAUAAAAGAAUUUAAGAUCAGGAAGAAUGGAUCAGCUGAGCUCAAAUUUUCUAGUAGUCAAAACAUGAUUAAAGAGUUCUUUUUUAUUUAGGACAAAUUAUUCUAUUAAGACAGAUUAAGGCGAUUAUUUGUGAUACCUACUGCGUUGACAUUUCAUCGUCAUAUAUCAUGAGAGAAUCCAAACUUCCUUUUCGUACGAUUUGUGCUUUUAACGCUAAUCAUCUUUUUGGUCUUGCAUUAUAUAUAUAUAUAUAAGCAAUAAGGAAGAUCUUAAUUUAUUUUGUCGGCCCAAUUUUUUUUCAAGCAAUAAAUGACGUUUGGGAAAUACUUUUUUAACGGGGUAAAUUCUUAUAUAAGCAAUUAUUCUCAUUUAAGGGCAAAAAAAAAAGACAAAGACUAUAAUUGUUCAUAUUAAGCAUAAUACACUCGUAUUUACAAUAGAUAUAGUGCAUACACUCGAUGAUUAGAAACACAAAAUUCCACAACUACCCUUCUCCUUUGAGCGCACCGGGCGGUUCAUCUGCGGUAGGAUUGCAAGGGCAAAACCGGGAAUCGAGAAACCGUGGGGCGCGAGAGGACGAGCGAUUCGAAACGCCUGGUCAACUCCGGUCGGAGGAACCGAGGAGCAACUCGGGGAAGGAUCGCAGGAGUUCCUUCUCCUUCUCCUUCUUCUCCUCCUCCUCCUCCGUGGAGGAAGCGGCGGCGAGGAGGCGGCGGAAGAGCGGGACGGGGCAGGGGAUGCGUAGGACGCCGCGCUGCUCGUAGCCGUACUCGUCGGCGGAGAGGCGCAGCAACCGGACGAAGGCCGGGCGGCCGAGGAGCUCUGUUCGGACCUCGAACCGCUCCAUCUCCUCCCCCACGUACACUGGGAAGUGCCCCUGCGCCGGCUCCCCGUGCCGCCUCCCCUUGCCGGACCAACGCAGCGACUCGUACUGGGCGCAGUCGACCACCCUCGACAGCCGCCGGAUCAUUCUCUGUUGCCGUGGGAGGAUGGCGAACGAGGAGAGCCGAGGUGGCCUCCGCCGCUGUGGGUGGGUACGUAUUUAUAGUGGAAAAUGGAGGACUUUUAAAUCCAUUAUUUAUAUAUAUGUAUACGAAUUUAGCUGUUCUUCGUACAACAGCGAGCGGCUCUUUCAACGCGUGGGGGCCGUUUUAGCGUCACGAGUUGCGUAGUGAUCCACACACAACGCGGUUCUUGAUGUGUGCCGCGCUGGCGAUUCCUGUCUUAAUUCGGCGGUAGAGUUGCGGCACGCAUAGGAUCCAAAUCAACGUGGAGUCAACGCAAAAGCCAACGACGAAACCAAUGUAUUAUCAGUCCACACCACCAGAGAAAGCUUUAAUAAACAAAUUAAUCUUAAUAACCAUUAAUUCUUGUGAAGAUAUAUAAUAUGGAAGUGGAGUAGGUAAAGUGGAUGAUAUGGUUUCCGUAGUCCAUUUGGUACGGUGACCGUGACACACUGUUCCAUGACACCAUAGUUAGAGAGUAUAAAACCCACCACCUUGUGCACCACAACACCCAUUUCAAUUAAUUAAGCUGCACUUAACCUCGAUAAAUCUCCACCCCCCCACACACAAAUGGCCUCCAUCGCUAGCAUAAAUCACUGCAAUGCUCGAGGUAGUAGGAGUACUAGAUGGACUUACAUGAAAUUUAUAUGUGGAAUUAUUUGAAGAAUACGAUUGCUCUAAUUCAACUUGUAGGAUGAUGGCCGAUUUUUGUUCGGUGAUUCAUCCAACUUCAAGUCAGUCGCCUUUUCCUCCCUCUAAAUGCCUAUAAGCGAGAGAUCACACGAACCCAAGUUGUCAUUGGAUUGGGAGCCACUUCUCCGCCAUCUUUAUAACGACGACAAUAGUAAUAACUAAUAGAAAGUGGCUUUCCUCCACAAAUUCCAUCACGCGCGUUCACGACGAUGAUCGUCGGUUCCGCAUCUCCACGUAGAUCGGACGGUGCUGAUGCAUCUGUUGGGUUUAGAAUACUACCGAGUGCGCCCAUGACGUACACCGUACAUUACUGAUCACGGCCGGACCUUUGGUGAGUCGAUCAUGCGUUCUUUAAGCAUUUAUGGUAACUUAGUUUAAUGUAUCCUAAAGCCAAAAAGCUGCACGAAGACGAGACUUCCCCUCGUGCUUCUGCCCAAUCCCCAUGCAAGUCACGUAAACUAUCCACCUUCAGUUGGGUGUUUGGCGAGUGAUGACGACGAUGAUGCUUUUGUGUUUGGGAGUUCCUACACCCAUUAAAGAAUGAAGGUGUUUUCUAUUUUAUUCUUCUGAAUAUUUGGGGAGGUCAUGAUGAUGUCCAAUUUGGCAUGGCAUGCAUGAAUUUACAAUUGCAUGUCAGGAAAAGAAUUUUCUUUUACAUCUACGAUUCCAUGAACCUACGAUUUACUAUCCUUGCGAGCUUGAAAUUAGUAUAUUUGCUUUCCAUAUGUUAUUGUCAAUCCGGCGCCUACCUACGUUGAUGAUCGAUCAGCCAUAUACGUCGACAUCGAGCGGAGAGUAAUUUCCUCCUACUAAGUAUAAUAAUAAUUACCAAGAAUUGUUUGGAGACUCUCCACAUUGUCGACAAAACUACUCAUCCAUAAGUAAUUACAUAGUAAAUAUGACAAUCACAAAGAAUUAUCUAUGAAGAGACCAAGUAUGUUCAUCGGACCAAUCGACAUUGUCCAUUAGCAUCUACUCUAGCGAGAUUGUUUGCGAUUAUGCCAAAAAUAAAAAAAAUAAUUACCAAGGAUCAUUUAAUCAAGGGUGAUGAUCAAUCUAAUGAUUAUAAAUUGCAUAUUCAAAAAAAGUAUGAAGCUGGUUAUCCAAUUAUGUGUGCUUAAUGAUCAAUAAGAACAGGUUAUUGAGAAUAUAUUUAUCUUGGGGAGAAAGAAAGAUUGUUGCAACACUGAAUUGGUGUCAUUGGAUUGCUUCUCUUGAUUGCUAUCCUAUUAUUCAAGAAACAAAGUUUCUUAACUCAUUUCUCAUAAUUAUACAUAAAAUGAAAUCCCUCGAUCAAUAAAAUGACAAGAAAUGAGCAAGAUUUGGUACACGCACAAAAAUUUAAUUCACAAGUCCAUUGUGUCUAGCAAUUGUUGCUCUAUCUGUCAUUUGUAUGCACCCAAUUGUUUCUGUAGGAAUAUUUGCACAUUCACCAAGGUGAUUAUAUAUAUAUAAACUAACCAUGAUUGGGGUUGAUUAGGGGCUCGUUAACCUUGGAAUUGAUUUGAGAAUUGAAGUGAAAAAUUAGGCCUCACACAAAGAUAAAAAGUGGAUAAGUUUGGUAUCAUUCCUUCUUGUUGGCCCAUUGAUGUGACAAGGACAUGCUAUGAUUCAUAUCUACUCAAACUAUGACAAAGCCAAGGGAUGAAUGUGGUACCUGAUCUAGUAUGGUUAGGUACCAUCUAGUAUAGUUAGGUACCAUCUCUUGUCCCAUACGAAAUGUUUUCGUGAUAUGUGUCGACUAAACUCUCGGUUAAUUUCACUAUGUCACUAUAGCCUAAAUAUAGAGUUCAUCAUAUUAAAAUUGGAUGUCGGAUUUUAUAAGAGAUUUGGGUUUUAUGUUUUAUAUUUUUCACCUAAAGAUAUAGAAUAAAUAUCACUUGCUUUGUGUUAAAAUAGAUUUUAAUUGUCGAACAUAUGGGCUAGAUUCUGAGUUAACCGAGAUCUAAUUCUUAGCCCAUCUUAUGUUGAUGUGUCGGAAAGUUAAGAAAGGUCAUGCAAAAAUUAUGCCAAAGAUAUAUGCUAUAAAACUUAAUUGGUAUAGAUUUGUUUGUAUAAUAUUAAUAAGUAUUUGGAGGGAUUUUUAUGUGAUGAGGAAUUAUUAGGUUAGAUGAUGGUAAAUGAUAUGAAUGAUUACAUGCAUUAUUUGAUCAUUGAUGGACUAUGAGAUCAUGCAUUGAAUCAUUAGGUUACAAUUAUGAGGUAACAACUUGGUUGAGUUAGCUUUCUAACAAUGUUGCAUUAUCAACCUUAUGGGCCUAAUUUAACAUUUUUUACUUGUGCCACAUCGUUAAUCUCAUAUGAUCAAAUCUCAUUAUUGGUCAAACAAGUAUAAUGUAUCGAUGACUACCUAUACGUAUGCUUCAAAAAAAAAAAAGUCAUACAUUAUUAUUUGAUGAGAGAAAAAGUUGUUGAUGUCUUAAUCAGCCCAACAUAGCCGGACCCAUUUGCAUAGGGUUAUUCGAGGUGCUUCUAAGAUGGAAAUAUCGAGCUCCUGAGAUGCCACAUGCAUAAAAACUAAGGUAAGGAGAGGUUUCUCGACCUAAUCCUAGGUCCCUCUAACGCCCAAGUUAAUAACAUAAGAUUAUGAGUGUUGGAGAUGAGCUUUUAUAAACUAUUCUAGGUGUCGCCUAGGUGAAAAAUAUCGAGCUCCUGAGGUACCACCUACAUGAAGAUCGAGAUCGGAAGAGGUUUCUUGAUUCGAUCAUUCCAAUACCCAAGUUAGUAACCCGAAUUAUAUGAGUGCAGACAUGAGUGACCAAAAAAAGUAAAUCUCUUUUUUCAUUAUGUUGGAGACGAGCCUUUAUACUAAAGGGUCAGAACAUUAUAUGAGAUAUUCUAUGGAGAAGUAGCUUCUAACUAUCUCCAAUAGUCUCUCUUAGUCUCUCUUUGAUAUCUUAUUCACAUGCGUGAUAACGAGGAUAACACAUAAUCAUCUAUCUUGAAUCAUUGUCCAUAUAAGUAGAUAAGUAAAGAAUGACUUUCAUCUUUUCUUUUUCUAGACAUGAUUACCUAUCGAAUUAAUUGAUGAGGACAUGUCAUUGUCUUACUCUUUGCGGUUCUUCUUAUCACUUCCCCGAGAGAUAAAAUCCAAGAACAUAUAAUCACAUAUGAUACAUCGUCGUAGCAUCAGCAACUUUGUUUGACCCAAUUUCCACUAUUGACCAACAAAUACGAUGCAAUUUGAUGACGAAUGUCCACAUCACAUGCUCCAUAGUUUUCACAUUAGGCUCCAAGCGUUCGAUGUCGGCACUCGACAUUGAUGUCUGUGCAUGAUGACUUCUUUAGCUUUAUCCGUUUCCUCUUCUGCCUUGUUGACUUUAACGUCGGAGUAAUCAAACGAAAUAAAAUGGUUGAAUUCUUAGACAAGCUUGAAGUCUUAUAGGAAUCAAUCAUUAACUAACUCUAUCGUGGAUAAGAUCAAUAUGUAUUAAAUUAGUAAUUUUUUUUUGGGACAAUCAUACCGAUUUAAUCGAUCUAAUUAUGAGAACUCUUUCCACUUCGACACCAUCAUGAUAAUAUAUUUAUUAUGUUAUGAUUGAAAUGAGAUAAUUAAUUUAUCAAUUUAAUCGAUCUAAAUUACUAUCCUAAAAAUAAUAAUUUUUUUUCUUCUAUUUGAUCAUUUUGAUACCAUUUGUGAUGAUCAAUCUGAUGUGAUAAUUAACUUGGCCAGAUAUUGGAUGCGUCUCUAUAUAUUCUAAAUAUAUUGGCCCAAAAAUUUCCAUCAAAAACCAGCAGCAUUUGAGAGAGAACAUGAAAGAUUCUGUUCUCGUUUUCCACGCUCUUAAAAGGGGCUUCACAUGGCCAGAUCAGGUCCAAUUCAACGAAGACCACCAUACCAUCUGCAUCGCCCACCGUUUCAAUCCGAGGAACUCACAUGUCGUUUUGAGUACCGUCCUGAAACUCUCAUCUCACCGUCACACACGCAUCGAUGUCAUGGUGGGACAUCUUCUUUUCUUGUGCUGACUCCCAUCUUCCAUGGAGGAAUGAGCAACCGAGAGAGCUGAAUGCUACUGUGAGUAUGAGCUUAAAGCGGUGAAAGAGUCCGCAGGCUUCACCUGCAUGCAUGCAUGUAACAAUCAUAGGAAAACACCCAGAAGAAAGAUGGUUUUUGUGAGAUCUGAAGCCGUGUUUUUCUUCAUCAACAAUGCAAGUCAAACAAAUAUUCCCAUCCUCCAUCCAAGACAUGCAUUUGAAGGUUCCAUGGAGCCCCUAAGCAGACAAGAACAGUCCCCCAUUCUCCCGGUUUCACACCUCCCUUUCUUCAUGUUACGUUCAUCGAGUGUAGACCAGACAAAGAAGUACUAUAAGCUAUCUAACUGCAUGCCAGUGGCUUGAAAAGCUUCCGUACAACGUGACGUUCGAGUCAAACAUGCCAAGCUUUCCUCUCCGGGACUCGAUAUGUAUAUAUAUACACACAUAUUAGAGGGAGAGAGAUGUGCAGCUCGAUCACUCGAUCGGAAGGAGAAUGGGGAAGCCAGCCGAGGAACGCGGAGUAGAUCGAGCGCCUAAAGGACAUGUUCCGGUGAUGGUGGGCACAGGGAAGGAGUUGCAGAGGUUCGUGGUGAGCGUGAAGGCCUUCGACCAUCCAUGCUUUGUGAGCUUGCUGGAGUUGGCAGCUCAGGAGUUUGGCUACCGGCAGAAGGGCGUCCUUAGAAUACCAUGUGAUGCACAGCAUUUUGAGCAAGUGUUGAAGAUGACAGCCAAGUGAUGCACAGCACGAAGAGGACUCCUCCGUUUCUUCCCCGAAGAGAAGAAGCUCUCUGUUGUUGAUACUUAGGUCUCAUGUUACUUACUGCACCACAUUUUUCUCAAGCUAAAUUUGGUGCUUUUUCGGGUUGUAUUGCUUUUUCUUCUUUUGCCUUUUGUUCAAGAAAAAGAAAAAGCAUCUUUCAUACGAUCAAAGAUCUGAUCAAACGAAUGUGGCAUUUGAUUUGUGAAGUUUCAAUUCUCAUGUGCAUCGACUGAAUACAGAAAUGCAAUUAUGUUUCAUAUCUGUCCAUCCAAAGAAAGAAAUAAUUUUCUUAAUUAUUUUGAAAUUUCAGAAGGAUAGAUAUGUAGAAGGUUGCUUAGCAGUUAAUCAAAUCAUAUUGUAUUUAUUAUGUGCAGAUCAUUAAUGCUCUAAUGGAAUGUAAACCGAAAAAAGGAAAAUAGAUAGAUAGGUUGGUCGUAUCUAAUGCGUAACAAAGUACUCAAGCCAUCAACUUGUGGUCAAGGAUGACUCUACUGGACUUGUAGUCCUUGAUGUGGGUGGGUGGGAUAUGAUAUGAUUUCCGGGAGAGAAAAAUGCAAUACAAGUCACCGGCACUGAAUGCCCAGUACUUGGACAAGACAAAGCUGAUGAGCUAAUGUUAACGCGGAUGUGAUCUGGCGGCUUCCUUUCCAGGAAGACAACAACGACCAAGACUUUGACUUUGGCCCUUUCAUAUUUUGAUAUAAAAUACCCCUUCAAAAUAUGUCAUUGCGAGUAAUAUCUCUUGAGAAACUAACUUCAUCUUAACCACUUUUAACCAUAAUAAAAAUUUAUUUUAAUUGACCCUGAAUGAAACAAUAGAAUAAAAAAUUAAAGCUCCUCAUAAACAAAUUAGUUUCAGUUGAUUUACAUGAGUAGCAAGUCUAUUUCUAUUUCCUUGUCUUUCUAUUUCAUGAGUAGCAAGUAUUUCUAUUUCCUCAUAAACAAAGGUCUUUCUAUUUCCUUGUCUUUCACUAACAUGAAUUCAAUUCAUUGUCUGGGAUCCAAGACAAAUGCAGAUUGGCUCUUUGUAGCCAUGUACCAACUGGGGCUAAGCCAUUGGGAUAUUUCUCUGCAGCAUCUAUUCCACCUUUUGAGACGGCAUUGGAGAAACCCAAAACAGAUGGCAUCUUUAGCUGCCGUGUUUUCCUUCUGCUUAAAGAUCUUUUUUUGUUUGAGCUCAUUCAGCAACUCAAACAGAGAAAGAAAUAUCUGGACAAGGAAACCUUGGAAAAGACAUGCAGUUUACUUGAUGCAUGCAUCGAUGUGUUCUUGUUCUUUUACGGCUACAAGUGGUAUAUAUAGGAUUUCCUCAAAUUCAAAAUAAAAAAGAAAAAAGAUAUGUUUACUAAAGAUGUUUUACAGGUCACCUUUCUUUUUCAUUCCAUCUAAUUCAGUAUAUGAGAAUUUUAGUUUAAACACAAGCAAGAACCAGAAAUUAUAAAUGAAGAUGAAGAACUUGAUUUAGAAGAAUUAUACCAAGGCCUAAUACUGUUUUCAACUUUGUAUGGGCAAGAGCUGAGUUCCACUUUUGAUCACAAUCUUGCAAUCAGUGUGAUAUUUAAUAGCAAAAUGUAAAGCUGACAUCUCAGGACCAAGGAGUCAUAUGAAAUCUUUAGAUUAGAAUUCCUUUCUUCCAUCUCUCCACCCAUUCAAUUCAAAAGAAUCAUUUUGUUUUUCGCUUUCCUUGGAGCUCGAAGUCCAUGUUCAUCAUUGAUACAUUUGCUGAGAAUUAUUCUGCAGACCUCUAACAUACUUGGUCAUGGAAUUUGAUAUGUUUCUGCCAAUCAUGCAUUUGCUCUCUUCUAUUAUACACAUUUUUAUCGACCCCGAAUGAAGACUAUAUUUUCUGGUCUACGAUUCCAAUGUCUCAAUCAGCCUUGAAUAGUUCCACACACAAAAGAUAAGGUGACAAUCCAAUUAAAGCAAUCCCUUUCAGCAAAACCAGUUACUUGUUGACUUAAAACUAAGCAUACAGCUGUAUCUCAAGCACAAUGACAGUGAAACAAACCAGCAAUGCUGUCUAAGAACAGGAAAUUAUUACAUAGAUAGACUACAGUAGAAACCCUAUGAAGCAUACUCGGCGAAGAUAAUAAUGUUGACAAAUCUACCAGUUUUAUUUUCAUCUUUCAAUCUCAUUGCUGCUUUGACCCUUCUUUGUUGGUGCUUGGGACAUCUGAUGAAGCCAAACACCCACCUUAGAUAAACAUUAGGUAGGAAUAGUUCUGUCAUCGUAAAGUUUCAGCAAUUCUGGUUUGGAUUCUGCAAUACAAACACCAACUUCAGAAAUAACAUUCUUAGACAGGAUGUGGAAGCAACCUGCAUCUCCAUGGGCACUGGGAUGCGCACCAAUGUUCUUUCUCAUGCGUCCAUGUUUCCUCGUGUUGCUUGAACUGGCAGCACUAGAUUUUGGUUGCUGUCAGCAAGGGGUGCUUAGAAUUAAUUCCAUGUGAUGUUCAACAUUUUCUGUGUAGUCAACAUGAUGUGGUUACUGAAGAACUCCAUGUUUUGUUCUCUUCUUCCUGCUACGAUUGCUAUAAUUUGGAAAUGUUCAAUGCGGCCAUUACUGUUUGAUACAAGUGCAUGAGUUACACCUGUUUAUAUUAUAGGAUUGUUUAGCACUCAGAUUAAUUUAUAUGGUACAAUUAAAGCAUUUAUUUGGUCACUCCACAAAGUUAAUGAUUCUUGAAAAUGUCUUCUUCUAUCAUGAUUUCGCUGCAGUUGAAUUCGGAAUAAUAAUUUAAUUUAUCAAAAGGCAUUCCUAUUCCUAUACUCUUUUGAUGAUGAUGCCUUUUGGAUCUGGAUCCUUCAUUCAUUAGGGGUUGCCACAGCUAGUUGGAUUCAAGGAAUUUAAUUUCGAAUGUAACCGGUUGGAUUCAUAUCAUAAUCUCUAGCUUACCAAGCUGGAAACAAUUUUGCAGCCAGAAGUGGACAAACAGCAGCAGACCUCAUGCAUACCACCUUGUUCCCGUUAAUCUUACGAUCGAAGGCAAUCUCUCUGUAGAGUGACCAAGGUAGCUACUCUGCUGUUGAUCAUGACCAGAACUUUGCAAUUGAGGUCAUUGAAUUACCCAAGACUGUCGACAUGUUGAAUGUAUGCAUCCACCAUAAUGGAUUAGUUGUGUUAGGUGGAAUUUAGGAUAUGGAGUGAGGCAAUUGGGACCGAGAAGUUGAAUGUAUUUUCUUCUACUUCCUCUGGGAUACUUAAUCCUUCCUUCUCCCAUGUCAGAGUUUGCUGUUCGACGACUCUCUCUCUCUAUCCAUAGAUAUAAUCCUCGAAAGAAACCAACCUCCAUCCUGGAAAACAGAGAGAGAAAGUAAUCAAGUCAAGGAUAGAUAGAUAGUCAUGAAUUCUUGGAGGUCAAUUUCUGCUUCAAGCAUUCAUUCACCGAGAGAGAUGCUUUGUUAUUUAUUUAAAUCAAACCCUGCAAUUUUUUGUUGUCCCAAUAAAAGCUCGAAAGAGAGAAGGAAAGUGAUGUUAUUAAAUGAUGGGGAAUGGAGGCAUAAGAACCCAAUAAUAAAUGGUGUGAAUGGUUUGUCAUGUUGACUCUUCCGACCGUCUGCUGUUGCCAUCGCAUUCAUCAGCAGCAGCGGCAUUAAUGGCGGGCGCGGACGAGGCUCCCAUCACGCGCGCGGUGGCAACAAUACAAUGGAGAUGCAGGCAGCGGUGGUGGCGAUGCGUGGACCUCAGCAACCUUAAAUGGACGUACCACACUGGGGGAGACGCGCAUUAAAUGCGAGGUGGAGGGGAAGUCGCGCUCGCCCUUGAACGGUGACGGAGACCGUGCCGGAGGAGACGUCACACGCCAUCUAACCAUUCUUGCACAUUUACCCACGCCCCCAUUCAUCUCAUCUCAGGAGGAAGAUGAGAGUGAGUGCAUGAGGACGAAACCCGUUAUGACUCGGUUCUUCUUCCCGUACGUCAUGUCUCAGGGUCACUGAUUGAAUCUGAUAAAUAGUGGAUCCAAGUCGGACCUUAGAUCUCUUUAGAAAAUAUAAAUUAUAUUUUACAUUUUUAUUAUUUUAAUAAUAAAAAAAUAUAUUUUUCAAUAAUAAUAAUAAUAAUAAUAAUAAUAAUAAUAAUAAUAAUAAUAAUAUCUUGUUAAAUCAUCUUAACCUUGAUUCCAAGGCUUCUUGGAUUAACUCGGAACAUCUUACACGUCGUCGUCGGACAAUUAUAAUUUACGAUAACAAAUAUUUUGGAUCAAAAUAUUCUAAAAAUAAGUAUAAAUACAUAAAAAAAUAUCGUAUUGUCAAUCAUCAUCGAUCAAAAGCGAUCCGAUUAGAAAUCAAGAGCUCAACUAUUGAUAAUUAAUUUAAGUAUGGUUGCAGAAAAUGAAUGAAAUGUGUACAACCGACCGAUGAACCACUCGGUAUCUUCUUGGGUGCAACUGAUGCAGCUAAACCGACGAACGAAAUGGACAAGAAGAAAUUGUGGAAGAAGGGGAUUCGGAGGGAGAAGAUGGGAUGGUCAUGUUUGUCUCUGCAGUCGGGAUGAGACAUGACAGAUCGAUCAGUAUGAGCGCAUUAAUUUGGAGCCUCUCUCUCUCUCUCUCUCUCUCUCUCUCUCUCUGUUAGAAACAACAAGUCAAGCUUUCCUUCCAACACACCACCCACCCCUGCAGCAUCCCUUUCAUGCACAUUAACGACGAAAGCGAGUCGCCAACUCAUUUUUGUCGAAGCUGACUUGCGGAGUGCUGCAACCCCCCCCCCAUCGCCUCCUCCGUUGAAUGAGUAUAUGGAAUUGUAUGAGAAGAACAAGUUGGACUGGGCUACUUUACUUGUGGUGUAGCUGUGUGCAUCAAAAUAUUAGGAAAAAAAAAUCUAUUCAAUCAAAAACCUUAGGUGAAUUAAAACUAAAUUAUACGAUGAUGAUUGAUAAGCGGUGCACCUUAUUAUCGAAGGUAUAAUGUGUCACUAGAUUAUUAUUUUUGAUACCAUAACAAUAGAGAGAAAAAUAAUAUUAGAUUAGAUGUACGAUGAUCAACAGCUUAACGCAUAGCCUCUCCAACACUUACAACUAUAAAUAAAUUUGAUGAUUUAAUCUACCAGGGAAUGGGAUAAAGCAGUAAAGAGAUAAAAAUGAUAUGAAUUCCACAAGCAUCAAAACAAUAAUAAUAAUAAUAAUAAUAAUAAUAAUAAUAAUAAUAAUAAUAAUAAUAAUAAUAAUAACAACAAUAAUAAUAAUAAUAAUAAUAAUAAAAUGAUGGCGAGGACUUGGAAAUUAAUAAUACUGUUUUAUACUGCUCUUGCCUGUAUAUUUUUAUAUACAUACAUAAUUAAGUAAUUUUACAGGGGGAAAAGCGCAAAAUUGAGGUCGAUGCGGGGCCGCUUCUGCGGAGGCGGAGGAGCCGCCGCCGCCGCCGCCAAGGGCGGUGCCACCUGCGAGUCGCAGCGUGGGCACCGCGGGUUCAUCCUCGAUAUCAGCACAUAGGAAAGGCAGCUAGGGCAGCCCGCCGCCACCAGGCUGCCGCCUGCGGAGUCGCAGCCGGCGCACCCCUCCUCCCCGUCACCCCGCCGCUUGAUCGACGCCGUCGUGAUGGACGACGAAGAGGAGGGCGAGGGUGAGGGCGAGGGCGAAGGCGAGGGGGAGGAGCAGCCGUCCGAUGCCUCAUGACUCCUCCUCCUCCUCCUCCUCCUCCUCUCCUCCCCCUCCUNNNNNNNNNNNNNNNNNNNNNNNNNNNNNNNNNNNNNNNNNNNNNNNNNNNNNNNNNNNNNNNNNNNNNNNNNNNNNNNNNNNNNNNNNNNNNNNNNNNNNNNNNNNNNNNNNNNNNNNNNNNNNNNNNNNNNNNNNNNNNNNNNNNNNNNNNNNNNNNNNNNNNNNNNNNNNNNNNNNNNNNNNNNNNNNNNNNNNNNNNNNNNNNNNNNNNNNNNNNNNNNNNNNNNNNNNNNNNNNNNNNNNNNNNNNNNNNNNNNNNNNNNNNNNNNNNNNNNNNNNNNNNNNNNNNNNNNNNNNNNNNNNNNNNNNNNNNNNNNNNNNNNNNNNNNNNNNNNNNNNNNNNNNNNNNNNNNNNNNNNNNNNNNNNNNNNNNNNNNNNNNNNNNNNNNNNNNNNNNNNNNNNNNNNNNNNNNNNNNNNNNNNNNNNNNNNNNNNNNNNNNNNNNNNNNNNNNNNNNNNNNNNNNNNNNNNNNNNNNNNNNNNNNNNNNNNNNNNNNNNNNNNNNNNNNNNNNNNNNNNNNNNNNNNNNNNNNNNNNNNNNNNNNNNNNNNNNNNNNNNNNNNNNNNNNNNNNNNNNNNNNNNNNNNNNNNNNNNNNNNNNNNNNNNNNNNNNNNNNNNNNNNNNNNNNNNNNNNNNNNNNNNNNNNNNNNNNNNNNNNNNNNNNNNNNNNNNNNNNNNNNNNNNNNNNNNNNNNNNNNNNNNNNNNNNNNNNNNNNNNNNNNNNNNNNNNNNNNNNNNNNNNNNNNNNNNNNNNNNNNNNNNNNNNNNNNNNNNNNNNNNNNNNNNNNNNNNNNNNNNNNNNNNNNNNNNNNNNNNNNNNNNNNNNNNNNNNNNNNNNNNNNNNNNNNNNNNNNNNNNNNNNNNNNNNNNNNNNNNNNNNNNNNNNNNNNNNNNNNNNNNNNNNNNNNNNNNNNNNNNNNNNNNNNNNNNNNNNNNNNNNNNNNNNNNNNNNNNNNNNNNNNNNNNNNNNNNNNNNNNNNNNNNNNNNNNNNNNNNNNNNNNNNNNNNNNNNNNNNNNNNNNNNNNNNNNNNNNNNNNNNNNNNNNNNNNNNNNNNNNNNNNNNNNNNNNNNNNNNNNNNNNNNNNNNNNNNNNNNNNNNNNNNNNNNNNNNNNNNNNNNNNNNNNNNNNNNNNNNNNNNNNNNNNNNNNNNNNNNNNNNNNNNNNNNNNNNNNNNNNNNNNNNNNNNNNNNNNNNNNNNNNNNNNNNNNNNNNNNNNNNNNNNNNNNNNNNNNNNNNNNNNNNNNNNNNNNNNNNNNNNNNNNNNNNNNNNNNNNNNNNNNNNNNNNNNNNNNNNNNNNNNNNNNNNNNNNNNNNNNNNNNNNNNNNNNNNNNNNNNNNNNNNNNNNNNNNNNNNNNNNNNNNNNNNNNNNNNNNNNNNNNNNNNNNNNNNNNNNNNNNNNNNNNNNNNNNNNNNNNNNNNNNNNNNNNNNNNNNNNNNNNNNNNNNNNNNNNNNNNNNNNNNNNNNNNNNNNNNNNNNNNNNNNNNNNNNNNNNNNNNNNNNNNNNNNNNNNNNNNNNNNNNNNNNNNNNNNNNNNNNNNNNNNNNNNNNNNNNNNNNNNNNNNNNNNNNNNNNNNNNNNNNNNNNNNNNNNNNNNNNNNNNNNNNNNNNNNNNNNNNNNNNNNNNNNNNNNNNNNNNNNNNNNNNNNNNNNNNNNNNNNNNNNNNNNNNNNNNNNNNNNNNNNNNNNNNNNNNNNNNNNNNNNNNNNNNNNNNNNNNNNNNNNNNNNNNNNNNNNNNNNNNNNNNNNNNNNNNNNNNNNNNNNNNNNNNNNNNNNNNNNNNNNNNNNNNNNNNNNNNNNNNNNNNNNNNNNNNNNNNNNNNNNNNNNNNNNNNNNNNNNNNNNNNNNNNNNNNNNNNNNNNNNNNNNNNNNNNNNNNNNNNNNNNNNNNNNNNNNNNNNNNNNNNNNNNNNNNNNNNNNNNNNNNNNNNNNNNNNNNNNNNNNNNNNNNNNNNNNNNNNNNNNNNNNNNNNNNNNNNNNNNNNNNNNNNNNNNNNNNNNNNNNNNNNNNNNNNNNNNNNNNNNNNNNNNNNNNNNNNNNNNNNNNNNNNNNNNNNNNNNNNNNNNNNNNNNNNNNNNNNNNNNNNNNNNNNNNNNNNNNNNNNNNNNNNNNNNNNNNNNNNNNNNNNNNNNNNNNNNNNNNNNNNNNNNNNNNNNNNNNNNNNNNNNNNNNNNNNNNNNNNNNNNNNNNNNNNNNNNNNNNNNNNNNNNNNNNNNNNNNNNNNNNNNNNNNNNNNNNNNNNNNNNNNNNNNNNNNNNNNNNNNNNNNNNNNNNNNNNNNNNNNNNNNNNNNNNNNNNNNNNNNNNNNNNNNNNNNNNNNNNNNNNNNNNNNNNNNNNNNNNNNNNNNNNNNNNNNNNNNNNNNNNNNNNNNNNNNNNNNNNNNNNNNNNNNNNNNNNNNNNNNNNNNNNNNNNNNNNNNNNNNNNNNNNNNNNNNNNNNNNNNNNNNNNNNNNNUCCCUCCCUCCCUCCCUCCUCCCUCCCUCCCUCUCCCAUCCCCCAUCCUCCGCCGCCGCCGCCGCUGCCGCUGCUGCUCCUCCUCCAUCUCCCUGCCGCGCGACUCGCGCUCCGCCCGCUCCAGCGCCCACUUCACUUUCUCGAUGGUGCACACGCUCUGGCUCCCGGCGAGCGCCGCGGCUACCGGCUUCGGGCCGUCGUCCGGCAGCCGGUUAAGGUCCUGCGAGUACGAGGAAACAUCGACGUGAGCCCAAGACGAGGCGAAGGCGAGAACCACCCACGAAGAACGGGAACCGAGUGCGAACCAGCGGACGGAGGUCGCCACGACAGCCAAAGGACGGCUUCGAGCCAGCAUCAACGUCUUUGGGUGCCACCGACGUGCAGCCGCCGAGGAGAUCGAGGGUUAUCGGACCCCGCUCCCCCUCCCUCGAGCUCACCUCAACCAACAUCGUUCGACAGCAAGAACUCCGGUACUUGGAGACGUAAGAGAAGGGGAGGAGGUGCCAAGAAGAAGGAAGCGGAGUAGAUGAAGGAUGCGAUUGAUUGAUGUGCUGGGGGAGCGAGGUAGUUAAUGAGAGCUGGUGGCAGGGCACUGUCAGACAAGGUUAGGGAGCAUUAAUGGAGGGUUGGAAGGACAUGCACGGGAGGAGGGAGGGGGAAGAGACGGCAUUAAAUGCUGGGGUUUGGCGGCAAGCAGCGGAGGCAUCUGCUGCGCCCCAUUUGGUCGCCCACUUGAGGUGGCGAUGGAUGCCAACACUCUCCUCCUCCAUGAGUUAUGUGCAGGCGGUGUCUGCAAACGCUUGGAUUCACUUCCCACUGCCAUCUUCUUCCUUCUAUCUAUCUAUCUAUCUAUCUAUCUAUCUAUCUAUCAUCAUCAUCUUCAUCCUGUGGUCCUCCUCAUCUCCUCCACCCCCAUUCACAAUUACUCCUCCACUUCAAAUUAAAUCAUAAUAAAAUGAUUGCUUAUAAGUUGCUUCAAAAGAAUUACUUCUCAUCCAUAAUAAGAAUAGAGACAAAAAAUUAAUUAAUUAUUAUUCAUAAAUAGUAUGUGUGUGAGAUGAAAAAAAAAUAAUGAAGGAUUCGAAAUAUGUGUUUUUUAAAUAAUUAAAAAAAAUAAAUAUUAUAUUAAAUAACGUAUAAGAUGUUCACAUAUAAACUCAAACCUAUAAUUUAUUACUUAUUAAUAAUACAAUAACUAAUUAGAUACUAUAAGAGUUUAAUGAUAUAUAAUUGAUUUGACAAAAUUUAAUAGCAUAAGAUUUUAUGCUGUAUUAAUAUCUCAUCUUCAUAGAUGACUCAAAUUUUUGAAAGUUUCAUUAUGGUAUUCAAAUCAGGUGAAUAAAUUUUAGAUGAACCAUAUCAUGUGAUAAUUGAUAGUGAGAGAUAAGUGAAUCAUUUAAUAACACGUUAAUUGAUAUUUAAUAUGUACAUGUAUGUUUGUAUGUAUGUACAUAUAUAGGAGCCCUAACUCACUGCAAAAUGCCAACAGUUAUAGAUGUCACAUCAACACCACAUGAAUGUGUGUCCAACAUGCAUGCUCACGUAAAAAUAUAAUAAAAUCAUUUAGUGCUUUAUAAACUUCCACGUUGUAAAAUAAAAUAGCCAUCAGCAUGAGUUUUCACUUAUAUAUAUAUAUAUAUAUAUAUAUAUAUAUAUAUAUAUAUAUAUAUAUAUGUUCACUUUUUUCGCCGAUUUGUGCAUGUGAAUGACACUGCAUUAAUGAAUCAAAUGUUAGGUGUCUCUUUGGGGCCCGUGAUGGUGCAUGUCCUUGUCUUUGCAAUUUAAGGCCAAGUAACGUAGUAAAAGGGCCAUAUGAGAGAGAAAGAGAAAGAGGUCAUCCCAAGACUUAAUAAUAAUAAUAAUUAUUAAGUAGCUCUACUCCCAUAACUACAUGAUAUAUCCAUACAACUCUCUCUCUCUCUCUCUCUCUCAAUAAAUUGAAUUCACUCUCAACUUUAUGUGAGCCGUGAUGAUAGCCUUGACUCGAGGAGAGUAUUCCGUUGGAUUUGUCCUCCCCACCUUCUCUCUCUCUCUCUCUCUCACACACACACACACACACACACACACACACUAAUAGAGAUCCUUGGUUUAAGGCAAAUGUGACUUGGGGAAUGAAUGCAAAGGGUUGCCGUCAUUGAAUGCAUGAGAGAACUUCGAAGAUGGGACUUCCAUGUCCACUACAUCCCAUUCUCUCUCAAUAAGAAAAAAAAUAAAAAAUCUUCUUCUUUCCUUGUUCCUAUUUCUUGCUAAUUUAUUAUUUUCUUUUUGUCAUUUUAACGCUUCAACCCAAAAAUAAAAAAAAUAAAUAAACACAAACAACCAAUGAUUAAAAUAACGAUUCUUUUCUUACAACUGAUAUAUGAUAAAUCAUCUAAAUCUUUACUAGCUAAUUACUGUCCUUAAAAACUUAUCGAAAAUAUUUUUUUGUAAUAUUUAACUUAAUAAUCAGACAAGGUAGACAUAAGAUUUAAUUCUCAAUUUUUCCGGGUGGGACCAACCAAUUUAGUCUACCAUCCACCUACUACUUGGCCACACGAAAUGACAUGAGCUCGUGGCAGUAGAACUAACUCCAUGAUUCGUGAUCUAUCGAUGAGCAGCUCCCAUCUGCAUUAACGUUCGGUCCCACAGUGUUUAGACCAAGAGAAGAAGCUCCACUGCUUAAUGACCCUUAAAACUCGAUCCAUUAUGUUAACGCAUACGGAUUCUCAAGAUUAGACCCGCUAAGUAGAAUCUUAAGCCGUCUCGAUUGGUACUCGGUCUAAAUCCAUGUUCUAUCUGAAUCCGACCCGAUAACCGCACAUUAAUGUUUCGGUGUGGACGUAUGUCUCGACAGUCAAACAAAUGUCGAUGAUGCGAAGCCAUAAUUACAACCACGUAAUGACAUUGUACCACAUAACUGCUAUAUUAAUUGGCAACGACCAACAUCGAGGUGUUCCAUGGAGACAAAAAAAUGAUGGAAUAAAUAUUACCACAAAUAUAUCUUAUUACGACCGAGAUCAUAACCCACGUGCGGAUCUUAAUGCGCGAAUCUGAUCCUCCCACACAUUUUGAACUUACGUGAUGGACAUAAAUCAAAGAUAGUAAGUACUAUUUAGAGUCUCUUUUUUACUAUUUAUAAUUUUUAAAAAUCAUAAAAAAAAUAAUAAUAAUUUACUAUUCACAAUGGCAGCCUCCUCUUGCUAUUGACUCUCUUUACGGCUCGCACACCCUAUCCCCCCACUGUUACUAUCGUCGACUCUCCUCAUCGUCGUUUGCUACAGAUCAUUGCUCAUGGCUACCACCGUUGUAGCCACCAAUUCUCCCAUCGCUCGUUGUCAUCGAUCCCCGCUGAAGCCUGACCCCUCCACUCCUUGUUGCUGUGCAUGCUUAUGCCGCAGACUCUCCCCACUACCCAUUGCCAUCGAUCGUCGACCCCAACCAACCUACCUUUGCACUUGGCAGACUCUCCCCACCGCUCGCCAUCUCCUACCACUAAUGCUUCCCUUUCCAUCGUCGUAGACACCUUUGCCCCGUCAUUCAAAUUCUCUCAAAAGGAUUGAUUCCAAGAGAAAGACAUGACCCAUAAUAUGCAUCUUAUGAUCCUCUUUUUUGAUACUCGAAGCACUCAUAUUCCAAACAUCAUCAAGACCACCUAGAAUGUGUAUCCUUUGGGCUCUUUCAACAUUAUCCGAAAUAUAUAUCUUUCGAAUGCUUUUAACACUGCAUUCUCGAAGAGUUAUUAAUAUAAAACGAGAGAAUGGAGAAUAAAAUUGUAAAGUUAAAGAGAAAAGUAUAUUCCAAUUAGUAUAACAUGAAGUCUAUUUAUACAUGGUGAAAGAGAAGAUUUCUUUUACUAAGCAGAGAGAUUUCUUCGUGCAAUUGAGGAAAUCUCAUCUGCUAUGUAGUUGAGGAAAUCUUUCUAUUAUCAUGCCCCCGCAAGAUCGAGCUCCUGUCAAGGAUACCAAUUUUGGACUGAUGCAACAAAAAGUGAGUGAGUCUGCUAGUUGAUUAGCCGUAUGGACAUGAGAGACACGAAGUUGAUGUCUGACAACUUGAUCUCACACGAAGUGAAAGUCGAUGACAAUAUGUUUCAUGCGUGAGUGGAACACUGGAUUGACACAUAAGUAGGUAGCUCCAACAUUGUCACGAUAUAUUGUAGGAGUAUGGGUAGAGCUAACUUUAAGUUCCUUGAGGAGAUUUAUGACCCAAUUGAGUUCAACAGCAACGGUAGCAAUAGCACGAUAUUCAAUUUCAGUUGUAGACCGGGCCAUUGUCUUUUGCUUCUUAGAACUUCAACUGAUUGGAUUAGACCCAAGAAAGACGAUAUAUCCUGACGUGGAGGUUCUAUCAUUAAAGUUUCCCACCCAAUCAGCAUCAGCAAAGGCAUGGAGAUGAAGUGGAGUGGUUUUAUGGAGAAAGAGACCAUGAUUAAGGGUCCCUUUAAGAUACCGUAAAAUUCGUUUAAUCGUAGACCAAUGCAUAGCAGAAGGCUGGUGCAUGUAUUGAGAUAAUUUAUUGACUAUAAAUGAGAUAUCUGGACGGGUGAGAGCCAAGUACUUGUCGGUAUUGAGUUGAGUCCGUGGUAGGGCUGCCAUCACAUAAUUUGAGUGAUUCACGAGUAGAGAGAAGAGUAGCAACUUCUUUUGCAUCAUGCAUAUUUGUCUUUGAUAACAAGUCUUGAAUAUACUUUCUCUAUGAGAGGAGGAGACUUGAGGAUGUAAAUGUUACUUCCAUUCCUAGAAAAUAGCACAAGGGCCUUAAAUCUUUGAGAGAGAAUCGAUCAGCCAAUUGCUUUAAAAAUGUUUGAAUCUCCAAGGGAUCAUUGCCUGUAACAAUAAUAUCAUCUAUAUAUACUAGAAGAUAUAUUGUAUUUUCAUGUUGUUAUCGUAGGAAUAAAAAGGUAUCAUACUUGUAAUUGAUGAAGCCAAUUAAUAUUAGAAACGAUCCAAGUUUAGUAUACCAAGCUCUUGGAGCUUGACGGAGUCCAUAAAUGACUUUUUAAAAUUUGCAGACAUGUCUCGGAUACUGGUGAUGAACAAAGCCAGGGGGUUGCUGUAUAAAGACAUCUUCAAUUAGAGUCCCAUGUAAAAAGGCAUUGUUAACAUCCAAUUAUCGUAAGUGCUAGCCUCUAGAGACGACCAAGCUUAGAAUAAGCCGAAUUAUUAUGGGUUUAACUACAGGACUAAAAGUCUUUGUGAAGUCAACUCCAAGUCAUUGAUGAAACCCUUUGGCUAUUAAUCAUGCUUUAUAUCGAGCAACGGACCCGUCGGAGUUUCGCUUAAGAAGACUCAUUUACACCCUAUGAUGUUUUGUGUAGGAUGAAAAUGUACAAGAGUCCAUGUGGAGUUAUGGAAUAGAGCAUUAUAUUCUUCACACAUGGCUUUACGCUAGUGAGGAGAUUUUUGGGCUUGAUUAAUUGUGGUGGGUUCACUGGUCUCGAGAGAGGAUUUGGUGAUAGCGUGCAGGUCAAAAACCUGACGUGAUUUAAAUAUACCACUUUUUGAGCAUGUUGUCAUUGGAUGUCCAGGAACUAGAAGUUAUGUUAUUGGUAUGGGUAGUGGAGAGGCAUCGACAGGGGUCGGGAUAGGUUGAGAUAUAUCAGUGGCACUAGAUAAAGAAGGUUAUUGUAUUUCUAAGGAUAUUACUUUAGUAGUAGGGGAGGCUUGUGAAGAAGGAAGAGGAGAAGAAAUGGAGGGAGUGGGGAGCUAUUGAACCAGAAGAACAAAAGAGUGUGAAUCUUGAAGAAAAGGACUGGAUGGUGUGUGAAGAAGUUCGUUUCACGGGAUCGAUGAAAUACUCCAAUGAUAUAUAUUUGUUGGAGUAGCCUACAUGAAAGAAGACUAAUGGUUUUAAAAUGAAAAGGUAGACUCCACAAAAACAACAUGACGUGUUAAAGACUUUUUGAGUUUUUGGUUCGUAGCACCGAAAGACAUUAUGUUCAAGAGAAUAUCCUAUGAAGAUGCAAGGUUUAGAUCUUGGUGCUAUUUUGUAUGGGGCAUAGGGACAUAGCCAUGGAUAACAUAAACAAUCAAAUAUUCUAAGUUUUUGAAGGUUUGAAGAUUUAGAAAAUAAUUUUUCAAAUGGAGACUGGUAUUGGAGAAUUGGAGUAAAUAGACGAUUAAUAAGGUAGACAACAGCUUGAAAGGCGGCGGACCAAAAGGUUGCUGGCAUGUGAUGUAGAAGUGUGAGACCAGUUUCUACGAUAUAUCGAUGUUUACGUUCAACAGAGCCAACUAGUUGAGGAGUGUGUGGAGGUGACUUAAGGUGUUGGAUGCCACAGGUAGAGAGAUAGAGAGAUAGGAUGUGAGAGCUUGAUAUUCACCUCCACCAUCAGAGUAGACUGAAAGAAUUUGGAACCAACUUUUUAAAGUUAGUGAAGAUUAUUGAAACUUCUGAUUUAUGACGAAAAGGGUAUAUCUAUGUGUACUUAGUAAAAUAGUCUAAAAAAUAACAUAAAAUUUAAAUUUAUCAAAAGAUGUGAAGGGGGCAUGAUAAUAAAGAAAUUUCCUCUGAUAACAAAAAGAUUUCCUUAACUCUAUAGCAGAUGAGAUUUCCUUGAGGAAAUCUCUCUUCUCAGUUAAAGAAAUAUUCUCUUUCACCAUGUAUAAAUAGAGUUCAUGUGAUACUAAUUAGAAUGUGCUUUUCUCUUUACCUUUACAAUUUCAUUCUUCAUUCUCUCAUUUUAUCGUGGUAUCAGAGUAGUAGAUCAGUAGCGUAAAUAGAAGUUCUAAUAAUCACUAAUACAUACCUCAGGAGCCGUCUUGGACACGUGAUUCAUGAUGAUCAACCUACGAUCAUCACCACAUUGAUGCAUUAAUGAUAUACGAUAUAUCUAUGCACUAUAUUAUGGGAUCAAUUUCAAGAUUGACUCCGACAAAUAUAUCAUAUUGAUAUAUAGACACGUAAAAUCGAGGCCCCGAUCCACCACCCGUGGAUACCCAUCGUUCAUUUUGAUGGUAGAACCAAGUAUAUCUACAUAUAUGAUUAUUUAAUUUAUUUAAAUAUUAAAAUUUAAAUUAUAUAUAAAAUAAUCUAAUAAUUUAAAUAAUUUUUUAUAGAUAAUUUAAUAUUAAUGGAGGGACGAUCCGAAACAAACUGAAAUUAUGAACCUUGCACAACACUACUUAAAGCCCGAAAAAGAUACAAUAUUAUUUUUACCUAAUUUAUAUUAGUUUUGCUAAAACUAUACUAAAGGUAUAUUUAUUUUUAAAAUAUUUAUUUCUAACUUAAAAACUCUAUCUUAAAUUUUUUUGUAAUAUUUUUAAAAGAUUUUAUGCCUAUUUUAAGCAUACUGCUUGAUCCAUAUGGCGUAUCGACUUACUAUAUCGAGCAAGACUCGAUAUCCGAAAUUACGAACCUUGAUCAAUAUAACUUUUUAAAAUGUAAAGAUUGAAAUGAUAAACAUAAACUACAUGGGAUAAUCUAUAAUUAGACUACAUCUUUUACAUCUUUUUUAUUAGUAUCUAAUUGACAAAACUAAAAAAAUGUCUAAGAGCUAUGGAGAGAAAGUUAUGACUGAAAAUAAAGUUCACAAGUGAAUGAACUGAUUACAAGUAUAUUACUCUCGAGGGUAAGGAACAUCUGUAGAACAUGCUUAAUUGUGAACCGCACAAAGAUUUACAGGAAACCAAAUUGACAAUCACAAAUAAGUAGAACAUCAACAUAAACACCCACAAUAGCAAUCAUACAAUCAUGCCUUCAGAGGUUGUAUCAGUUUACAAGCCUUCUAUAUUGUCCAUGUACAAGUGUCCAAUGACACUUGAUUAAUACAAUCAAGCAGCAUAAUCUGAAGAUUGCACAACCCAUGAGCAUUUGGCAGAGAGCACGAAGUCAAGCAGGCCUCUGAUGAGGCUCCCAUGACCCUAAGCCUUCACUCUAAUGUGCCCGCUCCCUAAGAUUAUCAAGGUCCAGCUCUGACGGGUCAGUAGCUUGAAUCUCAUAGUGAACACCAUCCAGCUCUCUCCUGAAUCGAUCCUUAGAAGCUGCGUACAGCAUCUUAGCUCGGAUUCGGGAAAUGGAAGGGGACCUGUCAUGAAGAAGAAAGAACCGAAUUUUCAUCAGUACUCCCAAGGCAUGUGAUACAAGAAACUGAACAAUGAAAGAACAACAUCACAGCAUAAGCAAAGGUUACAGAUGAGUUGGGUACUCAGUUGGAAUACCGAUGAAUAGAAGUACAGUGUUAAACUUGAAACUUUGAACACUGGAGCUGACACCGGUAAAGCUGUCUAAACCAAAAUUGAAAUUUUGCAAAUCGAUUCAAAUGAUCAUCAUUAAAGGCUGCAAAUAACUUAACUAUAUACGUCAAUCUGUCAUAAGUGAUUAAUAUGUCAAUGAAAUACCAAAGCACAAAUAAAAUUGUACAUUUUCCUAGGCAAGUUUAUUCACUUAUUUGUCAUGAACAUCCUUUCAAUUUAAAGUUGAUUCAGUCCCUUAUGCAACUCUGAGAAAAGUAAGUCAGAUUCUGAAAGAAACUUUACACUAGCGAAUGAGGUAAGGUUAAGUUGGGAGCUCUAAAAACUAUUCCAAAAGCUGAAAACAAUCUCUUCUUGACAGAUUUUCAAAGCAAACCAUGCUUGAUCCAACUUUAAUUCAGAAUUAAAUUAAUGCAUAAAUCUUGGUCUCCGCCAUCAGAGUUACAAACACAUCAGUUCUAUAAGUUAUGCAACAUUUGCCAACCAACUACAACAGAAAUUAACAGCGUCACUUGUGCAAGUUAUGUUGAUUCUAUCACAGCCCAAUAGAAAAAACUACAAAUAUAUGAACUGACCUUUUCUUACAAGAAAGGGUCAAAAUGAACUAUGAAGGUAAAAAAGCUGCGCAGAGAAAGCCUACCAGGCAAUGAAGAAAAUCUUGCUUUUCUGACAGUUUUCUUCAGUAACAAAGUCAAAAUCAUAGACAGCAUAACGGCAAUCAUUUUCAGGCAAAGAAGCCACGAAAUCAUCAUAGCUCUCUGUUGCACCUCCAAUCUUUUCAACAAUAACCUCCUUUUGCUUCUCAUUGAUUUUGAAAAUCACAUAUCUGUGUGUCUUCUUCCUCUGAAGCUCUAAGAAUAUAUCCUUGCAAUCAUCAGCAACACCCAUUCCAGAGGAAGCAUUUGACUGAAAUCAGUGAAUGUAUAUAUAUCAGUUAAUAAUACAGAAGAACCCGUAAAUAAAACAAGUAAUAUGUUCUUAAAGUGCCUUAGAAUAUAUCAAUAUAACUUCAACAAGAUGUUAGAGAAUGGAAAUCAUUCACACAGUAUCAGGAUUGACAUGAAUGUGUCACAAAUAUCCAUCAAUCACAUAUAAACAAAGAGCUUACCCUUGGUAAGAUAUGCAGUAGUAAGUACAACAACAACAAAACCAUAAGUCUCAACUAUUUGAGAUCGGUUGCAUAGAUCUUUUAUCGCCAUUGAGAUCUGUAAAAAGCCAUAUGUUUAGUCAAGGUAUGCAAAACCAUACCGUACCACCCGGUACGGUGGUACGUACAGAUCCGCCAACACCGACAUGCAGACCGCCCGCUACCGGGCGAUAUUAGGCUUUGGGCCCCGUAUCGGACGAUACGGGACUGUGCUAGGCAUUAACGGUCGAAAUUUCGAUUGUUACCGACCUGUACCGACUGAAACCGAUCGUUACCGAAUGGUAACAGUGCUCCAACGACCAAUUUAACCAUUGGAGCACUCCUCAAGGAUUUUUAAACCAUUUUCUCCCUCUAAUUUCAAUCCAUUUCACUCUCACACUCUCUUAUACUCUCUCAAACUCAUUUUUUCUCACAUUCUCUCUCUUAUUCUCACAUUUGUGGAUUGAAUCAAAUUUAGGAGACUAAUUUGAGAGGAUUAAGAGGAAGAACUUUUUAAUAAAAAGAUAUGCAUUCUCUUUCUAGAUUUUUAUUGAUUUAUGAGAUGAUUAAGCCUAUUCUAUGUGAUGUAUGACUUAAUGUUUGUUUGAUAUGAUUUUGAUGAUAAAAUAAUAUUAAAAGGCUAAAUGUUUAUAUUUGACCUUAAAAGGUCCAAUGUUUAUAUUUCAUACAUAUUAAGUAUUGGAUCAUGUGUUUGUGAUGGUAAAAUAGAUUUAAUUAUGUUUUAAUAAAAUUAUUUAAUGAUGCGAUUAGUGAUUUUAAUGAUGAUUUAAUCGAAAUUUGAUCGAUAUUGGGUCAAUUCAAUGUAUUUAAUACUUAGUGUAUUUGACAUGUUUAUAGUGUUGAAAAAGAAGUAAUUAGUGGGUCAUUAACUAUAUUAAUAGUGUAAUUAGUGUAUCUAAUAAUGAUUUCAUCAAAAUUUGACGUAUUGGAUCAAAAUAACAUAUUUAAUGCUUCUUUUAUGUGUUUAACAUAUUNNNNNNNNNNNNNNNNNNNNNNNNNNNNNNNNNNNNNNNNNNNNNNNNNNNNNNNNNNNNNNNNNNNNNNNNNNNNNNNNNNNNNNNNNNNNNNNNNNNNNNNNNNNNNNNNNNNNNNNNNNNNNNNNNNNNNNNNNNNNNNNNNNNNNNNNNNNNNNNNNNNNNNNNNNNNNNNNNNNNNNNNNNNNNNNNNNNNNNNNNNNNNNNNNNNNNNNNNNNNNNNNNNNNNNNNNNNNNNNNNNNNNNNNNNNNNNNNNNNNNNNNNNNNNNNNNNNNNNNNNNNNNNNNNNNNNNNNNNNNNNNNNNNNNNNNNNNNNNNNNNNNNNNNNNNNNNNNNNNNNNNNNNNNNNNNNNNNNNNNNNNNNNNNNNNNNNNNNNNNNNNNNNNNNNNNNNNNNNNNNNNNNNNNNNNNNNNNNNNNNNNNNNNNNNNNNNNNNNNNNNNNNNNNNNNNNNNNNNNNNNNNNNNNNNNNNNNNNNNNNNNNNNNNNNNNNNNNNNNNNNNNNNNNNNNNNNNNNNNNNNNNNUUAGUGAUUUUAAUGAUGAUUUAAUCGAAAUUUGAUCGAUAUUGGGUCAAUUCAAUGUAUUUAAUACUUAGUGUAUUUGACAUGUUUAUAGUGUUGAAAAAGAAGUAAUUAGUGGGUCAUUAACUAUAUUAAUAGUGUAAUUAGUGUAUCUAAUAAUGAUUUCAUCAAAAUUUGACGUAUUGGAUCAAAAUAACAUAUUUAAUGCUUCUUUUAUGUGUUUAACAUAUUUAUGAUGGUAAAAUAGGUUUAAUUAUGUUUUAAUAAAAUUAUUUAAUACUGCGAUUAGUGAUUUUAAUAAUGAUUUAAUCAAAAUUUGAUCGAUAUCGAGUUAAUUCAAUAUCUUUAAUACAUAUUAGGGUGUUUGAUAUGAUGUUUAUAGUGUUGAAAGAGAAAUAAUUAGUGAGUAAUUAAGUAUGUUAAUAGUGUGAUUAAUGCAUCUAAUGAUGAUUUCAUCAUAAUUUAACAUCAAAAUAAUGUAUUUAAUGAUUCUUUUAUGUGCUUAACAUGUUUAUGAUGAUAAAAUAGGUUUAAUCAAGCUUUAAUCAAGUUAUUUAAUUGUGCUUUAAUAGGUUUAAUUUGAUCGAUAUUAGAUCAAUUCAAUAUCUUUAAUACCUAUUAAGGUGUUUGACAUGUUUAUAGUGUUGAAAGAAAAAUAAUUAGUGGGUAAUUAAUUAUGUUAAUAGUAUAAUUAGUGUAUCUAAUGAUGAUUUUAUCAUAAUUUGGCCUGGAUCAAAAUUAUGUAUUUAAUGCAUAUUUUAUGUGUUAACAUGUUUAUGAUGAUAAAAUAAAUUUAAUUAAGUUUUAAUAAAGUUAUUUAAUGAUGUGAUUAGUGGUUUUAAUAAUAAUUUAAUUAAAAUUUGAUAGAUAUUGGAUCAAUUCAAUGUCUUUAAUACCUGGUGCUUUAUAUGUUUAUAGUUUAUUUGAUUUAAAUUUGACAGGAACAUAAACAGUCAUAUGAUGAAGCAUAGAGUCAUGCUUUAAAGGUAGAUGAAAACUGUCAUAAUUGAUAAUGUAUUUAUUGUGACUACAUUAACAAGAGUGGAGAAAUCACUUUAGUGAAAAUGCAUUUGGUUGGUGGGUAUCUCGAUAUUGUAAAAUGUAAGGAAAUUCUGACGGAGGUCCGUAAAUUAUUUCAAAACAAAUUACAAUAAGCAAGAGAAGAUACAAUAAAAAAGAAGACGAGUUGAGGAAGAAUACUACAAGGCUACGCGGGAACCAGUUUAUGACAAGUAUGAGGGUCGUAGCAAUGAAGUCGACGUGGAUCUCACAGUUGGUAUUGGUGCAUUAGUAUAUAUACGACAAAACAACGAGGCAUCGACGACUUGACUCACAAAAGGAGCAUUACAGUGUUAGUGGAAUCCAAAGAUCGAUCAGCAUUUAGUAGCCAACUGCCCCUCAUAAGUUAGGAUGAACUAGUAGCAUGAGGCAUGAUGGACUCCGUGGUUUUAUGAGAGAUUUUGGUAGGAGAUCCGCAUCAUAUAUUGUUGAUAUCAAUCCACAAGCCUAUCCUUCACAAACAGCGAAACAAACAUGAAUUGACGAUGCAUAUACAAAAGAAAAGAAACGGGAUAUUGAAAAGACAAUUUCAAAAUGGUUCAACUUCCACAGGUUUCUAGCAAACAUACAAUAAGCAUUCUGUGGUAUGUAACAUACAAUCACCUCGAAGUAGCAGGCAAGUAAAUCAAAUCAACGAUUCUUAAUUUCAUCCCAACCUGUAUGUUCUGGUGGUAUAAGCAGAACCAGCACGUAGACCAGGCUUUUUGCUAGCUCUAGGCAUGGUAACUUGCAGCAAGUAGGUGAUUUCAUCCACCUGCCCGAUACUUCUUCUCUUCUUCCUCCUCCUACUCCGCCCCUCUCUCUCUUGCAUCUCUCUUAUCUUCUUCUUCUCUCCCUCCUCAUCCCCCAUUCCCUGUUCUCAGUGCGGACCAGCAUGGUGACAGACAGUAGGUCAGUAUGCCACCGUAUCUGAUCCAUACUGGUCCACCCAGCCCAGGGAACCAAAAUUUUGAACCAUGAUCAAAUCAUUUAGAUACCUUAUAUCUAUCCAUCUGCUCAAGAUUCCCAGACCCUAAAUUGCUGAGGCUUCAUCGAAACCCCAAACACAAUCCAGUCUACCACAACAUCUAAUCGGAGACCGACAACCAAGAAGCACAAGACAGAUCUGAUCAAACUAAACAAAAACAGAAGAAUCCACAGAAUCAAGGAACAUCAAAAAAAUUGACCAUGGAGUAUCAGAAUGGACCGAUCCAAGACGACAAACGCAAACAAAAAAGCACUCGAUUUUGGCAUAAACACUCAUGCGAUCAAACGAAAUGAGGAGCACUCACGUGGGAUCGGAGGAACGCCAUACUAGUAGCAAAGGGUGCCACUCCACUGUUCACAAUCCCUAUUAGACGCUUUAGAGCGAGAAUGGAACGGAAGAGAAAGAUGUGGUGGCGAAAGAAGUUGGACUGCAUACCAAAGAAUAUAUCUGUAUAUAUACGUAAGAGAAAGAUGUGGCGGCGAAAGAAGUUGGACUGCACACCAAAGCAUAUAUAUAUAUAUAUAUAUAUAUAUAUAUAUAUAUAUAUAUAUAUAUAUAUAUAUAUAUAUAUAUAUAUAUAUAUAUAUAUAUAUNNNNNNNNNNNNNNNNNNNNNNNNNNNNNNNNNNNNNNNNNNNNNNNNNNNNNNNNNNNNNNNNNNNNNNNNNNNNNNNNNNNNNNNNNNNNNNNNNNNNNNNNNNNNNNNNNNNNNNNNNNNNNNNNNNNNNNNNNNNNNNNNNNNNNNNNNNNNNNNNNNNNNNNNNNNNNNNNNNNNNNNNNNNNNNNNNNNNNNNNNNNNNNNNNNNNNNNNNNNNNNNNNNNNNNNNNNNNNNNNNNNNNNNNNNNNNNNNNNNNNNNNNNNNNNNNNNNNNNNNNNNNNNNNNNNNNNNNNNNNNNNNNNNNNNNNNNNNNNNNNNNNNNNNNNNNNNNNNNNNNNNNNNNNNNNNNNNNNNNNNNNNNNNNNNNNNNNNNNNNNNNNNNNNNNNNNNNNNNNNNNNNNNNNNNNNNNNNNNNNNNNNNNNNNNNNNNNNNNNNNNNNNNNNNNNNNNNNNNNNNNNNNNNNNNNNNNNNNNNNNNNNNNNNNNNNNNNNNNNNNNNNNNNNNNNNNNNNNNNNNNNNNNNNNNNNNNNNNNNNNNNNNNNNNNNNNNNNNNNNNNNNNNNNNNNNNNNNNNNNNNNNNNNNNNNNNNNNNNNNNNNNNNNNNNNNNNNNNNNNNNNNNNNNNNNNNNNNNNNNNNNNNNNNNNNNNNNNNNNNNNNNNNNNNNNNNNNNNNNNNNNNNNNNNNNNNNNNNNNNNNNNNNNNNNNNNNNNNNNNNNNNNNNNNNNNNNNNNNNNNNNNNNNNNNNNNNNNNNNNNNNNNNNNNNNNNNNNNNNNNNNNNNNNNNNNNNNNNNNNNNNNNNNNNNNNNNNNNNNNNNNNNNNNNNNNNNNNNNNNNNNNNNNNNNNNNNNNNNNNNNNNNNNNNNNNNNNNNNNNNNNNNNNNNNNNNNNNNNNNNNNNNNNNNNNNNNNNNNNNNNNNNNNNNNNNNNNNNNNNNNNNNNNNNNNNNNNNNNNNNNNNNNNNNNNNNNNNNNNNNNNNNNNNNNNNNNNNNNNNNNNNNNNNNNNNNNNNNNNNNNNNNNNNNNNNNNNNNNNNNNNNNNNNNNNNNNNNNNNNNNNNNNNNNNNNNNNNNNNNNNNNNNNNNNNNNNNNNNNNNNNNNNNNNNNNNNNNNNNNNNNNNNNNNNNNNNNNNNNNNNNNNNNNNNNNNNNNNNNNNNNNNNNNNNNNNNNNNNNNNNNNNNNNNNNNNNNNNNNNNNNNNNNNNNNNNNNNNNNNNNNNNNNNNNNNNNNNNNNNNNNNNNNNNNNNNNNNNNNNNNNNAUAUAUAUAUAUAUAUAUAUAUAUAUAUAUAUAUAUAUAUAUAAAGUUUGGUAAACCUAUUAUUUAAUGCGAAAAUAUAGUAAAGAUUAUUUUUUUUUAGCAAAGGAAAAGAUUAAUACAACAUGAACUUAAAUAUUAAUGCUUAAUCUGACUAAUAAUGUUACUUUAAAUAGAAUUUAUCUAAUCGAUCGAAAUAGUUGGACCAUUAUAAUUUAUUGCUAUUAUUGUUGUGGUCCAAAAUUCGAUAAAAAUCCAAACAUGCAUCCGUAUAAAUAUGCAUAUUAGUUUCACGAUAGAAAAAAUAUCGAUCCAACAAGUCUUAUUCUAUGUUAUUAUAUAGUUCACAAUUAAUUUAAUAUGCUAUAUGGCAAAUUUGCUUGAAUAAUUUACGAAUGAAUUCAUGGACUAUUCAUAGGUUAGCCAUGGAAAAGUCAACCAUUUUACAAUUAUUGUUAUAGCUGAAGACAAGGACAGAAUAAGCAUAAUAUUAUUCCAUUUGGUGCCAGGAACAGAAACAAUGAUGCCAAGCAUCCAUCCAUGCUUCAAGAUUAAGCAUCCAUCCUCUGCAUGACAGUUUGAUAGUGGUUUGUCAUGUGUCAAUUUGUGUUAAAAAAUCUAAGAAAUUUUCUGAAACAUUCAUACUUUGUGAUCUAACCGGUUAGUAUAUUACUUCUACGGCAAGAAAUUGUUAAUAAUAAUAUUUAAGAAGAACCAGAAAAUGUGCUGAUAUGAGAUACAUGAAGAAGACAUGCUAAACCGGUUAGUAUGACUACUUUUUGUAUGACUACUUUUUGUGAUCUCAGAUUGAUUACACACACAUGUAUAUAUUCCACACAGAUAUGUAUAUAUUCCACAGGUCCAAUAUCAAUGAUGCAUUAUUGUUGCCAGACUCAUUGACGAUCUGACACUUGCAAUACUUAAAAUGCUUCAAAUUUAGUUUACCUUCAUUCACAAUGUGCCAUGCAACUCUAAGAAGGGCAAGUACACAAAAGCUUUAUGAUUAUAAAAGAAGGGUUUGUUAGGCCCAAACAUAUCCUCCACUAAUUUUUGCUGCAACAGUGGUCCUCAUGCACCUUCUCAGUUGAAGGUGUCAUAAUAGACCAUGAAUUGCCUCAACUCCUUGAGUUGCUCCCUUCAGGGCAUGCAAGUUUUAAACCUGUGCAAACACCUCAAUUAUUUGGUUGUCAAUCAACUUUUAUGUCGUAUUUAAGAAUACUAUGGCAUUCAAAAGACCAAACAAAUGAAAACAGUGCACGUGACACAUGCUCAAUGUACAUAGUUACCAACAAUAUUCGAGGUGAUAAUGGCAUGUAACAAUUUACUAGGAGAAAAUAUAGAUCAUGGAAUGACUGGACAUGACAAUCCAGCCAACAUCCUUUUUCUCAUAUCAGGGGCGAAGUGAAAUCUUGAAGCCAAUGAAAGACUUUCGCACCAAAUGCUAAUGAAGCACUUUUUACCAUGGAAUCAUAGAUUCUGAUCACUGGCUUUUCCUCAUUGUCCAGAAGGCUGUGCAGUAUCGAUUCUGCAUUUUAAACACAAAAGUGAGAUGUCUGUUUGCUUCACUGUAGCACUACAGAAUUUAACCACAAAAUCUAACUUUAUCCUUUAAAUGCUCAAGAAGAUGCAAUGACUGUAAAAGCACGAGGGAAAUUUGUCUUUAUCCAGGUACAUCGAAUGUGUUAGUUAAAAAAACUCCUUUUAAAAUGAGAACCACAUGUGAGUGUGCUGCUGACCCAAAGAUAUCUUGAAUAAUGGAUUUCAGGGAUGCAAGUUUUCCUUCAGCAUUUUAAAACAUAAAUAAACCUGAGAAAUGAACUAAAAGAUUGCAAGCUUACUUGCAUCAUGGAGCGAGGAUUUGCAGUGUAUGUUGUCUCAAUUACUUUCUCCUUCUGUGAUCAUCAAACAAGGUCAUUAAAGCACAAGAAUAACUGAACUUUUGCAAAGAUAUAGAGACGUAGACUAGAAAAUUAGUGUUCACCUCCAUUACAAAUCCAAAAUGAAAAGCAAUCUUUUUCACAUCUUCCAAACUAAGUUCAAUGGACAUCUCCUGAAUAUAAGAAUGUAACAAUUGACAUCUUCGAGAAAAGGGAAUAAAUUAAAAAGAACAUUCAGAUUGGCUCUUAUGGAAAAAGAUAGUGAAACAGUACACAUACAUCUUCAGGUCCAUACGAGUCUGCAAAAUGAUAUAGUAGAGGGCCCAAGUUUAUCCACACCUGUAAUUUUAGCAUGGCACAUGAUCAAAUUAAAUAAAUAAAUAAUAUUUAGUGUAACAAGUUUCAGAACAGAAUUCAUUAAUCAAAUCAGAUCAAGAAACCAUUGGCUCAACAAUAAUAUUCGGGAAUGUCCUAAAAAGAACAGUGUAGAUCGUAAUUGAAUGGUAAAAAGUAUAAAACUCAUUCCAGAAGACAUACUCCUCCAGUUUUCAGAAGUUUUGAUAUAGUUUCAAUAUAUUCAACAAUGUUAUGUGCCGUAUCCAGGAAGAAGCAAGUGACAACAGCAUCCCAGUAACCUGCAGAUAGAUUCAAUAAUGCAAUGAGAAUGUGCAAAAAUUAAGCACAACUCGAAUCCCACAAUUAAAGCAUUAAUAGAUCCGACAGAGAUCCUGUCUCAAGCACUCAGAGCAAAAGAAAU